UAAAAUAUGGAUUGAGGAAAAAAAUGAUCACAUUAACUAGAAACUGAAAAGGUUUCAGCACAGUUUGUUCAAGCAAGAAACUCAAUUUUGAUGCUACCGAUCUUGAGCGCCGUACCUGGGCACCAAAGUCACCACCACACUCUCAUCAUCUUCAGCACCCAAAUCCUCCAACAGGUCCGUUAACCCCAACCUUAAACAACUCUUGCUCUUUUCCUUCUGCUUAUGUGGCACACUCACAAAACUCCCAGCAAACUCGCUCUUGUCGGGUCCACUCGGUGCCGCAUCCUCAUCGUCCACGUCAUUCACAUACACAUCAAACUUCACAGCCACAUCUUUGUCAAGCUCAAUCCCCUGAAUCACCAAUAUCUCCUCCUCAUCCUCUUUCUCCUUCUUGCUCCUCUUCUUCGGCUUCGGCCUUGACACCACCGUACUUAUCUUCGUCUCCAAAUUUAUUGGAAAAUCUUUACCCGCCACCACCUUCCCUGAUGACGUCGUCUCAGCGGCCUUCGCCACUCCAGCCGCCUUUGCCUUUCUCGCAAGCUUUGUCCGACGUGGCGUCGGUCUAGACUUGAGCCAUGGAAUCUCAACAUCUUCAUACGUAUACCCUAGCUUUUUAUUAUCAAGAGUGUCCCUCACCGUGACCCUAACAAGCUCAGCAUUCUCGUCAUAAAACAAAAACCCCGUAUCCAACCAAUCCUUAUCGUUAAUAUCUUUAUUUUUAGUCCCUAUACUUUUCCAAAUAUUCCACAUUCGAUCUAUAUUCGAAUGGUGCGAAAAAAAUAUUGGAUCCCUUCCAGCGGAGUAAAAAUUCCCCAUGUCUUCAAAUUAGGUUGCGUGUUAUCUCCGGUCCAUAAAUGAACCGGACCAUGUGGGGUCGUUUCGAUUGAACCGCCCCCUGGAUCUGGUUCAGUGCCAGCCCUGUAGGGCGAACCAAAGAACAACAGCGGUUUCUUGGAGUUGGAAACCAUCUGCCUAUACAUAAUUUUGAGGUUGGCUUCGAUUUGAGCAUCGUUGGACAUUGUUUCAUCCGUGCCGUUGAAGUCAAGAUCGAUGAGAGUCGGCGGCUGAUGGCUGGCAGCGCGAAGCUCGUCGUAAAGCGGAGAGUCCGGGUUAGCGAACAAGGCAGGGAGUUGCAUGCCAGCUGGCGCGUCCCAGUUCCAAAACGGCAACGCGAACGUCGGAUCGUCUAUGAGUUUGGCCAAGAUUCUUUCGUGGAAGUAUAGGUAGUAACGAUGGAAGGGGAAGAAAAGCCAGCAUUGAUGGAUUUGGAGCUCGAGGUUGGGGAAGCCGACUUGGUCGUACGCGCCGUCGCAAUAGGCACAGUGGAGAUCGGCUUGCUGGGUGAAGCUACGCGGAUCGUCGUCCGGGAGGGCUUUCAUGAGCUCGAUGGCUUUUGAAUAUUUUUCGAUGUAGGCUUUAUCCACGGUGUGAGCUGCCGGCCUGACGCGGAGUUUGGUAGGGGAGGGGAAUUUGAAGUCUACGAUUUUUUGGGACGUUGGCGGGCAACAGUUGGUCGGGACUGCUCCACUUGGAAAGUCCGCAGCUCCGCAUUUGGCUAGGUCAGGCGGCGACACUGGCUUUGCAACAGCGAAGGGGUCGCUGCCAAGACCAGCCACUCCACCGUAUAGGCUUCCGAGACCUAUAAGUACAUUUCUUCUGUCUAGGUUUACUGGAGAAGGGUUUUCAUGGUCGUGAUCGUUGGAGCUAGUGGAAGGGUUUUUGUUUUGGUCACUACUAUUAUUUGUGGCUUUGCAUGAGACAGCUUGUAAAUUGGAAUGCCUAGGGUUUCCAAAUGAGGAUAUUCGGUGAUACUUUUGGGAGAAAGGGGAGAGGAAAGUUGUGGGGAUGAUACUUGUGGCGGAGGUGACGAGUGGAGCUGACAUAGAAGCCAUGGUUACUUUUGACUCUGAAUAAUACGUUGUAUUGGCUUUGCUUUUAUAAUGUGUUCUAGGUUGUACUUUUCUUUGCACAGGUGGCAGGCCGUACACACGUGGUCGGUCCUUAAGGGUUUGACGAGGAAUACUACGUAGUCAUUUAGUACAGGACAACCAUACACUAUAGCAAGUGGCAUGUAUUUAGAGAUCGAGAGAGAAUUGGGUAAGGUUCACGAGGGAUUUGUAGUUUCAGAAGGUGAAUUGGUUUUGGUCUUCUUGUGUACCAAUAAUAUUUACUUAGUCAUUUAGUGCAGGACAACCAUGCACUAUAGCAAGUGGCAUGUAUUUAGAGAUCGAGAGAGAAUUGGGUAAGGUUCACGAGGGAUUGUAGUUUCAGAAGGUGAAUUGGUUUUGGUCUUCUUGUGUACCAAUAAUAUUUACUUAGUCAUUUAGUGCAGGACAACCAUGCACUAUAGCAAGUGGCAUGUAUUUAGAGAUCGAGAGAGAAUUGGGUAAGGUUCACGAGGGAUUGUAGUUUCAGAAGGUGAAUUGGUUUUGGUCUUCUUGUGUACGGCUGUGGGUCUGCUGUCCCGGACUCUCUGUCUCAUUUGUGUCUUAUUUUUUAUUUUUUCACACGUGUCUUUUACUUAACGUCAAAUCAUGAUAGCAAUGUUAUGCAAUUGGGAGCUAAACGACCGAUGCUUUUAUUUUUUAGUUUGCUUUUUUUCCAGAUCUGAUCAAAUCAUGAUAGCAAUGUUAUGCAAUUUUCAAGAGGGAAAGAUGCACCUGGGAGAGAAACGGUACGGUGACUUCUAAAUCACCGUCCAACAGAACAAUUCUCAGUAGAGACUACUAGAGAGAGAUGCACCUCACCAAUGAAAAAUUUAACUGCAAAAAUUCUGGGUAUUGGGUAAGGAAAUUCGGUGAUACUUUUGGGAGAAAGGGAAGAGAGAAGUUGUGGGGAUGAUACUUCUCGUGGAGGUGACGAGUGGAGCUGACAUAGAAGCCAUGGUUACUUGACUCUGAAUACUACGUUGUAUUGGGUUUGCAUAUAUAUAUAAUUAGGAUUGAAGGAUGUAGAGCUUAUUUUGUUAUGUAUUUUAACGAUUUAAGUGCUUAUCUUUUAGGUUUUCUCUUAAACAUCAUGUCUAUAAAAAAUCACCAAAAUUCAAACCAUAUGACCAUUAGAUCCAUAGUCAUUUUAGUGUUUAUUUGUAAAAUGUAUUCAUUCAUUUUCUUCACUACAAAUGAGUGAAUUAAUGAUUUUAGAAUUUGUCUAAUUUUUUACAUUGAUUAUUUAUGAAUGUUGAAUUGAAAUUUAGACGAUUCAAAAAUAGUUGAUAUGCAUUACAAAAUGAACUCCACAAAAUAAGUGUCAAAAUAUGUAUAAAAAAUGGACAGCGUGAAUGGCUUGGAAAUUGGAAUAGGUUUGAAAAUUGUGCUUUUUGUAGCAAAUUUUAGCAAAGUUUGCUUGGACUUUCACAACCGUAUAAAUUAAAGGGAAACUUGAUAUAACUCCAAUUUUUUGAGCCAAUAGUAGGAAUAGUCCAGUUUAUUAAAAUAAGUUCAAUUCUUUAAAUUUAAUUAUUUAGUUAUCAAUAAUUAUCUCUUAAAAGAAAAAACUUAUUGUAAAAAUCAAAUUUCUUCCUAAUUAUCUCUUUGAUUAUUUCUUUUUAUUUAUUUAUUUGUUAUUUCUUGUUCUUCCUCCUGCUUUAACCCAUUUAUAGAUUUUUUUUUUAAUUUUAUAAUCAACCUAUGUCACAGGUUAAUUGUAUUUAUCUACCUAUAUGACAUAUUCUUUUUCAUAGUCAACAUUUCACAGAUUAAUGUGUCUUGCUUGUAGAUAUAUUAUGUUUUUUUCUACCUUUUAGUUAGGUUUCAUAUCUCACUUAUAGGUAUAAUAUACAUUCAUAUAUUUGCUACUUGAGUUAGGGUAGAAUGUUUUGCAGAUAGAUUUAUGUUAGUAUAUUAAUUUUUUUUUGUUUAUAAGAUAUUAAUUAGAUAUUUUGGAGUUGAAAAAUGCAUAAUAUUAAAAGCUUUUAAUUGAUUUUUAAUAUUUUUAGAAAAUAUAAAAGGAGUAUAAAAGAAAUCAAAACAUAUAAUUAGAUAACGGGAGUCACUCCUAAAAACACUCUAUGUUUUUUGACCUGGAUCUUAAAGCCCCUAAAUUAAACUGUUCGCUUUGUUGGGAAAAAGAAGUGGCCCUAGUUUCCCUUUGAUUUUUCAAGCACGGUGGGAGACUGGUCAUAGUUUCUAGAUUGAUGCUCUAAUUCUAAUGUUAUACAACGCGUACGCUAUAAUAUUUUUAUCAAAAUAUUAGUUUUAGUGUUAUCAAAACAAUAUGUUAUUCUUACCAUGUUUUUGUAUCACAAUUAUAUACCACCUUAGAUGGUAUCUGAUGUGGACAGCCACAUCAUUUAAAUUAAUAAGCAUUUAAUUUCAAAAUGUUAAUCAAUAAUUAAUAAAAAGAUUGUUAAUUAAAUGAUGAUUGUGGUAUACAAGGAGUCUCCUUCUUCCUUCCUCUUUCCAUUCUGCUUUUUCUUCUUACCUCUUUUUUUUUUUUAAUGCCAGUUUUGUAUUGAUUUCUGUUGAUUUCCAUGAUUAUGGUCAAUCUUUAUAGAAUUUACUAGUAUGCCACAAUCACCAUUGAUUUCUAUCUCCAGACUCAUGCCCCGUAGCCCUAAUCCUCAUUCCCCUUCAAGUAUUUCUGUCUCCAAUCUUCUUUGGUACUCCAUGAUUGUUCAUCUCGUGAUAUUUUUUUUUUUGAUUAUUUCAUUAAGUAACGCUUAUUAGCUUUCAUGCGAAUUAGGAGUCAAAAUCAAAUUUGUCUAUCGGAUUAGGGUUCAUACCCAAUUAAGUUACUAACGCCAGAGGGAUUUUGAAGUAUGCAAUUUUCCUUAUUUAAGUGUUUUAAUUAAUAAGAAAAUUGAAAUUAAACAAUUUAGCUUGUCCAACUCAUCUGCCACCUAAGAUGGUAAAUAAAUGUGGUAUAAAAUUGUGGUAAGAAUAUCAUUACUCUUAUCGAAAUUACAAAAAAAAAAAAAAAAGCUGAUUCAAUAUUUAGUUAUUAAAAAAAAAAUGAUCAAGUAACUAUCCAAUACCCAUGUAUUGGGUGCUUUGUUUGAAAAUUUUCAAAAUGAUAUUGGGCUCGUUUGGAUAUGUUUUUAAAAUGACUGAAAGCAUUUUUAGAGAAAAUAUUUUUUUGAUUCCAAAAGCACUUAAAGUGCUUUCUGCAAGAAGCACCCGUUAUGUGCUUCUUCCUGGAAGCACUUUAAGUGUUUUUCCAGCAUUUACUUGCUUUUUUACUAAGGACUGGUUCCAAAAACAUUUUCACAAAAAGUGUUUUCAGUCAUUUUAAAAGCACAUUCAAACGAGCUCAUUGUUUUUCCUAUUUUAAUCGAGUGCGUCGUCCUCUGUUGAGAAUGAAUCUCAUAUUAUGGGAGGAGGGAUCUUGCAUGAAUGGGAGGAGGGACCUUGCAUGAGCUUAUAAGUAAGUUGGGUUACUCUCCAUAUUGCCAAAAGAAAUUUUAUUUGGACCCAGUUUUCCUCUCUCUAAACCCAACUUUAAUAUUUUGUUACCUAUAAACUCUCUAGUUUACCCUCAUAAAUUAUAAACAUAAAUAAACUAGAAAAAGAAAAACUCAUCAAACCCAUUUCCCAACUGUUCUGGCGUCUCUUCCCUGUAUUUGUUGGGUCUGUCUCCCUCCCGACUGUUUUUUUUUUUCUGAUAUCUCUGUGUGUUCCCCCACCUCUCCCACACCCACCAAUUCUUUGUGGUGGCUAUUCCACCAAACGUCCAGUGAAUCUUUCCAUUUUUCUUCUAUUGCGCGUGAUAGGGCCUUGCUAUUAAUAGGCAAAACUAAGCGGCAUCGUCGACUCCGUAAGCGACUUGUUGCAUAAGUCCAAAAUGGAGUCAAAUGGAUUUUGUAUUGGGUCGGGUUGUUGAAGGCGAUGGCUGAUUUAGCAAUCCCGCCUAACUAUUUCUAUAUGUAGGAGAAGGAAGAGGGAGGGAGGUCUGAAGUGGUGGUUGAGUGGUGGCGAUGUAUGUGGGUUCUCUCUCGGUUGAAUGGGUGUAGAAAGAUAUUUAAUUUUCAAUAUCUUAUUUUAUUUUGUAUAAGGGAUAAUAUAGGAAUUACAUAAAAAGUUUUUUUUAUAGCUAGGUGUAGAAAUAGUAUUGUUGGGUCUAAAUAAAAUUACCCUAUUGCCAAUUAGUUUUAUGGUGAAAUCUUAACUUUGUUCAUGCUUUCAUAGUAGGUUGUUCCACGUGUGAAGUCAAACAUCCACACGCGCUGCACGUCACCCCGUUGUGUUGUUCACGUGUUAAGCUUGAAAAUUCAUCACACAUGAGGGAGCGUGUUGAGAAUAAAUUCCACAGUUUAUAAGUAAGUUGUACUACUCCGUAUAUUACCAAUUAAUUUUGUGGAAUUCCGUCAAAGCUGAAUUUGACGGAAAAAAAUAACUUCAUGUUUGUUCUUAACUAUAAAGUCAGUGAUACACUAAUUCUGGUUUGUUUGUUUUUUCCUUCCUUCUUAAGGAAAUUCCCAAUCCAACCAAAAAAAUGAAAUUCCCAAGAGAAUAGUAGCACGAACAAUCGUAGCUUUCUUCUUCGAUAAGCCUUGGGGAAACAGAAAAGGGAAAACCGGACUUUAACCCUAAUUUCUCCCAAUGCCGCAGCACUCUCUAUUUUCUCUCUCGCUCUAUAUCGCGGUCCCUCUCUCUCGCCGUCCUCUAUUGCUCAAACUCAAUGUCUCCAACUUCCUCUGUAUGGUUCCCGAGGAAGAUGGUAAAACAGUAAGGGCAAGAAAUUGUGACAAGGUUAGAUUUGGGUAUUAAUCUGGUGGGGCUACAAUUCUCCAAUCCACACCCCUUUCAUCUGUGCUAGUGUUUGAACCCAAUAUUAGAUAACCGGUCCAUGCAAUCGAUGCCGUUGAAUGAGAAAAAUUCUAGGCCGUGGGAUCAAAUAUAAUGAUGUGGAUUAAAUAAGGAAAAUUUAAAGAGUAAUGAUAUUCAUACCAUGUUUUUGUACCACAUUUUCAUACCACCUUAGGUGGCAUUUGAUGUGGAUAGCCACAUCAUUUGAAUUAAUCAGAUUUUAAAAUUUAGUUGAUUAUUUAAUAAACUAAUAAUUAAGAAAAACUAAUUAAUUAAAUGAUGAUUGUGAUAUACGAGGAGUCUUUCUCGUUCAUUUCUUUGGGUUUUGCAAAUUUUUCAAAUGAUGUGGCUGUCUACAUCGGAUGCCACCUAAGGUGGUAUAGAAAUAUGGUAUAAAAAUAUGGUAUGAAUAUCAUUACUCAAAUUUAAAUGUUUAUCUUGGUUAAAUUACCAUGAUAAUAUUGUGGAAUUAUCUUUUGCAUAACGGAAGAGCGAGAAAAGUCCAAGGGUGUAGGGAAGUUGUGUGGUUGACUACCGCUAUUUUGAUGGUAUAAUCUGUAGAGUAAUAUUACAUUUAACAUCUAUUUGUAUCAUAUUUCUAAUAAAGAUAAGGACCAUCAAUGCAUAAAUAAUUAAACAAAUAUAUAAUAAGAGUAUCAUUUUUGUAACUAGAAUAGGAGAAGAAAGACUUCAAGAUGGGAUCAGCCAAAUAAUUAGCGUUAAGAUAAAAAUAUUGAAAGGAAAACUAAUGAAAAUGGCUUGAAAACUUUGAGUUUUAACGAUAAGGACAAGAUAAAGGGUAAAGUGAAUAGUACCAGGAUUGACUUUUUAAUGUAAAAAUAUAGUUUUUCGUUAAAGUGAACAUUACCGGGAACUUUUCGUUAAAGUUUCCAAUGAGAUAAUAUUGCAACAGCUGGCAUGAGACAAUGAUGGUAUAAAGAUGGCUACUACGGCCAAACUACUACAUAGGAUUCCAUACAUGCGGUCAUUAUUUCGACAAAUCAAUGGCUGCCGCAAUCAUGUGCUCAUUAUUCCGACAAAUCAGUAGCUACUUGCAUUGGAUUAGGAUUGCAUGCGUGUGGUCAUUGAAUGAGGAUUGCGUGCACGUGAUCUUUAUUCAAACAAAUCACUAUUGACCAUAUAUUGCAAUUGGUUAAUGGUAGGCAAAUUGAAUUUUUACAUCAAAUAAUGUGAUUGCUGAUAAUUGAAUUAUUAUUUAAAUGUUGAUUAAUAUGCUUAUUUUUUAUUUGUGAUAUAUCAUUUAAUUUGUACAUUUAGUUUACCUAACAUUACCAACUGUAAUUUGUAUAAAUGGACUGGUACCUAACAUAACCAGUUGUAAUUUGUAUAAAUGGGACUGUAAUUUGUAUAAAUGGACUGGUGCCUAACAUUACCAGUUGUAAUUUGUAUAAAUUUACUGGUCCCAAGAGCACAUGCUACUGCUCAAGAAGCAAAGUUCUUAUUUGCCCAAAAAAAAUCAUGGUUUUUUAAUUGAUGCUCUCAUUUUAAUUUACUAGCCCCUUACUUGGCCUUUUUUAUUUAUCAUUUUAUACAUAUUAAUAUUUUUUUGUAAAAUAUAUUAGUUUGAGUUUUAUUAAAAUUAAAAAUAAAUAAAAAAACUUAGUUUUAGUUUUAUCAAAUUAAAAAAAAAUGACUUAAUAUUUAGUUAUUGAAAUUGUAAAAAAGUGAUCAAGUAUUGGGUGCUUUGUUUGAAAUUUUUCAAAAUGAUAUUGUUUUUACCAUUGAAACCCUGUUAUAUACAGUGAUGGCUAAUUUGUCAAGUUCUACGAAGUUGGGAUACCCAGCGUUUUAGCAUAUAACAUAGCUUAGUAUUACAAGCAUAAUUAAUUAAAAUAAAGGCAAAAUAAGAGGAUAGCUUAGUAUUACAAGCAUAAUUAAUUAAAAUAAAGGCAAAUUGUAACAGCCCGUCCCUAAAAAUGACGAUUUUAUAAUCUUAACACGUGAGUUUAUGAAGAUGCCCUUCGAGGCAAAGUGUUGACUACCGCGUCGUGUCAUGUGAGACUCAUCUUCUUGGCGUAUUCUCGUUUUACUCGUCGCUACGGAUGCGUGGGCGCAAACGACACGUGAUUUGGAGCUAUAACAAAAGAGUUAUUAACAUUUAAAGUUAAGGACAUUUUAGUAAAUUAAUUAAUUUCAGAUUUUGUUGAGGGGAAAAUCUGGAGUGCCAUGUGGGUGGCCCAGAUUAAAGGAAAUGAGGAAUGGAUGGUGGAGGUGUAAAGGAAAGAAGAUAAAAGAAAAAUGAGAGGAAAUGUGUGACUAAUAGGGAGAUGAGAGAGUUAGGAUGGCCCAAUUAGAAACAAACGAAAGGAGGAAAAAGGAGAGAAGAGGGGAGCAGGGGAUCCCUUCAACCCGGUUCCACUUUCCGACCCGACCCGAUCCUUUUCAUCUUUUCCGGUGGUUUUUCGUCAGUUUUUCCGGCGAACCACGUUAUCUAACCCCGUUGAAAAUGUUCCACGACCUUCCCUCUACCAUUACAACCCAAAAUUGUAGAAAUUUAGCCAUGAAAGUAUGAAAACCGCACCGGUGGGUGCGGGAAACCUUUGUCGUCGAUUCUCCCAUUAUUGAAACGAUUUUCACCAAUUAUCACCACCUACAGCAUCCUCUUGAGGUCUGGAAUAAAGCCCAAACAAGUUUUGGGGCGUUGGAGUUCGUUUAAGGUCGAAUUGAGCACACCCAAAUUCAAGGGUUCCGUACCGUUCAUGGUGAUUUGAGGUGUUUCUCGGCCAAAUUGGCCUUAGUCACAAGUAUGAAAGUUGCUCCACUCGUUGAGAUCUUCAUUUAUGUGAAAUUUGAGAAUUUUUUGAAAUAUUUGGAUUUUCCAGCGAGUCGGGGUGGCGGACCGCCACCGGCAGCAGCGCAUGGCCAGUGGUCCACCAAUGUCAUUUUACGUUAAAUUGAUAUCUUGAUUUUAGAUUUGAUGUCUAUAUGUUAUGACUUGAUUAUGUGAACCUAGUUUGAUUAAGGUGCGUUAAUUGGUAAAAAUAUGAAACGACGAUCCGACCGUGGGAUCGUCACCAAACUUUAAUAUGUUAUAGUACAUAAUAUUUGAGAAUCAUAGGGACUGACAGAUAGGAAAUCCGAGAUACAGAUCUUCCCGAAAUGGAAUUGUAAGUUUGAAGAAUAAACGUUAACCGCCACUUUGUUUUGACUAUUGGUGGAGAUCCAACCGUUGGAUCAUAAUGAAAUUUUAGGAUGAUGUUUUAGAAGCAUAAUGUGGAUCUUUGGAAGUUACUGAUCGGAAAUCCGAGGAGUGAAUCUUCCGAAUUGAAUUACGUAGGGUUGUGGACCUUACCGUCGAUCGUUGACCGAUGAUCGACUUUUGGUCAAUGGGGCUUAAAUCAAUCUAAAACGUUUUUAGGGAUGUGUUUUACGUAAAUUACAUGAUCUAUUGAUAAGAAUUAUGAGAUGUGGUUUGAUAAUUGUCCUAGGUGCCGAUCGUUAGGAACGCUUCGAUGGUUAUGCUAGGAAAUUGUAGCACAGACUCCUUGUGAGUGAAUCUUUUCCUUCUUAUCAUAUAUAUAUAUAUAUAUAUAUAUAUAUAUAUAUGAUUGACAAUUCCACAAACGUUUAUAAAUUGAUUAUUGCAUAUAACUACUGUGAAUACUUUGAAGUACUUAUGCGAACUACGAAUGGCUUGAUCCGUGUUUAGGGUACGUAGGCAGUCUAACAAGACGUUAGAUGUAGUCAUACAAUAAUUGAGAUUAAACAAUUGAGAUAAAGCCUUGUUUGGGGAACUGGGCAAGGUGAAGGAAUUUGGUAAAAAGGUGAGAUUUAACCUUAUGAAUUGGUGAUUAAAUGUUGGUCAUAAAUCAAUGUGUAAAGAAUCAAGAAUUUGAAGUAAGGAAACGUAAGUAAUGAUAAUUAAUUAAACUAGUGUCUAGUUGGGCUUGUCACCUAUAAUUAUCCCCGAAAAUGAAUAAUUCGGGAGUAGGGCGUUACAGCUUCUGCAUUUUUAUGCCACAUUAUAUAUAUAUAUAUAAUUGGAAAUGCUAUAACAUGGUUGAGUAUCAGAUUUCAUCAUGGUUUAUCUAUAUGUAUAUUACCUGCACACAAUUAUUAUGAACGCGUUGAAGUGCAAAGGUGAAUGCACGACACCCAGGUAAGUUCAGGUGAGUUUAUGGUAUUAGUUGAAAUGAUGGGGUUAUGGUAUGACUACAUGUAUGUUUAGGUUGCAAUGAUAGGCAACUCCAACACUGUCGUACAGGUUGCCCAUGAAUUGUACAUGUUACAAUAGAUACAGUUAGAGCUCAUAAACCUACACCCCGGUGUUAGUACUCCCGCUCGUGGCCAGGGCACAGUCCUUCACGUGAUGUUCACCUCCCGCACCUUACGCUCACCUUGGAUCCAAGGUAGGUGCACAAUCAUGUCGUACCACUAUAGGUGGUUCCGACUCGUAGAUGACCCGCGAUUAUUUGCACAGUCUUCACGUGAUUGUAGCACUUGAGCGUAUUUAUUUACACCCAGUUCUAUUGUACAGACCACUUUAGGUGGUUCCGACUCGUAUGCAGGUAUACUUAUUAAGCUAUGGAUAAGUCGUACAGGUCACUAGAAGUGACUCCGACUUAUGAGCUAGCAUAUGUGAUGAGCUAGCAUAUGUGAUGAGAUAAGUGAUGAGUUAGUAUAUGUAAUGAGAUAUGUGAUGAGCUAGCAUAUGUGAUGAGAUAUGUGAUGAGCUAGCAUAUGUGAUGAGAUAUGUGAUGAGCUAGCAUAUGUGAUGAGUUAGCAUAUGUGAUGAGCUAGCAUAUGUGAUGAGAUAUGGGUAAGUCGUACAUGUCACUAUAGGUGACUUCGACUUGCGUGCUAGUAUGGGUUAUUAAUCACAUGAUUAUUGAUAUUACUGAUGAGAUGCUGUGUUGUGGUAUAUUUAUGAUCUUUCUGGAAACUAUGCAAGUGUUGUAACGAGGGGUUAUAAUGAGGUGUUGUAACGAGGGGUUAUAAUGUUUUAUAUGGUUUCUGUUAAAAUUUUAUUUCUAGGGUCACUCACCCUUAUUUUGUUUUCACCCUCUAGGUUUUAUUAGCUGAGCUUUCUUAUCGUCGAAGAUUCGUGGCGAUUCUUAGUAUUGGAGAUUAUUUCGAGAGUACGAUUCUUAAUUCACUUUACUGUACUUGCUUAAGCUGUAACGUCACGUGUGAAGUGGGUUCAUUUCCGCUUACCAGCGCAUUCUGGUAUUUAGGCACUCUUAGGUUUAAAUUUAUUCACAUUUUUCCACAUCAUCAAACUUUAUGGCUUUGUCACUCUUUAGGUGUCGGCCAGCACAGCUCGAUUUGGAGUCCUAGUGGACAUUCCGGGUCGGGGUGUGUCACAAAUGAAGAGGAUGGUUGAACUUGUUAAGUUUCUUAAGUGUGUCUACUUGAAGUGUGUUGCUAAUAAAUAUUUUGUUGUAGGCAUAAUUUACUGAACAAUUAUGGAGGCAGAGAGAGAGAGAGGGAAUAUGCGGCAUAGAGAGAGAAGAGAGAGAUGUGUAAUUGUGAGGUGUGUUCUAUUCCACCCCAUUGUACCUUUAUUAUAUUAGUAGGGAAAGUUAAUUCCUUACCCUUUUAGGAUUACAACUCUAAUAGGAAAAUAUCUAGUCUAAGAGAUAUGAUAGAAUCUCAUAAGGAUAUCCUAGAUAUGUUAGGAUUUACACAAUCAUAUUCCUAUUCCAAUAAGACUGCAACACAUUUGUAUUUUUUUAGAAUUUUUUUGAUAAUUUGUUGGUAUUCUCAAUUUUUGUUAACAUUGAAAAUAUAACGGUUCAGAUGAAAAACCUUUGGAAAUCCAACAGCUUGCAAGACGUUGGGCUGUGCUGAAGGAAGCUGGGCUGUCACGUGGAUGGGGCCCUCCCUCUCCCUCUUGUUGAUUCAAAGGGCGCAGGCCCGUGCAACAAUUGGCGAGGCAGCCCAUAGAGAUCCUGCGAUUCACCCAUUCGCCAUUUUUUCCACCGCUGGAGCACCAAAAUUCGGUCAAAAGGCAGGGGUAUCAAUGGCAAGGGCAAUUUGGCUUCCGCUGGAGGUGCUCUUUGUCGACUUUGUUUUUUCUCUCAUUUUAGCUUUUGCAGUAAUAUUGAAGUAAUCACUCCAAUUUUAUCCAAACUUUUGUUGUCCGUCAAUUUUUAUCAAAACUAUUGGUUAAUUUACAUAUUCAGACUAACCUUCUCAUUAUUUUUAGUAUUUUUAUCAUAAAUAAUAUCUGAAAUAGUCACAUUUUAUUCAACAACCACUCAAUUAAAAAUUAAUUAGUGUUGUUUCUAAACCAUUACAUCAAGCUUUUGUAGAUACACAUCAAUAUUGCAGCGAUCCGAGGCAUUGUUUUAGUGACGGUAGUACUUUCUACUCCUUGGAUUUGGUGAAUCGGAAAAGAGAAGAGUUACGAGUAAAAGUCCCUCGCAUUGUUUUGGGGAGAUGAAGAUGAUGAUCUUUUGUUUUUGUUUUUUAAUGAUUAAUCCACGCAGCAACAUAUAAUUAAAUUGUUGGGAUCUACUCAAGUUCCAUAUCACACACUAACAUAAAAUUUGACAAACGAAACGAAAUAUGUGUGUAGACAUCGAAAUUUCGUAAAUAAAUGUUGACCGAUAAAUCAAAGUGUCAACGCUCAUGUAUUACAUAAAUUUUACACGUAGCGUGUGACUCAACGAAAAUUGAAAUGAGUUGGAAAAGUCAUCAAAUAGGACACGUGUCAACACCUGGCAGAAACGACUUAUUUCAUCUGGGAUAUUAUAUUCAAAAUUAGCCAUUGGAAAAUUCUAUAAAUACAAGCCCAUUUCAUUCAUUUAAGGAGAGGAAUUCAUAUUACACCUUGAAGCUCUGAAGCUCUGAAACUCCGAAGCUCUCAAGCAUCCAGGUUCCCGAAGAAUCAAGAAAGUGUUCUUCGUUCUUCGUUCAUCGUUCUUCCAAGAUCAAGCCUCGACGGCCCUUGGAUCAACAAUCAUCCACCUUCAAGAUCAAGCCCCGACGGCCCUUGAAGAAAGCGUUCUUCGUUCUUCGUUCAUCGUUCUUCCAAGAUCAAGCCCCGACGGCCCUCGGAUCAACAAUCAUCCACCUUCAAGAUCAAGCCCCAAAGGCCCUUGAAGAACUUCCACCAAUUCAAGAUCAAGCCCCGACGGCCCUUGAAGAAAGCACCAUCGUUCAUCAUCCGUUCAUCCAAGAUCAAGCCCCAACGGCCCUUUAGAUCAACAACGUCGACAAAUCCACACAUCCAACCGUUCUUCAAGAUCAAGCCCAAAAGCCCUUGAAGAUCCGUUCAUCACUGUUCUUCAAGAUCAAGCCCAAAAGCCCUUGGAGAUCCGUUCAUCACUAUUCUUCAAAGAUCAAGCCCAAAAGCCCCUUUGAAGAUCCGCUCAAAUCCACCUUCAAGAUCAAGUCCACGGCCCUUGAAGAACGUUCAUCCUUAGAUCAAGCCCAACGCCCCUUUGGAUCAAUCGCACAUCCACAAAUCAACACCUUACGGAGAUCGAAUCAGAGGAUCAAAAUAGAGAGAGAUUGUAACCCAAAAUCAUCAAAUACAAAUAUUUGUUUGUGCGCGUUGUUCUUGUCUCUUUCGUUUCAGGAAUUUUCCGUGUUCACAAUGUGCUCUUGAAAUCAAAAUGAGGGCACUGCUCCAAGAACAAGAAGGGCACCUUGUCGAGGUCGCCAUCCGCCGUGAGGGAAAACCGGAAGAAGUUGGACAACAAUGAUAACAUCAAUUUGCGGCACCCAUAUCGGGACAUCACACUGUGAAAUAAAUAUUGAAAUAAAUACUCAAAACUCCUGGAAAGUCCUCGAGACAACAAACUUUCAUCUCCUUCAAACAUUUCAUUUUACUAAGUUUUAUCUUUGAAGGGAGGGAAAAAAAGAGAAGAGAGAAUCCUACUCCUUAUUCCUGAAUAUAUUCAAGAAUAGCUAUUGAAUAAAGAGAGAAUGGAGGGUGAUCGAAAGAGGAGGGAAGAGAAUUCUAGUUCCAAACAUAAAAAGGACCACAACUUUUAAAUUAUCAGCACAAUCAUCACCUAAUUGAAGAGACCAUUCACUGUGAAACAUAUUGUCAAUCAGUCUAUCUAUAUCUAUUUAUAUACCAUAUUUUUAGAGUAAGAUUCUCUCACCUCCUAUUACCAUCCCCUUCCAUCCUUUCAUCUCAUACUCUUUUUUUGUUGUCUUAUUCUCUAUAUAAAAAAAUUCAAAACAAGAUGUAUACGUGACGUAAUCGUAACCGUUUAAAUAAGAGGGGAUAGAAGAGAAGAGAGAUUAGGAGAAGGGAGAAUCCUACUCCCACAUUUUUCUUCUUCAUAAACAAAAGAGAGGUUCUAGAUUACUUGACUCUAUGCCUCAUUUUUUUCAUCAAGUAUUUGUGAUAAGUGGGUUCAUUUUCAAGUAUUUUAGUUUUUUUGUCAAAAUUGAGAAAACUGAAAAUCAAACAUUAAUAUGAAAAAUUAAAAAAUCAACAUAUAAUUAUUUAGAAAUCGCAAUAGAAAAGAAAAAAAAUGGAGGUUUGUGAUGAAAAAUCUUUUAUACUAAGUAAUUUAGUAUCCUUAUGCAUGAAGAUAAAUCAAUUUGUUCGUUACGGUCAUACUCUUUUUUGAAUUUUUGAACACAUUCUCCAUAGGGCCUUCUUAUAUGUUCCUUCUCCAAGCUCGGGUUAUGGAAGAAGUAAAAGAAGGAAUCGAAAAGAAAGUAUUGGUAACAACCGAUUUCAUUACGAGACAACUCUUGAUAUUCAUAUCAAUCUAUUAUGUACCUUUGCAUCUAGCAUUAGACAAUAAUUGUCAUAGCUUUACCAUAUUUUUUUGUUUCAUUUCUUCUGAAACAAUCUCACACACUUUUUUAUUAUGUGUCUACUACUAGGAAUUCAAUACGUAAUCUUAGCAUUCAAUAGUUAUUCCUAAAUAAUUUCAAUUUUCAAAUGAUCAACCAUUUCAUUUUACCAAGUUCAAUCAAUGUUAGUCAGAUUAGUCAACAUUUAUAUAUUUUGAUGCAACAACAAGAUGUUAUUUGUAACAAGUGAUUUUGUUAGUUGGUUAAUUGGUCACAAGUUAAUGUUCGGUUCAGUUUAGUUUUUCUCUCGAUUUUUUGUGAUUCGGUUUUUUCAAUUCUCUUUAGGGUCGGUUCGGUUUUGUUUUUUUAUUUAUACUUGAAUUUUAUUUUAAUUUAUUUUAAUUUAUUUUAUUUUAAAUCUGGAAACACCAAGAACAACACAAGCACAUAGUCAAUCAAACAACUAUCCUUCUCCACAAAUCAUAGUAAUAAUUACAUUCAUUGAGCUGAAAUGCAAAUAACUAACAAACUCACAAAAAUCAAAUAAAAACUACAAAUUGCUUACUCUUUUUCUUUGGGUUUCACUCGAAAAGUGUCGGUAAAAUUUAGGGUUUGCAAGAACGCAACUGAAAUCUAAAACGGAGGCCUUGUGGCCUAUGGGUUGCUAUUGAGUUCCAGUACAGAGAACCUUGCUUAAUCUCGAUCACGGUACAAAGUAUCGAGUACCUUUAGCACUGUAUUUUGGUAUGAUUGGUAGAACCAAAUUAAAAGCUAACAUCAACAACAACUACCAGAGACAAAAGCUCUUAUCAAUGCUUUGGAAACAUUUAUGUAUCUCCAAGUGUAAUGAUAUAAUUGGUUGGAAACUUGUGAUUUCGUAUCAAAUCAAUAAAAAGUUACAAUAUUGACAAUAUAUUAGCAAUUUUUAUGUUAAUUAUGAACAAGUCAAUCAUGUAGAACCAAAUUAAAAGCUAACAUCAACAACAACUACCAUAGACAAAAGCUCUAAUCAAUGCUUAGGAAACACAGUCCUGUAUCUCUAGGUGUAUUGAUAUAAUUGGUUGGAAAUUUAAAAGAAAAAUGGUGAUUUUGUAUAAAAUUGAUAAAAAGUUACAAUAUUGACAAUAUAUUUGACACACCCCGACCAAGAUCAAGGCAUGCUGGCCGUCACAUGAGAGUGACGUAACCAUGUGCACAGUGCGGAAGCAAUAAUGAUAAGAAAUAUAUGAAUAAUUAAAAACCGAAUCUACUAGAGUGCACUACUAAACAGGAAGUAUUAGGAGUAAGAUACAAAAGUAAAUACUCCUAAUCAGAGCAUAGAAAGUCUAGGUGCAAUCCAGUAGGACAAGUACUAAUUAUACAGUAUAAAAUGUCUUACAAUUAUUUAGAUAGGUCAGAACCGCCGAAGUCCUCACACCCAACAACUGCAAACUUACUUAAAACCUGAAGGGGCGCAAAAUAGAAAACGUGAGUGGGAAAAAACAAAUGUUUUACAAAACCAUUUCAUUUAUCAAUAUAUCUAACCCCUCGCUGUAAACAUGUAUAAUUUUUCCCAGAAUCAAGAUAUAAGCAUAUACAUAAAUAUAUAUAUAAAUAUAUCAAUUCAAAUCAUGCUUCACAUAAUCAUAUUCAUAUGUAUGUCAUGCCAAGAUAUAACAGAGUAAGCAACUCAGGUAAGAGUAAUUUCAUAGAAAUAUAACAUGUUAGCCGGAACCCCUGUAGUAGUCUGUACGGCUGAAUUCAUAGCUCAAAAGUCAAUCUAGCCGAAGUCACUACAAUGACCUAUACGGCAAUAUACUGCACAAGAGUCGGAACCAAAUGAAAAGAUCUGUACGACAAUAAUGGGUGUUGUUGAUGCACAAAAUCAGUGAGGACUUUGGUACAACAGAAAGUGUUAAGUUUGUGACAUUCUCUAGAUUACUCCGAUCACUAGUGUGGAUAAGUAUGUAAAUGGAUAAAGACAGGGAAGCAAACACAAGAUGUACGUGGUUCACCCAGAUUGGCUACGUCCAUGGAGUAAAUGAGUUCUUAUUAAUUGUGAAGGGUUUACACAAGUAUAUAGGUUCAAGCUCUCCUUUAGUGAGUACUAGUGAAUGAUUUAGUACAAAUGACAUUAGGAAAUAUUGUGAGAGAAUGAUCUCUAUUUAUAGAAGAGAGUUUCUAGUUUCAUUCUGACAUUGACACGUGUCAUGUUGUGAUUGGCUUCUGAUGUUGACAUGUGUUGCACUAUGAUUGGCUUUAGAUGUCAACAUGUGUCGCGUUGUGAUUGGCCUCCUGGUUUGAGGGAAACUCUUCUGGCUCCUUGACGGUAUAACGUUGAUCGAUGCUCAGUAGUUUCGGGAUUGGUCAAGUAUGGUACAAACAGGUGUAAUAUAAUCAUACUCAAUACUACUCUCACAUAAUAGCUGGGUGAUAAAUCGCUAGUCACCUAUGAGUCAGAACGAUAAUAAAGGUCUGUACGAAGACUGUGCACCUAAAUUGGAUCCAAUAUGACCAUAUGGUGCGGGAUGUGACAUUAUAUACAGGCUUGUGCCAUCACUGGCGGAGCUACACCCACGGCUACAGUAGGCUGUAGCCUAGGGAGGAUUUUAACAAACUGCUGGUAUAAUAGUUUAUAUAUGAGUUUGUUGUUGCUUAUUGUAUGUAUAAUAGCCCACAUAAAUCCUGCCAAAAUUAUUAGUUAAUGUGUUUCUUAAUUUAUAAAUAAUACUUUUAUUACCUUUUAUUAUUUUAUUAUUUUUAGGCUAAAAGUAAAAAUGGUAAAUUAAUACAUAAUUAGGUUUCUCCUAUUCCCCAUGCUUUUUACCUAUUCGUUCAAAACAAAAAAAUUAAACCCUCUACCCUAAGAAAAGAAAAACUAUGAAUCACCAUCAAAUUAUUUUCUAAUGAAAUUCAACACUAGAUAUGCUCUUCAUGUCUUCAUUUAACCUAUUUCUUGAUUCAAUUGUUCAUUCCAUAUAUCUACAGCACGACUUGAAUUGGUAUCCCCUAACCUUUUUUCUUUUGGGUACUUGUUAUCAACAAAAGUGAUAAUAUUUGUUCUCUUUCUAUUGCUUUUUUGUAUGCAUGUUUUAUUUGUGUAAAAAUUAGUUGGAAAGUAAUUAAUAAACUUGUUUGGAUUAUUAGUACUUCAUGUUCCUACUUUUAUGUAGAUUACUAUAUAAUUUUAUGUAGGCAAAAAAAAAAUUCAUAAGAUUAUAUGCUAAUGAUUUUAGUUAGCCCACCCAAGAAAAAUUUUCUGGCUCCGCUAUUAUGUGCCAUAACUCUGGCAAAAUCACAAUCACCCUAAGUGCAGUUUUAUGAGUUCAACGUUAUUCUAUCACAUAUCACAUCAUCGAUAAUUCACAUAACCAAACAUAACUCACAUGAGCUUACCUGAGCGUCCACAGUACCAUAAUUAUAUAUAAUGCAUCAUAUACGAAAUAUAAAUUCAUAUGCAUGGCAUUUAAGGUAUACUUUCAUUUAAACACAUAUUUCUGGGAAAAUAUCAAGUAUAUAAAUAUAUACUGAAAACCAAAAGCCCACUCAUUGGUAUGUCGAAGGGUCGUAGCCCCCGAGUCGCCUUUGAAUACUCUCGUCCUCGUGAUAAGUCUCACCUAUAUGCGAAUUAACUAUAAAAACGUUAUUUUAGAGCACAUACAAAAAAUUAGCUAAUAACUCUCAUACAAUGCUCAAUUUUUGUAUUUGAAUAUAUCACAGUGACCUACACAACCUCAAGAUCAUCCCUAAAUUUUUACAAUAUUUUUCUGACCCCUCACGCGCUGCCACGCACCGGCAAGGGCAACGCCUUACUCGCCCCCACGCGCGGCCACGUGACAAGCAUACUGAUGGCGUCAAUCAACAUCAUCAGGAAUAUUCUAGGGAAUAUUCUGUUAAAACCCAAUGGUAACUGUUAAAGAUGACUGACGGCAUGAGCAUAUUCUGUCAACCUUGACGGAAUAUACUCCUUUCUUCUCCGAUGAGUCGUCGGUCGCCGGCGACUUCGCCGAUUUCUUGGUAAAACUUUAAAUCGCUUAUUCUUCUUCGUUUCUUCGCCAUUUUUCAUGAAAUUGGUACCAAAAUGAAGCUAAUAACAUGUAGAAUCACUUUGUAUAAGUUUCAAGGCUUAAAAUCUACUAGUUUUUCCCUGAGAAAGCUCGAUAGUUCGGCUUACCUAGAUAUGCGUCGAUCUCAGCCCUCCGACGUCCAAUUCCUUCCAACGAAGUACCCCAAGACUCGUGAGGACCUCCUUAAGCUUCCUAUAAGCUUCAAAUUCCCUGAAACACAAGAUUUUACGUAUGCAUGAACAAUGCACAAAGUCGGAGCUAGGGUUUCCACGUGAAAUCGAAGGUUUCCUUACCUGAAAAUGGUUCCUUUGAAUUCGUAUGGUUCUCACGAACACAAUGGUGAUCUUAAAACCUUCGAUCUACAAGGUUUAAGAGGGUUUCUGGGUUGGUCCGUACGAAGAAGGGAGAGAGAGAAUGAGAAUCUGCGAGAGAGAGGGCACGGGAAGGAAAGAGAAAUAAGAUAGGUGUGUGUAUGGUCCAAAAGCCACCAAUCAAAACUAAGAAAAGUCUUAGUUGUAAUUGGGUCACCAAUCUAAAACAAUUUAACCCAAUAAUAACUUACACACAUCAUUUAACAUCCGAGGGUAAUUCCGUCAUUCUACGUCAUCGAGAAUAAUCUUCCGGGACGGGCUGUGACAAUAUCAGCAAUAUUUAUGUUAAUUAUGAAUAGGUCAAUCAUGUAUUUAAUACUUAAAUGUAUUUAAAAUAAACACCUUAUCAAUGUUUUCUGAACUGUGCUCGAUUUUUCUCCUUCGCUUUGGUUCUGUCCCAUUGGAUUUUUCAAGCAAGAUUUUAUCAAGGCAACUAUCAUUAACUGUGAACAUAAUUUAUCAUUGAGACACGAACAUCCAAGGGGGAGUGUCGUGGAAAAAAAUGUAGAUAUCUUUAUACGUUGUAUGGUAGUAAACCAUCAUAAACACCAUAAAUAUGUAGAAACGCCCUUGCGGUACCUUUGAAUGAUAACUCAUGUAUUUGUUGCCCUAUGUAAAGAUGGCUAAUGAUAAUGGAAGACUAAUUUUCUCAUCCCAAUCUCUCCUGUCUCUCUUAUUCUCUUUUCUCUAUAUUUUAUUUCCAACAAGUUGUGUUUUUUUUUUAGUAUUGUUAAGCAACCCAAUAGAUUUUAAUCGUAGUCUUUGUUUUUUUUCUUUUAUAUUUUUAAUCAAUUUCAGUUGCUUAUCAGUUCUAGCUAAUUGAGCUCUUUUACAGCAAUUUUUUUCUUUAAAUAAAAUUAUUAUUAUUAAAAAGAGUGAGAAAAUUCGAAAUUGUUACAAUAAUUUAAAAAAAAUAGGAGUUUCAAAUCAUGAAGGUAGAGGGAGUUAACAACAUUUUAGGGGGGGGUGUAGUCAAACUAGGAUUUUGAAGGAUUUUAAAAGUGAUAGAUUUGAUAGGAUUUAAGAUGAUUAAAGACUCUUACAAAAUUCAUAUGGAUUUUAAAGAAUAUGAAUGGAUUGCGGUGGAUUGUGGGGGAAGGAUUUGAAAUCCUAGGGGGUGAGGUUUGAUUCUUUUUAGUUUUGGUUAUAUAUGGUAUGCUUUCAAAUCCCAGAAAAUCCACAACUUUUUAAAAUCCUUUAAAAUCUUAAUUUUUUUAAUACACUUAGAUUUGGAUGGAUUCUAAAAUCCUUUAAAAUCUUUUAAUUGACUACACCUAGAUUUGAAUGGAUUCUAAAAUCUUUUAAUUGACUACACCUAGAUUUUAAUGGAUUCUAAAAUCCUUUAAAAUCUUUUAAUUGACUACACUAUGAUUUUAAAGUCUUUAAAAUCCUCUCAAAUCCAAGUUUGACUACACCCCCUAAAGAUUUUAAGGAAAACUAAUGAAAAUGGCUUGAAAACUUUGAGUUUUAACUAGGGGUGGGCAAACGGGUACAGGAACCGCGGGUAGGGGUGGGUAAUUCAAGUUCGGGGCAGGUAUGGGACAUGUCCAAUAUUUCUAAACACAAAACGGGGCGAGGCUGUUCGGGUAUAUGAAAUUAUCGGGGCGGGGCGGGUCUUAAAAUAGAAGGGAACGGGCCCCCAGCCUGACCCGUUUCUUUUCCUCAUCCCUAGUCUUCUCUAUCUCUCUUCCCCGACACUUUUCAUUUCACUCAAACCCGGCCCAUUUCUUUUCCUCAUCAGUCAUCCCUAGUCUUUUCAAUCUCUCUUCCCUAACUCCUUUCAUUUCACUCGUACCUCGAGACCUCCUCUUAACUCGCUCCCAGCCUCCCACCGUCCUAGCUCCGUACCUCGCCAUCAUCAUCGUCAGACCUCCAUCUCUCCUGAUUUACUCAUGUCUUCCUCGCUGCGUCCGCCGCCAUGUCUCUCUUUCUGUGACGAACUUAAAGGGACGGACGAAGUUGAACAACUCGAAACGACGCCUCUUCUGUCUGAAUUAGACCCAUAUUUGCAGCGCACGACUCUGCUCAUAGUCCUCUUCGGUUUUAAGGUAUUACGUUUUAGAGAUUUAGGAUUGAAAAUUAAAUUAGGGUUUUCUAGAUUUAGGGAUUUUGUUGGGUUCUUGAACCUUGACCUCUGUUAUGUUCCAAUUUCAAAUAUAUAUUGAAUUGAAUUUGAAUCGACUGUGUUUGAAACUUCUGUUGAAUUAAAUUGAAUUUGAGCAGGAGAAGAGGCAGAUGUGGGUUGGGCAAUGUCGAAUCUCAUUGUGGGUGGUGAGGUGGGCAUGGCGGGCGACAAUAUUGACUGGCAAUGGUACGGGCGGUGCUAUUAAGUUGCAGAAGAAUACGAAGGAGGGGGUGUGGGCAUGGGUGGAUAUCGCAAGCUCAAUUGAAUUUUUUCUGGUUUUGUUUGUGAUUAAUUGCUUGUAUAUGAUAGUUAUUGAUGGAUCUUGACAUGCCCAUUUAAUUGUUAUUGGCAAUGCUAGUUUGAUUGUAACAAAUUCAAACCGAUUGAAUUGUAUCCCAGAAAAAAAAAUCAAUAAAGGAACUGAGGACCCGGCCCGAACCAGCCCAUUUCAACCGGGCCAGGUUAGGUUCGGUUCUUAUAUUAGAAAAUGUUGUUCCCGGCCCGUUUCUCUUAAGCCCGGAUCCAGUCCGAUCACUUCGAAAUUGGCCCCAACCCGGCCCGGGCCCACCUCUAGUUUUAACGAUAAGGACAAAAUAAAGGGUAAAGUGAAUAGUACCAAGUUUGACUUUUUAGUGUAAAAAUGUAAUUUUUCGUUAAAAUAAGAUUUUAAUGGAUUCUAAAAUCCUUAAUUAAGAAAUUAGGCUUCAACCCAACUCAUCUUUGCAACGCCGGUUCCACUUCACAUCAACAGGCAAUGUUUUCUCCUCAACAAAUAGUAUUCUUUUAUGAGACAAAGACUAAUGAGGGUGAUAUAUAUAAUUAAUAAUAAUACUUGUGUUCCCUUUGUGAGUGAAUGCACUUAUUUUACCAUUCUCUAAUAAUGUAUCUUUAUUAUAUAAAUUUAUAUCAUGUGGAUAUCUUCCUAUAAAAAAGUUAUUCAAAUUGGAAAUCCUUACGUCAUCAAAAUAUAUAAAAAAAUGGACGAUCUCAUCGUAAAUAUGUUAGUUACUCACACUAUAACUUUGUAUAUUCCCUCACGUAGGAAACGCAAUAAUUAUCCUCUAAUUAAUUCUUCUUGAGAGUAGAAUUUUUAUUGUUGGUUUUUCGCAACCUUCAGACCUAAAGCUGAUAUGGACCUCUCAUUGUUUUUUGGGUUGCCGUUCUUAUUUUGCUUGGUCCUUUUACCUUUUCUAUAGUUGUUUAUCUAGUUCUUUUGAGCCUCGUACUAAUUUUUAAUGUAAUGAAAAUUAUCUUCGUGAUAAAAAAAAAAAUCAUUAGUCCUCGUAUGAACAUGCGAUGUAACACACUUUCAUGGAACAACAGAUGAUAAAGACGAUAUCCAAAUUUUCUCUGUGUUAUGUGGACUUUCCCAACCAAAUAAAUAAUAACCAAUAAACAAAUAAAUAAGAGUUUAACUUCAAACAUUGAGAAGCGAAAUUCCAACACUACGAGCCUAACUUUUGUCUUCAUCAUCAUCAUAGACUAGUCUCCUAUCCAUCAACUCCUACAUCAAUUUUUUUUUUUACUAGAUUGUAGCUCACUUUCAAAAGAGUUACGUAAAGUAUUUAAGCACCAUAAAAGAAAAUUAAACGACAACGAUUGACAUAAUAUUAGUAGUAUCAUGGUCUAAAAUAUUCAUAAUAUCUUGAUAUUUUUAUUGAAAUUUUCGUGUUUUUAGACUACCUAUAUUUUCAAUAUCAUCGAUAUUUUAAACCUUGCUAAGUCACUCAUGUAUCUUACCAUGCAAUGUAUAAAGUGUAAAAUAUUGUACUAAUUCAUUAUAUAUAAAUGAUUAUAGUGUGUUUAAACUUCUUUCAUUAAUUACUACAUAUUUUCUACACUCACAAUGUUUGCCAGCUCGCUAUAUAAUCAACUUAAAUCAAUUAUAUCUAUCAUGUAAUGCAUUUCCUUCCAAUUUUUUGUGAUAAACUAAUAGAUAAUUGACUAAAUAAACAUCCUGCAAAGUUUCAAUAAAAAUUUCCAAGUUUUUCUUACAAUUUCCGUAGUUUUUAUUCAAUUUUUAUCGAUAUCGAUAAUAUCCCGAUAUUUCCAUCGAAAUUUCCGUAUUUUUAGACUACUGAUAUUUCCGAUAUCAUCGAUAUUUUAUACCUUGGUAGUUAUACAUUUUAUCGGCCUCAUUUUUAUGCAACUUAUACAUUAAAUUAUUGUCAAAAUGUACAUAUAAAGUAGCUGAUCAACGAUGAGAUUUUAGGCAACCAUUUUCUUCUACGACGUCAAAGGUUGUAGAGGUGGCCAUGUGCACUACAUGCGUAAAUCAACUAGGGACUUGGAUCCUCUCUUAAGCCCAAGGAGAGGAUCCUCCUAACCAAAUGACUUGGAUUGUUGGAUGAAAAUCUAACGAUUACAAACAGAUGAUCUCUUUAAAGUUAUAAUAUUUAUUACCGUUGAAUUUUCAUCAAACGGUCAAAUAUCAUUGGUCAAAAGGGUCCUCUCAUUGGGCUCAGAGAGGACCCAAGUGCAUCAACCAGAACUAUUGCUAUUAUAACAAUUCAUGAAAUCAAUUAAACAAUAAUUUUCCUUCUGGCAGGCAUGUUAGUUAUUUCUUAUUUGGCCAAUUGCCUAGUGGAUUUGGUAGAUUUAACCUCUCCACCACAAACACAUUUAAAAAUUUCCAGAAAUCCGUAACGUAAAAUUUAAAAAUAAAUAUUAAUAACAGCAAGUUCUUUUCACCGACCGUGACCGAGAUCUGUCACAUAUCCAAAAUGUCACCUCCUUAUCGCAAAAACCAAAUUUGACUUGGGAUAAAUACCGUGUACAAAUUAAACGCGUUUCUCUAGCUUUUGCGUAAAGAGGCAACCCAACACUAAACUAGGAAAACGUUGGGUUGACAAAGAUACCAUGAAGAAUAAAGGGGUUAUGCAAUCCACUUUGCAAGAUAAUCAAAGUUUCCCGUUGUAGACUUGUCUUAACCCAACACUAAACUAAGAAAACGUUGCUUUCCCGUUGUAACAUGAAACAACAUUAAACAACAUUAAACAAUAUUAAAUAACAUUAAAUAACAUAAAAAUUAUACAACAUAAAAAAAACCAUUUAACAACAUAAAACUUAAAAUGCGUACUUCUUGCUUCUUGUGGCCUAAAGAUGUGCAACAAGAUCUUGAUGUAGGUACUUGUUUGUGGCACGAAAACGUAUCAUCCUAGCCGUUGGAUUUGAAUUUUUUUUGUUUUCGGCCAAAAAAUUUUAAAUUUAAAAGUUGAAGAUGGUGAGAAAUAUGAUCCUACACUGUUCAUUAAAAUAUUAAUUUCUUGAAUGACCAAAAGGCUAAAACAAGCCAUCCUUCGGUUGGAGAUGCCUAAGGAGAGACUAGAGAUAGAGAGUUUCCUAUAUAUGAUUUUCAUUAACAAGAUUGAAAUGAUUUCAGAGAGAAGAUCAAGUAUGGUUAUUUUUAUUUUGUAGAGUGUAGACAUUAUAACUAUACAUUCAUAAUAACAUGAGUAAUGUUAUAUUUAUCACAUUUGUACUCUUUCUCUGAUAAAGGUAGGGUUCAUCAACACAUGUGGGUUCUAUUUGCCCAUCAACACAUGCGGAUCUCAUUUUUAUUAGAAAAAUAGUACAAAUAUGGUACGGAAAAUAUGAUAAGAUCGCAAUUUUGUAAUAACAUAUAUACUCAACUAUUUAUAUACCGACCCAUCUCCUUUUAGUGUAGAUAAUAUCGUUUGUUAAAAAAAAUGUUGAACUUGUCAUAAUCAUUGAAUCCAUUUACCAUGAACAAACGGCAGUUUACUAAACUUGCCCUCAGAGUAUAUAUAAAAGGUGAAUCACAAUCUAUUGCAUUAAUAUAAGGAAACAAUUUAUAGGGUUUGACGGGUGACUUAAUAUGCUAUAUGGCACAAUGAAAAUUAAGUUCACACUUUAUCCCAAAUAAGGUGUUGCACCUUUAAUUUAUGGAUGCUGGUUUGACGUGUGACCGAAAUAAUCAAAUUGUAGCCAUUAAUCAUUUUACAAGUAAUAAUAUGUAGUUUUUACUGUUUACGAUUCACACAACAAUCUGCUAGGAAGUAGAAAAUGCAGUACUUGUCCCUCUCACAGAAGUCAUGAAUAAUUAUCAAAUUCAAAGAUAAAGAAAAACCACACAAUUUACAAGAGGAAAGAAAAUGAAGGGAUAAAGAAAGUAAGAAAGGAAUACCUCUAUGGGAGGACUCUUAUUUGCUUCAGAUGCCUACAAUAUUCAUCAUAUAAACACUGAUUAAGUAGUCAUCGAAAACCAAAACAAAUGUCGAACAUAGGGUGAAAAACAGAAAGAAUAACCGCAGCUCAUCAUACCAAUAGAGAUAGAACUGCCCGAUGCCCAAGUAUGACUGAAAAAUGGCAAUCCAAACAUGGCGCCUUCUAGCUCAUCAAACUGUCAAAACCUAGGUUCCACCAAAAAGAUACAAGUCACCUAGUUACUUGUAAAAUAAAAAUCUGUUUCAAAAUAGUGGAAAAUAUUAUUAACAUUGUUCAAAGUCCACAUUGUUGUACCUACCAAGAAACAAGAAGGAUUGUAUCUUAUCAUGAAAAAGAACAUAGGUACCUUUUCAAUUGUAAUUGUACAAAAAUGAGAGACCACUUCCGAACUUCUCUUGGAACUUCAAUCAAUUUCUGCCCACUUUUAAAUGCCUUGACAUACUUAAGCCUAUUUCUUUGAGCUUCAGUUUUGGCUUCUGAUGCCUUUAAAUUUCUUAAAGAUUCUUACCAAGUUUUACAAACUCACUUCUAUACAACCAUUUGUCAGUAUACAUACCAUUUUCUUUGAGCUUCAGUCUUUGCAACACCAAAACCCCCCAAAUAGACCCGGAAUUUUGCAAUGUGCAGGGAAUAUACAAAAAAAACCCUCCUAUCCAUCUAAAACGAAAUCAGAACCCAAACCACAAUCAAAAUCCGUAAAAUUAAUUUAGCCAACCCUAAAUCUAAUAAUUCUAACAAAUAUUAUAGUAUCAAUUGAGAGAGAAUUUGAGAAGAUACCUAGAGAUGAAAGGAAGAGCGUUUCCUCUGAUAGGGGUUCCGUGAAAGCAUCUGUUGACCAGAAAAGAAAAGGCAAAAAACCCCAAAUUACAUAUCAAGCAAUUAUAGAUAGAUCGAACCUUGAAAAUUGAAAUUUCAAACAAGAGAAAGGUUAUAAACUUACAACGAUCUGGGUGUUGGUUACUGGGUUUGGAUUUGGGUUUCUGAUAAGAGAGAGAAUCGUAUGAGGAACCGAUAGAGGAACUGCACCGGCAACAGAGAGCAACUGAUAUGGUGGAGAAUAGAGAUGGGCAAAAUAUCCCGGUUAUCCGCCCAUUUAAAGUUCACAGUUACGGUUAUGGUAAUUGAACGGUUAUGGGUACUACCCGUGGUUAUAACGGGUAUCUAUUGGUUAUGGGUAUUAUCCGCGGUUAUAACAGGUAUUCAUUUACCCAUUUAAUUUCAUAUAUGUAAAAUUUAUAAUAUUUUUAACAGUUAUAACGCGUUUUUGUAUUUGUUGCCAAACUUUUCGUAUACAAAAAAUUUGAAGCACAAGAAGCCAACAAGGAGAAAGAUCAAAGAGCUUACUUGAAGCUUAUGAUCUAUCCUGCGGUUAAUAGAAAGUACUGGUAUUAGUGUAGAAAAAUGUUUGUUUUUAGAAGCUUUAUUUUGUAAUCAUAUGAAUUAUAAUUAAAGACUUGCUUGGGUGUAGUAAAAAAAUAUCGUUUGUAAACUAUUAUUUCAAUUAUUAGAAUUGUAUGAUGACCUAAAUGAUUAAAAUAGAGAAAUGCAUGCUAAAAUGUAUUUAUAACAGUGUUUAAUUGUCAGAUUUUUUUUUUUUUUGUAAUUUUCAAGUUGUUAAAAAAAACAUGCAGAGAGGUGAAAAAAGGGAUUAAAAAAUGAUAAACGGGUUCAAAACGGGUAAACGGGUAAAUGAUUAUGGUUAAAUAGGUAAACGGUUAUGGGUAAAUGGGUACACGGUUAUGGGUAUGAGUAUAACCGUUUAUGCAAUUACCCAACGGGUAAACGGCUAUGUGGGUAUGAACAUAAAUGGUUAUGAGUAAAUAACCGCGGUUACCCGCCCGCUAUAACCAUUGCACAUCCCUAAUAGAGAACAUACGAGAAUAGCCGCUUGGAUGGUCAAUCCAAGAAGAGAAAAUCUUGCCACAAUCACGGUACUUGAAAAAAAAAACAAUUUUAAAGGAGGGAAACAAUCGCGCCUUUUUUUUAAUAGACUCUGUCGACGAUAUUCUUGACAAAUAGUCGGGUGAGCUUAUUUUUCACAACAUUUUAUUUAGGACUAGGUUCGGUUGGCAAAUCGUGUCAAAUUUCUUGUGCCAUUUGCCAGCCACAUAUACAUAAUUACCAAAAAUCAGUUACCGUUCGCCAACCAUCUUCUUGCGGUUGCCAAAAAUCGGUUCAACCAAAAUGAUUGGCUGGUUCGGUUGGUAAAUGGCACAACCGGUGGUUUCCACUUCUUCCUCGCUAUCUUCUAGUUGCAAGGGCUCAAUUUGAUUUUCAGAUUGGGAUGCUUGUUCGGUUGCAUUGUGUGGUUCAUUUUGGGUUAAUCCAUGUUGUGCACUAGCAAUUAAUUGGCUAGACUCCAUCAUCCUAAACAUAAGCAACACAUAUACAUUCAAAAUCAUAUAUAUGUACGUGUAUAUAUAGUAUCAGUAAUCAUCAUGUUAUCAAUUUUGUUAACAAUAUUUUCUAUAUUGAUUAUGGCAUGAAUCAUAUACAUAUACAUAUAUUUUUUAAACCCUAAAACUAAGGAGUUAUUUAUUUUCUAAGCCCUAAAAUUGAGGAGUCAAGCAUGUAAAAAAAUACUUAAAAUAUCUAAAUAGAAAAAGAAAAAAAAAAAAAAAAAUAUAUAUAUAUAUAUAUAUAUAUAUCGGUAGGUAUGGCAUACCGCCGACAUACAAAAUCAAUUACCAAAGCCAUGCCAUUAAUUGUCGGUUCGGUAAAAUGCCAACCGAUUAUGAAAAAAUGCCAAAACUAUACCAUACCAUUUUGAGCCAACCGGUAUGGUUCGGUCGGUAAAUCGGCUUAUGGCAAAAUUUCUCACCCCUAAUUUUAUUUGUCGCCUUAAACCUAUUGGUUUCUAGCCUACAAUUUGGAUAUUUUGUUGGGGAAAGAUUUUUGUACCAAUAAAAUUUUGCUUUGUCAGCUUAGGAUUUGUCGGCAAAAUGACAUUUUCUAGUCGUUAUAAUAUUAGGUAGAUCAAAUUUGUAAACUAUGUGAUGUGUCACCAAUAGGAAAAAAAUUCAGUGUGCUGAAAAUACAGUCUAGAACACCAAGUGUCAUAAUAUAUACUUGGUUGGAAAUUUUUUAUUUUCAAGUUUCCAACUAAUUGUAUUGUAACAGUUGGUGUUCCAAGCUAUUUUCUCGAUGCGUUGGAAAAUCUCUUCACCAAUUAAAAAUAAACAUAUUAAUUAACACUUAAGUAAUAAUCAAAGUAUCAACAACUACGUCAUAAAAUUUACGAAAUAUGAUCUUAAUUAAUGAUCUCCAUGGCAUUACCCUUUAUCUUAGCGUAUACGUACGCCUUCACAUGUUUAUUUGCUGAUAUGCAGCUUGAGUAAAAAUUUCUUUUUAAGAACAUAUAUGUGAAUAUAAACAUAUAUAUCUAGUGAUCCAUGUUGCGUUAUUUAAAAAUAAACAAAUUAAUUAAUUAAUAAAUGAACUGUGUGCAUGUCUGUGUAGAGUAAUCCAUAUGCAUGCUUGAAUCCUGAUCACCACGAAACCAUAAUAUAAGCUACUCAAGGCCCGGAAGCUAGGAUUGAAGAGAAAAACACCCAGUCAGAUUAAGCCAAUAUAUCAAAGUUAAUACUUCGAAAUGUAAGCUUUAAGAUAGAAAAAUCACUUACUACCUUGAGCAGUCGAGCUUCUUCAAUGGCAUGAAGCUUUUAGCAUGAGAUUGACUGCAUCACAACUAAAAUUUUCUCUUGGAAACUACAUAAGGAAUAGCAUGUAUACCUAUAACGUUGAGAAAGUACGCCAAUUUUUUCCUUCUGCACAUUCAUGUUUAAAAGUAAUCCUCAAAUGAACUUGCCCACAAUGAAAUGCAAUUUGAGGUAGUCGAGUGUGUUCCAUUUCCAUUCCAUGGGAAUUACUACUAAACUUUGAGAUGGUAAAGGAUUCAUGAAAUUUUUUACUUUUGAGAUAGCCUCUUUAACAUUUCUCGACUAUAACAAUGAGGGAAUACUUCACCUUGUAUCAAACAAGGGAGAGCGAAAAUCAACUACUAAUAGCAUCACAGAGCCAGCAGAAGAUUGAGGAGGCCAUGAAGAGGAGAGAGAAAAUACACUCUUUUUUUUUGUAAGGACAGAGAUAAUACAUUCAGUAAGGGGUACUGAUGUUUAUAUGCAAUGCUGAUUAGGUUUAAAUAGUCCUAUUUAUUCUGUACAGUGCCAAUAUUACCACCCGUUAGUACACUUUCAAGACACUGUACUCCAGUGUGUGCGCUAUGCAGUACGUAGUACUCCUCAUUUUUUGGGGAAAUUCAUUAUUGGUCUUCAUAUCUUCUUUAUUUUCCUUUUCCUCAUUGUGCCACGUGUUUAAAUCACUAAUUGUAGGUAAUCUUUCAAUUUAAUUAAAUCUUAUGUAAAAAAAGAUAUUUAAAUAUCAUUUAGUAUUACAAGAUAGUGAUAUUCCUCUUUAGUAUAAAAUUUUUAUAAUUAAAAGCGUUCAGUUUUUUAAUCUUCAUUUGAAUACUAUCUAUAAAGAAAAAUUAUUCGAAUAAGAGAUCGUUUAUGCAUUCAAAUGUACAAAAUGCAUCGACAGUGUGAGAACGAAUUAAUAUAUUUUUGAUGAAGUACAAUUAUUGAAUACAUUUGAAUGAUCAAAUGAUAUAUGAUUCAAAAUACAUAUUAAGAUAAUAAAUAUAAGUGAAUUGUUAUUAGCACUCCAAGAAUCUUAUUAUACACUCUAAAUUUUCUAUAUUUUGAAUGAAAAAUAAAUUUAUGAAGAGUGUAGAAUGAGAUUUUUUAAUGCUAAUAACACUUCUCUAAAUAUAAUUAUGAAAUUAAUAAAGUAAAGAUACAUGACCUCGUGAAUGAUGUAUGUAUUAUUCAAAAAAUUAUUAAAAACAAAUUGAAAAAGGACGCUGUUGUUGCCACCACUUAUGCAAUGAUCGUCGCUGCCAUCACCAACCCCCAACACCCCAUUACAGCUCAUAAAAGCACAUCAUAAGCAAUUUAUGAAAUAAAUUUACUGGAAUACUAAUUUCCCCCUUAGUUUAGGUCACCAAUGUUUAAAUUUAGGGGUGUGAUAUGCACAUACCUUUUUUUGCUUCUCUCACACUUUUUUUGUUGUUGUCGAAUCAGAUGAAUUGAAGAAGAUCAAUUGACAGAAAUUAACAAGGGGUGUAUGAAAAGUAAAAAUGGAUGUGUAGAUAACACAUCCCUAAAUUUAUCACAACUUUCAUUCCAAAUUUAAUUUUUAUGCGUAGUUUUGUUUGUUCAAAUUUACUUUGACAUUUCAAUUAGUAUUAAAAUCUAAUUUAAAUUUUAGCGUUCAAGCUAGAAAAAGUGUUCCAUUUAAUAUUUAAUCUCAGUUUUUCUCUUUAUUCUUUUAUUCCGAUUUGGUUGCAUCGUAUCUCCAUUUUUCUCGGUGUUGUAUGUUCAUAAGGCCUGGGAAACGUUGGCACGGAGUGAAGGGUACUCACUUUUUGGCCCAAAAUGCAUAAGGCAUGUAGAUAUGUUAAUCAAAUUUUGUAAACUAAAGGAUAUAGAAGUUGAUACUUAGAUUAUAAUUUAAGAUAAUACUAAAGAGACUAAAUUUGCAAACUAAAUGAUGUGUCACCAAUAAAAAUAAGCACGUUUAUCAACGCUUAAGUAAUAAAUCAAUCAUCAACUUUCAUGUCCUUUAGUUUCCAAAAUUUAAUAUACAAAUUUAGUCUCCCAAGCAUUACUCUAUUACUUAAGUAUUGAUUAACAGACUUAUUUCUUAUGGUGACAUAUUAUUUAAUUUACAAAUUUAGUCAACCCAACAUUACUCUUUUGAAAUUGUCUUGUCCACUGAUAUAAUUCUAUUUUUCUUGUGAUCAAAACUUCAAAUGUUAGCAAGUCGCACGUAAAGUCACUUCUGAGAGAAUGUGCUCACAUUGUAGUUGAAAGAUUAUGUGGCUAGCAACAUUACAAAUUUAAUUUGGUAUAAUUUAAAAUAUAGAUUGAGGAAAAAAUGAUCACAUUAACUAGAAACUGAAAAGGUUUCAGCACAGUUUGUUCAAGCAAGAAACUCAAUUUUGAUGCUACCGAUCUUAACAGCCUGAGCGCCGUACCUGGGCACUAAAGUCACCACCACACUCUCAUCAUCUUCAGCACCCAAAUCCUCCAACAGGUCCGUUAACCCCAACCUUAAACAACUCUUGCUCUUUUCCUUCUGCUUAUGUGGAACACUCACAAAACUCCCAGCAAACUCGCUCUUGUCGGGUCCACUCGGUGCCGCAUCCUCAUCGUCCACGUCAUUCACAUACACAUCAAACUUCACAGCCACAUCUUUGUCAAGCUCAAUCCCCUGAAUCACCAGUAUCUCCUCCUCAUCCUCUUUCUCCUUCUUGCUCCUCUUCUUCGGCUUCGGCCUUGACACCACCGUACUUAUCUUUGUCUCCAAAUUUAUUGGAAAAUCUUUACCCGCCACCACCUUCCCCGAUGACGUCGUCUCAGCGGCCUUCGCCACUCCAGCCGCCUUUGCCUUUCUCGCAAGCUUUGUCCGACGUGGCGUCGGUCUAGACUUGAGCCAUGGAAUCUCAACAUCUUCAUACGUAUACCCUAGCUUUUUAUUAUCAAGAGUGUCCCUCACCGUGACCCUAACAAGCUCAGCAUUCUCGUCAUAAAACAAAAACCCCGUAUCCAACCAAUCCUUAUCGUUAAUAUCUUUAUUUUUAGUCCCUAUACUUUUCCAAAUAUUCCACAUUCGAUCUAUAUUCGAAUGGUGCGAAAAAAAUAUUGGAUCCCUUGCAGCGGAGUAAAAAUUCCCCAUGUCUUCAAAAUUAGGUUGCGUGUUAUCUCCGGUCCAUGUAUGAACCGGACCAUGUGGGGUCGUUUCGAUUGAACCGGCCCCUGGAUCUGGUUCGGUGCCAGCCCUGUAGGGCGAACCAAAGAACAACAGCGGUUUCUUGGAGUUGGAAACCAUCUGCCUAUACAUGAUUUUGAGGUUGGCGUCGAUUUGAGCAUCCUUGGACAUUGUUUCAUCCGUGCCGUUAAAGUCAAGAUCGAUGAGAGUCGGCGGCUGAUGGCUGGCAGCGCGGAGCUCGUCGUAAAGCGGAGAGUCCGGGUUAGCGAACAAGGCAGGGAGUUGCAUGCCAGCUGGCGCGUCCCAGUUCCAAAACGGCAACGCGAACGUCGGAUCGUCUAUGAGUUUGGCCAAGAUUCUUUCGUGGAAGUAUAGGUAGUAACGAUGGAAGGGGAAGAAAAGCCAGGAUUGAUGGAUUUGGAGCUCGAGGUUGGGGAAGCCGACUUGAUCGUACGCGCCGUCGCAAUAGGCACAGUGGAUAUCGGCUUGCUGGGUGAAGCUACGCGGAUCGUCGUCCGGGAGGGCUUUCAUGAGCUCGAUGGCUUUUGAAUAUUUUUCGAUGUAGGCUUUAUCCACGGUGUGAGCUGCCGGCCUGACGCGGAGUUUGGUAGGGGAGGGGAAUUUGAAGUCUACGAUUUUUUGGGACGUUGGCGGGCAACAGUUGGUCGGGACUGCUCCACUUGGAAAGUCCGCACCUCCGCAUUUGGCUAGGUCAGGCGGCGACACUGGCUUUGCAACAGCGAAGGGGUCGCUGCCAAGACCAGCCACUCCACCGUACAGGCUUCCGAGACCUAUAAGUACAUGUCUUCUGUCUAGGUUUACUGGAGAAAGGUUUUCAUGGUCGUGAUCGUUGGAGCUAGUGGAAGGGUUUUUGUUUUGGUCACUACUAUUAUUCGUGGCUUUGCAUGAGACGGCUUGUAAAUUGGAAUGCCUAGGGUUUUCAAAUAAGGAAAUUCGGUGAUACUUUUGGGAGAAAGGGAAGAGAGAAGUUGUGGGGAUGAUACUUGUGGUGGAGGUGACGAGUGGAGCUGACAUAGAAGCCAUGGUUACUUGACUCUGAAUACUACGUUGUAUAGGCUUUGCUUUUAUAAUGUGUUCUAGGUUUUACUUUUCUUUGCACAGGUGGCAGGCCGUACACAUUGGCGGUCCUUAAGGGUUUGACGAGGAAUACUACGUAGUCAUUUAGUACAGGGCAACCAUGCACUAUAGCACGUGGCAUGUAAUAUUUACGUAGUCUCAGAAGGUGAAGCGGUUUUGGGCUUCUUGUGUACCAAUAAUAUUUACGUACUCAUUAUUCCACUGGAUGGAUUGCGUGCACGUGAUCUUUAUUCAAACAAAUCACUAUUGACCAUAUAUUGCAAUUGGUUAAUGUUAGGCAAAUUAAAUUUUUACAUCAAAUAAUGUGGUUGCUGAUUAUUGAAUUAUUAUUUAAGUUUGAUUAAUGUGCUUAUUUUUUAUCGGUAAUACAUCAUUUGAUUUGCAAAUUUGAUUUACCUAAUAUUACCAGUUAUAAUUUGUAUAAAUGGACUGGUACCUAACAUUACCAAUUGUAAUUUGUAUAAAUGGACUCGUACCUAACAUUACCGGUUGUCCCAAGAGCACACGCUACUGCUCAAGAAGCAAAGUUCUUAUUUGCCCAAAAAAAAUCAUGGUUUUUUAAUUGAUGCUCUCAUUUUAAUUUACUAGCCCCUUACUUGGCCCUUUUUAUUUAUCAUUUUAUACAUAUUAAUAUUUUGUUUGUAAAAUAUAUUAGUGUUAGUUUUAUCAAAAUUAAAAAUAAAUAAAAAACUUAGCUUUAGUAUUUAGUUAUUGAAAUUGUAAAAAAAGUGAUAAAGUAUUGGGUGCUUUGUUUGAAAAUUUUCAAAAUGAUAUUGUUUUUACCACUGAACCCCUGUUAUAUACAGUGAUGGCUAAUUUGUCAAGUUCUACGAAGUUGGGAUACCCAGCGUUUUAGCAUAUAACAUAGCUUAGUAUUUCAAGCAUAAUUAAUUAACGAAAAAUUAGUAUCCGGUCCCUAGUUUUUACUGUUCAUUGACUAAGACCUUAUUAGUUCUCAAAUUUUGAUUCAAGUCCCUAGCAUUAAUGUGAUAAUGAAUUUACAUGUUUAUUAUAUAAUUUUUUAAUAUAAAAAUUAGUAAUUAAUUUAGGGUUUAAUACUCACACCUCUAUUAAACUUCUAAUUAAUUUUCAAUUCAGACAUUUCCAAAAUAAUAAAAAAUUAAAUUAAAUUAAGUUUGUACCUAUUAGUUUUUUUUUAUAUAUAAAAAGAUUCUCAAUUUUUAAUCUUAAAUGUACAUCUUAAAUGUACCCAUUCUCAAAUAUAUCAAUUUGUUAUAUGUAAAAUGUACCCUUUUUUAAUAUAAAAUCCAUUCAAAAUUUUUAAUCCAUGUUUAAACUUAUAUGGGUACAUUCUUUUUCGUUGAUUUGAGAAUGUAUCCAUGUUUUGGUACAAUAAAUUUUUUGUUAAUUUUGGUUAAUGUACCCAUACAUAUAUGUACACACACACACACACACACACACACAAUAUAAUAGAGAGUAUAAUUUAUAUUUUAUUAUUUUUAAUCCCAUAAAUGAUGGGUUUUAUUUAAAAUCUCAUUAAUAUAAACAAUUAUAAAUUUCAAUUUUUAAUUUUUAAUUUAAAAAAUAUAGUAACUUACAUUAUUACAUUAAUGUCAGGGACCUCAAUAAAAAACUAAAAACUAACAAGGUUUCAAUCAAAGAAUAUUGAUAGCUAGGGACCACAUCCAAAGUGUCCCUUAAUUAAAGGGUAAAUUACAUAGUAACCCCUCAGGUUUGAUGUCUAUUACAACCCCAUACAACAUCUUUAAAACAUUUCACUUUCAUACCUCAAGUACUAUUUUAUUUCAAUAUAAUACAUCUGUUAGAUUUUCCAUCCAUUAAUCCGUUAAAUGCUGACAUGGAUACCACAUUUGUGCCACGUGGCUGCCAAAUGCGUGUCAUGUGGCAAAAAUAAUAAUUUUUAAAUUUAAAAAAAAAUGAAUCUUCAACCCAAAAAAAAAAAAAAAAAAAAAACCCCAAACCCAGAUCCCAUCAACCCCCCCCAAACGAUUAUCCCUUCCCCAUAUCCCCCAUCCCACCCCCCAACCCCCCCUCUGCGACCAACCUUACCAUAGCGCCCCCCAACCUCGCGACCCACCUCACUCAAGGCCCUAAUCCACACUACCUACAACCCAGAAACGAAAAAAAAAAACAAAAAACAAAAAACUCAUCUCCCUUUCCCUGCAACCCAAAUCCCAUCUUCCCUAAUGGGUAUGGAUUUAAGAAGUGGGGUGUGUAGAGGAGGGAAGAGGGUGGGUGCGGAGGAUGGGUAUGGUGGGUUGCAAGGAAGGGGGGUCGGGUAAGAUGAAGAUGGGUUUUUUUUUUCUCUCUCUCUUCUUCUUCUUCUGGGUUGCAAGUUGUAGGUUGGGGUUUUUUUUUGGGGGGGGGGGGGAGGGAGGGAGGGAAGACGACGUGGGGUUUGGUUUUUUUUUUUUAAUUUAUUUAGAAGAUUUAGGUUUUUUGAAAAAAAAAAAAAAAUUCCACGUGGCACAAAUGUGGCAGCCACGUCAGCAUUUAACAGAUUAAUAGAUGGAAAAUCUAACGGAUGUAUUAUAUUGAAAUAAAAUAGUACUUGAGGUUAGAAAGUGAAAUGUGUUGAUGCACAAAACCGAAGGUCUUUGAACAACGUAAAUCCGAUCGUGAAUAUGCAAGUAAUGUAAAUAACACAAGAUGUAUCGUGGUUCACUCCAAUGUUUGGGCUACGUCCACACUGAUUAUUGUAUUUCUCUGAGAGGUGAGGGGGAGAGCUUUGAGAAAGCUUAGAGCUUAGGGGAUGUGAGAAGGCUUAAGAAUUGGCCUCCCUUAUUUGUGAGGGUGAUGAGUCCUUUUAUAGAAUAAGGGAUCCUCACUUAUUACAUAUUUGCCCAUUCCUUUAUUACAUAAUUACAUUUAAGUCCCCUGAGUACUUGUACAAGGUCUAAAUACGGAGGCCCUAAGUAUGGUACAAACAGUAGUCCCCCAAGUCUUCAGUCAAGAGAGUCUUUUGGCUAGAGACUUGAAAUUCUGUCCAUGUGUGAGCCGAAAUAACUAGAUGUCGUCUAGAACUGAUAUUUGAUAUGCGGCAGUGCCCAUUUUGAAAUAAUGCUCAACUAGAAGUAGCACAUGCUGCGAGGCUGCUCUGCUUGUGUUGCCUUGGUUGGCUCGACUUGUGGCGUUGAAGGUGAGAGAGUCCCUUUUAUAGAAUAAGGGCUCGCUCCUCAUUACAAAGAUGAUGGGUUAGUUGGUGCUUGCGGUGAGGCGGAUGCUCAGCUGGCGGCGAUGCUCUCUAAUGAUAGUGAGGGAGUCCAUUUUAUAGAAUAAGGGAUCGCUCCUCAAUACAUAAAUAAUAGGUGCUCUCUAAUGAAAGUAAGGGAGUCCCUUUUAUAGAAUAAGGGCUCACUCUUCAAUACAUAAAUAAUGGGCUAAGUCCCCUAAGUAUUUUUUAUGAGGCCUAAUUGAGGCCCAAUAUAUGGUACAUAAUGUAGUCCCCCAAGUCUUCGGUCAAUAGAGUCUGUUGGCUGGAGACUUCAAAUUGAAUCCAUGUAUGGGCCGAAGUGGCGGUUGUUCGGAAGCGGUAUUUGUAUACCCUGCACUGAAGCUUUAUAGGUGAAGCUUUGCAAGUGAAGCUUUGAAGCUGGAGCUCAGUAAAUGAAGCUUUUGAAGCUAGAGCUUUUGUAAAUGAAACUUUUGAAGCUGGAGCUCUAUAAAGGAAGCUUUUGUAAAUGAAGCUUUUGAAGCUGAUUCACAUGAGUGAUGCUCAUGAAUGUUUAUGUUGAUUGAUAUGAGUGAUGCUUAUGGAUGUUGACAUGAGUGAUGCUCAUGGAUGUUGACGUGAUGCUCAUGAAUGUUAACAUGAGUGAUGCUCAUGAAUGUUUAUGUAUGAUUGAUAUGAGUAAUGUUCAUGAAUGUUUAUGUAUGAUUGACAUGAGUAAUGCUCAUGUAUAAUUUGAAGUACUGGGCAUACUUUUGAUUACCUGGUUGGCGAUAAUAGCGGCAGGGUGCCGAAUAAUUUUUUGUAGUACUGGGCGUACUUUUGGUCACCUGGUUGGUGAUAAUAGCAGCAGGGUGCCGAAUAAUUUUUUGUAAUACUGGUCGUCCUUUUGGUCACCUGGUUGGUGCUAUUUUGAGCUUAUGGGCCUUCGCCCUCUACACAACAUUCCAGCCUAUUUAUUUUGGGCUUUACCGUUUUUUUUAAUUACCCUAUGAUGGGGUUUAUACAGAUGUCUCCGAAAGAUAUGAAAAAUAAAUUACAUCAUUCAAAAAUAAAUCCGACCCUCUGCUCAAUGGGUCACGCCAAUAAUUCUUUUUUUUUAUGCAUGCCAUCACCACCGCAAUUAUGUCUGCUUCUUUUUAUCUUCUUUUGCUUUCUGCUUUUGCUUUUACUUUAUCUUUCUCUUUUGGCAUAUGGCAGACAACGCCAAAACGGAAUAAUGAAUUAUUAUGAGAACAUGAAUCUUAUCUUUUGCCUGGUUUUCCACUAGUGCUCGUGGUAUUCUCAGGAGAUUGGAUCUGGGGGUAGGCGACUACCCCAGCACCUUGCCCUGAUACGUAAUAGCCUGAUGUCCCACUGCCAUCUCCAUACUGGAAGGUGUACGAACAAUGGUUAUUCUGUGUGGAACAAAUAGAAUCCGAUUGAGAUUCAAGACUGCACCUUCGAUCUGAGCAAGAAAUGAAUUGUGACGUUGAUGAACUUCUAGGAGGAGAAGCAGAGGAUCUUUGACUAUGAUGAUCUUUGAAUUCCAGAUGAAACUGAAUAAAAUGCAGGUUGUGGAGCUUGAUGUGGGCCCAGAUCUGCUUGACAGCUUUGGGGCGGGAGGAUUCCUUGACACUGAGGAAGAUUCCCAGAGCUGGAGGGAUGAGAAUCGACUUCAUAAUCCCGAUGGUGGGUUUGUGCUUGGUCGAAAGAUCAUUUCUGGCAGGGGAAAACAUGUACCAUACCUAUUGCAAAUCUUGCAAAUUCUCUGCUUCUCCAUGGAAGAUGAAGAGCAUCGAAUCUCUGUUUUCUCUCUCUCUCUCUAAAACGUUUUCGUUAUAGAGUGCCCCAAUAGAAGUGGACGGGCAGUGAGCAUGCCAUUUAGUGCCUCCUCCAAGACAGUAACUGAUACGGUGGUCUUUAUUGGCACUCCAAGUUUACUAAAAAGGGCAGCAAAAAUAGUAUUUACAGCACCCAAACUUGAAAGAUCUAGCUCCAACUAGUGGCUUUCUGUUUCAACAGCCUGAAAGCCGGCAGUGUCAUACCGACGCCGUUUGUCUGGAUCAAAUAAUAUAUUAUAAGAAAACAUGACCUUCUUGAAGAUAUCAGCUGUUUUAGAGUCAUUAGCAUUUUUGUCAGGAUGGUACUUGAGAGCCAUUUUCCGGUAAGCACUUUUGAUUUCCUGGUUGGUGGAAUUCCUAUUGAGGCCGAGGACCGCAUAAGGGUUUUGUCGGAGCUGCUUCUUAGCUUCUUGCUUCUCCGAUUUUGAUCGGCUGCCCUGCAUUUUUGAAAUUGACGGUCAAUUUCUUCACAAAACCCUAGAAAUUGCCUCUCGAUUACCUCCGAAACACAUAAUUCACGACUCUUGGUUGAAAUUUUUUUUUUUCAUUUCAAAGAAGUGGCGGAGGUAAAUCAGUUGUCACAUAGCACCGGAGCAUGAGGAAAACCUAGAAAACCAAGAGGCAGAGAGACUCCAUGCACAUCUAACCUGGAACCUUGCAGGAGAGAGCAGAGAGAAAGAGACAAGAAAGAUUGAGGGAGAAGCGAUCUUGGUGCAUCGUCUGUGAUUCCUUGGUGAUUUGCUCGAUCGGGACUCUGAAUUCGUGCAAGUCAUUGCUGUUAAGCAAGAAUCGCGAGGAGUCGGAGAGCUUGGAAAUCGAGAAGGAGAGAGGGCCUUUAGUCAGGGCUUGGAGGGUGUCGGACUCCGUCGGCCAAGAUUGGUGCACGGUCACGGCGUCUGGGCCCAUGGCGGUUGUGUAAAUGGGGGAGGUUCUAGGAGUCCAAGAAAGAAGAAGAAGCAGCGACCAUAGAUCUGGGAGUCCAUGGCGCUUGAAAGAUACGGCGAACAAGUCGGACUUGCUGCUGGGCAGCUGGCGGUGAUAAUGUUGGUGCAUGGGUUUUGGAGUGGGAGUGUUUGGAAUGGGUUUUUUGUUUAGUUUCUAUGUGUUUUUUCACAGAGAGAGAGAGAGAGAAGUGAUGGUGUUUAAGGGAUGAGUUUUGGAGCUUAGUGAAUGCUUUUUCUGGAAAAGCCCAGUGAGGUUUGUGGGUUUUUGCAGAUUUUGCAGAUUCGCGGUGGAGGUGAAAGAAUGAAAGAGAACCGACACAACUUUUCGUAUUGAUUCCCACAUACGGCGCCAAAUGUUGAUGCACAAAACCGGAGGUCUUGGAACAACGCAAAUCCGACCGUGAAUCUGCAAGUAAUGUAAAUAACACAAGAUGUAUCGUGGUUCACCCCAAUGUUUAGGCUAUGUCCACACUGAUUAUUGUAUUUCUCUGAGAGGUGAGGGAGAGCUUUGAGAGAGCUUAGAGCUUAGGGGAUGUGAGAAGGCUUAGGAAUUGGCCUCCCUUAUUUGUGAGGGUGAGAAGUCCUUUUAUAGAAUAAGGGUUCCUCACUUAUUACAUAUUUGCCCAUUCCUUUAUUACAUAAUUACAUUUAAGUCCCCCGAGUAUUUGUACGAGGUCUAAAUACGGAGGCCCUAAGUAUGGUACAAACAAAAUGUUUUAAAGAUGUUGUAUGGGGUUGUAAUAGACCUCAAACUUGAGGGGUUACUAUGUAAUUUACCCUUAAUUAAAAUAAGGGCAAAUGAAGAGGAUGGUUGAACUUGUUAAGUUUCUUAAGUGUGUCUAAUUUAAGUGUGUUGUUAAUAAACAUUUAUUAUGGAGGCAAAGAGAGGGAAGGUGCGGCAUAGAAAGAGAAGAGAGAGAUAUGUAAUUGUGAGUUGUGUUUUAUUCCAUCCCAUUGUGCAUUUAUUUAUAUUAGUUGGGAAAGUUAAUUCUUUAACCUUUUAGGAUUACAACUCUAAUAGGAAAAUAUAUAAUCUAAAAGAUAUGGUAGAAUCCCAUAAGAAUAUCCUAGAUAUGUUAGGAUUUACACAAUCAUAUUCCUAUUCCAAUAGGACUGCAAAACAUUUGUAUUUUUUUAUAAUUUUUUUGAUAAUUUGUUGGCAUUUUCAAUUUUUGUUAACAUUGAAAAUAUAACGGUUCAGAUGAAAAACCUUUGGAAAUCCAACAUUGAAAAUAUAACAGUUUGACGUUGGGCUGUGGUGAAGGAGGCUGGGCUGUCACGUGGGUGGGGCCCUCCCUCUCCCACUUGGUGAUUCAAAGGGCGCAGGCCCGUGCAACAAUUGAGGCAGCCCAUAGAGAUCCUGCGUUUCACCCAUUUGCCAUUUUUUCCACCGCUGGAGCACCAAAAUUCGGUCCAAAGGCAGGGGUUCCAAUUGCAUGGGCAAUUUGGUUUCCGCUGGAGGUGCUCUUUGUCGACUUUGUUUAUUCUUUCUUUUUAGCUUUGCAGUAAUAUUGAAGUAAUCACUCCAAUUGUAUCCGAACUUUUGUUGUCCAUCAAUUUGUAUCAAAACUAUUGGUUAAUUUACAUAUUCAGACUAACCUUCUCAUUAUUUUUAGUAUUUUUAUCAUAAAUAAUAUCUAAAAUAAUCACAUUUUAUUCAACAACCACUCAAUUAAAAAUUAAUUAAUGUUGUUUCUAAACCAUUACAUCGAGCUUUUGUAAAUACACAUCAAUAUUGCAGCGAUCCGAGGCAUUGUUUUCUACGCCUUGGAUUUGGCGAAUUGGAAAAGAGAAGAGUUACGAGUAAAAGUCCCUCACAUUAAGAGGGCUCCUCCUCGGGGAGAUGAAGAUGAUGAUCUUUUGUUUUUGUUUCUUAAUGAUUAAUCCACGCAGCAACAUAUAAUUAGAUUGUUGGGAUCUACUCAAGUUCCAUAUCACGCACUAAUAUAAAGUUUGACAAACGAAACGAAAUAUGUGCUCUCGAAAGCAAAAUGAGGGCACUGCUCCAAGAACAGGAAGGGCUCCUUGUCGAGGUUGCCAUCCGCCAUGAGGGAAAACCGGAAGAAGUUAGACAACAAUGAUGACAUCGAUUUGCAACACCCAUAUUGGGACAUCAAACUGUGAAAUAAAUACUCAAAACUCCUGGAAAGUCCUCGGGACAACAAACUUUUAUCUCCUUCAAAUAUUUCAUUUUACCAAGUUUUAUGUUUGAAGGGAGGGAAAAAAAGAGAUGAGAGAAUCCUACUCCUUAUUCUUGAAUAUAUUCAGGAAUAACUAUUGAAUAAAGAGAGAAUGGAAGGGGAUCGAAAGAGGAGGGAAGAUAAUUCUAGUCCCAAACAUAAAAAGGACCACAACUUUUAAAUUAUCAGCACGAUCAUCAUCUGAUUGAAGAGACCAUUCAUUGUGAAACAUAUCGUCAAUCAAUAUGUCUAUAUCUAUUUAUAUACCACAUUUUUGGAGUAGGAUUCUCCCCCCUCCUAUUACCAUCCCCUUCCAUCCCCUUCCAUCCCCUCCUUUCAUACUUUUUUUUUUCUUAUUCUCUAUAUAAAAAAUUCAAAACAAGAUGUAGAUGUGUCGUAAUCGCAAUAGUUUAAAUAAAAGGAGAUGGAAGGAGAGAUAAAUUACGAGGGGAGAGAAUCUUACUCCCACAUUUUUCUUCUUCAUAAACAAAAGAGAGGUUCUAGAUUACUUGACUCUAUGCCUCAUUUUUUUCAUCAAGUAUUUGUGCUAAACGGGUUCAGUUUCAAGUAUUUUAGUUUUUUGUCAAAAUUGAGAAAACUGAAAAUCAAACAUUAAUAUGCAAAAUUAAAAAAUCAACACAUAAUUAUUUAGAAAUCGCAAUAGAAAAGAAAAAAUGGAGGUUUGUGAUGAAAAAUCUUUUAUACUAAGUAAUUUAGUAUCCUUAUGCAUGAAGAUAAUCAAUUCGUUCGUUAUGGUCAGACUCUUUUUGAAUUUUUGAACACAUUCUCCAUAGGGCCUUCUUAUUUGUUCCUUCUCCGAGUUGGGGUUAUGGAAGAAGUAAAAGAAGGAACCAAGAAGAAAGUAUUGGCAACAACCGAUUUCGUUACGGGACAACUCUUGAUAUUCAUAUCGAUCUAUUAUGUACCUUUGCAUCUAGCAUUAGACAAUAACUGUCAUAGCUUUACCAUAUUUUUUUGUUUCAUUUCUUCUGAAACAAUAACACACACUUUUUUAUUAUGUGUCUAAUACUAGGAAUUCAAUACAUAAUCUUAGCAUUCAAUAGUUAUUCCUGAAUAAUUUCAUUUUUCAAUUGAUCAACCAUUUCAUUUUUCCAAGUUCAAUCAAUGUUAGUCACAUUAGUCAACAUUUAUAUAUUUUGAUGCAACAACAAUAUGUUAUUUGUAACAAGUGAUUUUGCUAGUUGGUUAAUUGGUCACAAGUUAAUGUUCGGUUCAGUUCAGCUUUUCUCUCGAUUUUUUGCGAUUCGGUUUUUUCGAUUCUCUUUAGAUUCGGUUCGAUUUUGUUUUUUUAUUUAUACUUAAUUUUUUUUAAUCUGAAAACACCAAGAACAACACAAGCAUACUCAAUCAAACAACUAUCCUUCUCCACAAAUCACAGUAAUAAUUACAUUCAUUUAGCUAAAAUGCAAAUAACUAACAAACUCACAAAAAUCGAAUAAAAACUACAAAUUGCUUACUCUUUUUCUUUGGGUUUCACUCGAAAAGUGUCGGUAAAAUUUAGGGUUUGCAAGAACGCAACCGAAAUCCAAAACGGAGGCUCUGUGGCUUGUGGGCUGCUAUUGAGUUCCAGUACGGAAAACCUUGCUUACUCUCUAUCACGGUACAAAGUAUCAGUACCUUUAGCACUGUAUUUGGUAGAACCAAAUUAAAAGCUAACAUCAAUAACAACUACCAGAGACAUAAGCUCUUAUCAAUGCUUUGGAAACAGUCAUGUAUCUCCAAGUGUAAUGAUAUAAUUAGUAAGAAAUUUAAAAGAAAAAUGGUGAUUUCAUAUAAAAUCAAUAAAAAGUUACAAUAUUGACAAUAUAUCAACAAUUUUUAUGGGGUAAAUUACAUAGGACCCCCUCAGGUUUGAGGUCUAUUACAACCCCAUACAACAUCUUUAAAAUAUUUCACUUUCAUACCUCACCUACUAUUUUAUUUCAAUAUAGUACCUCCAUUACAUUUUCCAUCAAUUGAUCCAUUAAGAGCUGAAUUGGUUGCCACAUUUGACACGCCCCGAUCCCGAUAUCCUCGGGAUAUCAGGAUGGUCACGUGCUGGCCGACACCCGAGGGUGACGAAAGCCAUUUAUUGAGUGCAAUUGCUGAAAAUAAAGGAUAGAUAAAACUUAUAAAUGUAAAAGAAUAAGGAAUAUGCAUUUAAGGAACGUGUUCAGAGCAUACAACUAACUAGAACACUAAAAGAAUGAUAUAAAAUGGAAUGAAUAAAAGAAUGAGUCUUACACCAAGAGGACUCGAAGAUGCCGAUGCGGAAGUACCUUGAUUGUCGGGAUUGUACGCCUCGAUCCUAAAUCCUGAAGGGGGCGCAAAACAAACAUGAGUGGACCAAGUUGAUAUAUAUAUAAUAAAACAGUUAUCAAUAUACUAACCCCCAGGUUUAUGAAAACAAAUAUAUAAUGAUGAACAUAGGUUUUCCGAAACCUAGCAUGAUGUGCAGUAUCUCAAAUCAUAACUCAUAUAUAAUAAUCACUAGUGAAUUGUCCGAUAACCUGCAGGCCCCAUGCCGGCUCCCCGUCUCUGAGCAGACAGUCAGAGGAAAAUACACUUCAGGCCCCAUGCCGGCUCCCCGUCCCUGUGCUAAAUAGCCAGAGGAAACACACUCCAGGCCCUAUGCCAACACCAAACCGUCGCCCGGGACGGACCGGAAUCUAUUCCUACGUCCCGUAGCGGAAAUGACCACUAGGUAAGUACAAAACCAUUGAACAUACAUAUAUUGAAAAACAACUUCAUAGUAUAAAGUCAUCCAUCAUCUAUACUAUAAAGAGGUGUUCGAAACAUGUUCUAAAUAUCAUAUCGUCAUCCAUCAGAUAUUCUAUAAGAACACGGGUUAUAGGAAAAAUAGUAAUAAUUCAAGGUAGCCUCAGUAAGCAUGUUAUCUCAAAACGUUUCAUAAAACGUAAUCAUUAAAUCAUGCAUUUCAUGUAUGCAUUUCUACUAUUAAAACAUGCUUUUGAAGGGGUCCACUCACAGUACUUAGCCGCCGAAGAGCCACGCAAACUAACGUCACCAAUAUUGCCCCUAAGCACAUAAAUGGUCCAAUUAAUAAAACUAUAUAAUAGCAAUUGGAUUUGGGAAAACGGACGUUGGAAACGGAUUCAGAACGUCGAAUUACCCUAAGAAGGGUCCCGGACGAAAACCCGAAAAGUCAACUCUAAAGUCAAUGUUGACCGGAGGUCAACGGUCAAAUUAGGUCUAACGGGUUUUAGGCUUGAAAUCCGGAUUAGGGUUUAGGUUAAAUAGGAUUAGGAUUUAUUGGGUUUUGGAAUUCUAAGGUUUUUGGGUUAAAAGGGUUUAGGGUGAAAAUGGGUGGUUUGGGCUUAAUCCCAAACUCACACACAACACACACACACACUACACAAACCCUAAAACACACACACACACACGGGCUGCACUAGGGCAGCCCUCACAACACUUCACAAAGGCCCUAAGGCCUUAUUAAAGGACAGGGCUUUAAGCCCUUUAAAGGAUACUGGCCCAAGGCCCGUCAAAAUAAGGCCCGAGGCCUUUGGGUUUUAAAAAGAACAAGAACAAAUUUAAAAGAAAAGGGGCUGGGGUCUACUGGGCUAAGAUAUAACGGGCUUAAGGCCCGUGGGGUUUUCUAAAGGGCCUGAGAGGCCUGGGUUUGUCGAAGGAGAAGGCCGGAAUUUCGGCCGGAAAACCACCCAACUUUAAAUGGCCAUAACUUUGUCAAUACUCAACGAAAUCAAGCAAGACAAAAAUGAAAGUUGUAGCCCUUGAAGCGACGAAGAGAAUGGUUCCUCACACGACGUCUAACUCGCCGUGGUUUGGCCGGAAAAUGCCUCGAAAUCCGUCGGACUCGCCGGAAACUGGGUAAGAUUCAAAUGAGUAUAACUUCUUCAAUACUCAACGAAAUUAAGUGAAACAAAAAGGAAAGUUGUAUUACUCGACGAGACGAAGAGAUUGAUACCUUACACGCCGGCCAACUCGCUGUGGUUUGGCCGGAAAUGGCCUCGAAAGGGGCGGUGCUCGCCGGAGCUUACUCCGUGCCGUCGAACUCGCAGGGUAGGGUCCGGGGUUCGUUGCAAGCCUCUCUUCGAUGGUGACUCGGUCCUAGUGAGUCCAGGGGAAGAGAGAGAUGCGAAAGGUUGAGGGAGAGAGAGACGGGAGAGCUGAGAAAGAGAGAGCUACGGGAGGGAGAAACGAAGAAGAAGAAGAGAGAGAUCAGAAAACAUAAAAAAAAUAAACAAGGUGGGCCCCACGGGCUCACCAAUUAAGGCUUUAAAACAAUUUUAAAAUAUAAAAGAGGGUUGGGGUGUUUCAACAUUUGUACCACGUGGCAAAAAAAAAACCUAAAUCUUCUAUACAAAAAAACUAAAAAAACCAAAAAAAGCAAAAUCGAACACUCCACCCCGCAAAAAUCCUAGCAUCUUCCUUUUAUUCCCCACAACCCCAAAUUCCCCCCCAAAACCCCUAAAACCCAAACCCUAAUUCCUCCCCCACAUGAAGAAAAUCCCAGUCCAAUUCAAUCCCAAUUACCUCAAAUCCCACCAUAGAAACCCUAAAUUUUGGUUCCUCAAUCCCUAGAUUUCCCACGCCUCUGUUGCCUACACCUUAUCAAUCUUUAGCUUUCUCCCUCAUCCCCUCCAUGAACGACACUUUCUCUCAUCCGCUGUUCCCCAGCAACGGCACCGAUACCUACGAGGCCUGGUACGGCAACAUCCAGUACCUUCUCAACAUCUCCGCCAUCGGCUCAUUCUUAUGUGUCUUCUUUUUCACCUUGGUCAAGCUUUGAAGCGAUCGCCGCCGCAUGCCCGGCUCGUCCUCCCUCGUUGCUAAGCUCUUCGCAGUGUGGUAUGCUACCUGUCGAGAGAUUAUGCUCCCAUGUGGCGCUGAGGCCAUAAUACUCACGCACCCAUCUACACACCCACACCACCACUACCGUGGACUCUCUCUCACUCUCCCUCGUCUUUGUAGAGCUAGGUGAAGCCUAGAAACCGAGAACUAGCUCCAGCAAACCCCGUGAGUUUCGAGCCAGAUCCCUGCCGACUCCGACCAUCCCAUGACCAAUCUAAGGUACAAAACAUUUCCCCUUGACUCUAUGCUCUUUUUCGUAUGUAGAUCGUAGGGAAAAGCCCACAGAAUGAGAGAGAAUAGUGACCUGAGAGAGUCCACGGUGAUGGUGGUGUGUAGAUGAGUGCGUGCGUGGGUGUACUGUCGGGGAUAGAGUCUGAGAGAGAUAGAGAGUGAAAGAGUCUGAGAGAAGAGUGACUUGCGAGAGUGAGAGAUUCGAGAGAGACUCGGGAAAAGAUUUAUGGGUUUGGGUUUUUCUGGUUUUUUAUUUUUAUAAUAAUAGGGUUAAUAUUAUAAUAUUUUUAAUGUAUAAAAAUUUCUUUUUUGCCACGUGGCAGCCACAUCAGCACAAAUGUGGUAGUUGUAGAUGCAAAUUUCUUCCUCUUGAUCUUGGACAAUUUUGCACCUACAAAACAAUUAACACCUUAGGUUAAGGCCAAAAGCCUCACACACCCACAAUGAAUGGGGGGCUUUGGCCGAAGAACCUCUGUUGCCAAAGUUAGAAUUUAGAGAGAAAGAGUCUUUACAGAAUUUUGGGAUUUUUGCCAAAGUGUUGGAAUGGCUUUCUGGUGAGAACGGGAUCACUUUUAUAAGGAUAGGAAGUGGUCGGCCUAGCUAGGGUUUUUGGGUUUAAUUUAGGUUUAAUUCUUCAAUUUAUUUGGCUAAUUAAACCCUAAAGAAUAAAUUGGUGGUUACAAAAUUGAUUAUUUGUAUAAAUGGGGUAAUAAAAUGGAGAAAAGUGAAAAAGGUUAGGAAAAGGGAGGUAGCUAGCUUCUUAGUAGUUUUAGGUGUGAGUGGGUGUUUUAAUUGAUAAUUAAGGGAUUGAUUAGGUAAUUAAUCCCUUAAUUAAACAAUUUUUAGGGAAUAUGAAAGGAAAUUAUUAUUUAGCUAAUUGAUUAGCUAAAUAAUGGAAUACAAAAUAUAUAGAAUAAAUUAGGCUUUAGGUAUUACCUUAUAGAAAUGAUUUGAUGAAAUAGGCUUUAAAUUGUUAACUAUUUUGGGCACUUUUGACUUGGUUGAGGAUGAUUGUCUGCCGCUCGCACGUAGGAAUCUCGAUAUGCCUUAAGGGUAUUUUUGUCCUCUUUUACCCAAAAAUCCACGUGUCGCCUUGUGAUUAUUUUUGGCUCCACAAAUGCCCCCACACCUGUUGGGCUGCUCGCAGAAAAUGGCAGCAGGUGUAGAGAUCAUCUUGCUUUAGGAAACGUAGGACUACUUCCUCUUUAGAUGUAGAUUCUCUCUUUAAUAGGAAAUUAGGUUCUUCUAGGAAAGGGAAAUAAAUUUCUGUUAAAGCCUAUUUAAGUCUACCUUAAGUGGGUUAUUAAAUCAACUUUGGAGAGCGAUUUCUUAUACCCUACAAGAGAGAGGGAGCUUAGAGAAUAUUUGUUCCCCCUCUUCUAGCAAUCUUCUACAUCUUUCCCGUGCAAAGGAUCGUCUUUCGUUGAUUUCUUCGUCUUCUCCGUGCCGCACCGAUGUAAGAAAAAUUUAAUUUUUUGCUUAUCUUCUUCUUGGAUAGUACUAUUACAGGGCAACCGUUAAGGUAGUGCGGCACGUCUACUGGCAGGGGCUAGGAGUUGGCUCGGCAUCGGUCGAUGAGGCAUUAUGGCAGGGGCCACUGCUUAGGCUGUUUGGCUUGGCUAGAGCCAAUGGCAGCUUGUGCGGCUGGGGUCGCGGAUUGUGGCGUUGGGGCGCAAUGCUAGGCGAGCCACAUGGUUAAUGUCCUUUAGGCUCUUAGACCUUACUCGGGCCAGGCUAGCGACUGAAAGAAAUGAGGAGGUCGUGGGCCUCAUGGGUUGUUGGAAUGUUGGGCAUGCAGGCCUCCUGUCUGCUAGAAUGCUAGGUUGAGCUCCUCUGCUGAGUACCGUGAAUGGCGUUGGCUGCUUAGUUCUUUUUACAGAGAGAAAGGUGGGCUGCUCCCGAAAGAGGAAGUAAAGAGGAUCAAGGUGGAUGCAUUGGCUCGUCUAAUCGCUGUCGUGGAACCUCCUAUGAAUGAAGAUGGAAAUAAGAGAUCUUCCCUGCCUACUCAAGAGAUGCCGAUCGAGAAAAAUUGAAGACUUUCUCCACUGCUGCUCAUGAUGAUUUGUCUGCUGUCGAUAGGCCUGUGAUUGGCAUGACUUCUUCCAAUGGGAAGAAAAAUGAGGCUGCUAGAUCUGAUCAUGUGGUGCCUUCCAUGUUGAGAAUUGCUAGUACAAUUGUUGAUAAGAUUGCUUAGCGCAAAGGUUUUAUCAUGCCCCCAGUACCGAAGUCUGUACCAGGACUUUCGUUUGGAGCAAAGUCUGGUUCACCUUUGGAGAUACUUGCUAUUAUGAAAAGUGGUAAGGUGGACUCUGCUGCUAAAGUGGCGUCAAGGCCCACUCCCUUUGUUGCUGAGACUGAUUCGCCUGCUAGGAAGGAAGAUACUACUUGUAUGGGCAGCUGUGAGAAAUCCACUAAACUUGCUUCUGGGGAGGCUGCUGAGAUCAUUGUGCUUUUGAAACUAUAUCUGCUUGAAGACAUGGACGCUUGUGCCAAGUUUGUUGAUGGCGGUAGAAAGGUUGUUUACCUAAGUUCCUUUGCGAAACAUACGACCCAAUAUAAAAUGACUGCUCUGCUUACUAGGAUGCAUAAAUAGCAAGGUUGUCAAGGAGGUGGCGAAGAUUAUGGCAGCUAAAGCUUAUUCCUCAGUCGAGGAGAUCAAAAGGUUGAAUUAUGAGCUUGUUGCUUUGAAAGAAAUGGAAGAACUGCAACACGUUCGUGUUAGUCUGUUUGAGAAGAAUGAGCAGCUAAACGGUAAGAAUGAUGGGCUUGAGGUUUCUCUAUUUUUCCGGAAGACUUGCUUACUUUUACUUUUGAGGCUUCCAUUGGUGAAGUAGUUGGAGACGUUAGUGCCCAGGCUUAGGCAACCGGGGGUGAAGCACCGGAUGAUGCCGCUGCUAAGAACGUUACGGCUGCUGAAGGUGUGGAGACCAAGUAGUCGUGGGAUGUCCAAGCUGCUGUAGUGUAGUAUUUUAGGUAGCUUUUAUGAUUUUCUUUGUUUUUCCUUGUAGCUCUUGUUUUGCUUGAACUUCUUCGGCCUUUGCUAGUUGUAUAAACAUGUUUUCCUUCGCUUUUCUUCAUCUUCGCUUCUUUUGUUCAUGCCCUAACCUUUAGACUUGAUAGACCAAUGGCAGGCAUGCUACUUUUUUAUAAGCAGACAAGCUCGCGUAGCCUAUGCAGCCGUAAAUGUUGGUGUAGAACUUUGCAAAGUUGUUAGCCAUUAGGUUGGUAACCAGAUACCUUACUUACAGAAGUAGACAAGUCCGCAUAACCACUAGGCUAUUAACCUUGACUUUCUCCAAUUCUGUAGGUUGCGUAGCAAGUAUCACAACACUUUAGGAAUUGGUAUAGGUUGCUCCGCACUUGGCAGAGGUGAAGCCUAUCGACUACGUAGCAUGUCGGCAGUGGAUAAAACUUCCAUAUAUGCGCGCUAGCUUGUUUAACCUUUCACAAGAAUGUGCGGUUGUAUAAGUCUAGCACGGUUUUACUGCUUGAAGGGCAAGCCGUAGGCAGUCUUCCGGAAUCCGUAGGCUACCUUAAUGUACUCGGUAGCAGCUUUAGGGUUCCAGGGCAGCCGUCUAUAGAGCGUACUGCGUAAUGUGCCCCAUCCGUCUCUAGCUCCCGGUUCCCCACAGAUUAGACCAAGAGACCCAAAAUCCUUCAGUUAGUUAAGCCUUGAAAAAGACCAUUGUGGCUACUUCUAGGAAUCCCGGCUCAAGCCAUCGUACAUCUAGUUAUACUAGGGUAGCCAGGCUCAUCAGCGUCUGGAUAUUCGGAGUGUAAAGUUUAUCCUCCCGUCUUAGAGAGCUGACCCAUAUGAGUGUCGGGGAAUUGGUUUACCCUCUCACACUAGAGAGUAAUUAAUUUACCCUCUCGCACUGGAGAGCAAUUAGUUUACCCUCUCGCACUGGAGAGCAUGGUUGGUCCAUCGGGGGGCGCAAUUCCUGCGAUGAGUCCCUAAGAAGGGCGCAGUCUUCUUUUGAAGUGCAGGAAUGAUUAGUUGUUAUAAGCAUGUGAUCGAGUCAAGUUGUGAUUACUUCUAAAUUCCUCAUUGAAAAACGAGUGAAACGAACGAGAACUUAGCCGUAAGGUAGGAACUGCAUAACAACUGGAUAGUCCUCAACUUGUGUGGUGGUACCCAUCGAGCUUCUUGAGUCUUCGGGCUUUGAUGUAGUGGGAGGUUACACAUGGCACCUUUUCAGAUUGUAGGCGCUCUACUGCUUUUCGAACUUUUUUUUUGUUGUGUAAUUGCUCUUGCUGCCUACUCGGCUAAUCUUAUACAGACUUUCUCGGAUGAGAUUCAUCUUUUUGGAGCUUCUCUGCUGGCAGUGAUGAAGGCUUUUCUUAGGACUAGAUCUCUGGGCUGGAACUGCCAGAUUUUGGCCUUUUUGUUGUGGCUGGAAAAGAACCACUGCUGGUAAGUUGUAAUGCAGAUGAUAGUCUGCUCGCACUUCUCCUCUGCCAAAUUUAAGCUUGUGGCCAUCUCCUUUCGGUUGCUCGUCUUUUGGUGUUGCGAUGUGCCCAUAGACAUCCAGGGAGUUUGUCUGGCCAUUUUCUUUUCUUAUUGGUAGGGGAUUUCUUGUGGCAGUCGAGGAUCAUCUUAGUGGAUGUUUUGGCCAGCCUAUUGCCUUGAGGAUAUCUUGGCGUAGACAUGUGCUGCUUGAUGCCAUAUUUUUAGAAGAAUUUCGCCAAAUCUUUGCCCACGAAUUACGGGCCGUUGUUGGUGACGAUGGAUUAAGGUAUGCCAAAUCGGCAAAUGAUGCUCUUUCAUAUGAAGCGCUCUAUGUCCGUUUGAAUUGUGAUCGUCAUGGGCUCUGCUUCUACCUAUUUGGUGAAAUAGUUGGUUGCCACGAUCAUCAUGCAUUUGCCCUUAGUAGUCUGGCUGGUGAUUAGCUGGGAAUCAGAAUGAAUUGAAAGCUUUUUCACCACCAAGUCUUUUGUCACUCGAAGGCCUGCUAGUGGGGCUUUGUACUCUGCUUCGUUGUUAGGUGCUUUGACGCUUAGAGUGAUCGCUUACUCGAGCAUUGAACCGUCUGGGGUGGCAAGAACCACGGUUACUUAUAAGCCUUUGUAGUUGGAUGCGCCGUCGACAUGCAAAUGCCAGAAAUUUCCAUUGAGGGAGUAGGUAUGGCUAAAGUGUGCUCGGCUACCUUCGAAGCGUCGUUGGGCCGCUUUGUUACAUUGUCAAGGCUAGGUUUGAAGGCGCGGUAGAGAGUCGUGGAGCUGGGGCCAUGUUACAUGUAGCAGGAGAUGCUCAACUUCCGGUAUUAGGCCACUCUAGAGCUGAAUAAUGGAGCAAAGGUCGGCUAGGGUCGUAUGACGCGCAGCAGAAGGUAGUGCUCGACUGCUAGUACAUGUUGCUCUUACGUAGAAUCUUCUGAGGCGACGAGGACAAAACUUGCUUUUAAGUGUUCCUUCUAGUGUUCGUCUGCCCUUGGCGUGUCUUUUGGGCUGAGUUGUUGCGUUCGUCAGAAAACUUUGCAUCUGCCAGGGUUUACGUCUUUAUCAUCACGGGUUUGGAUUAGGCGGAAUAGUGCGUCAUGAUGAUGACUGCGUACAUUUGAAGGUAAAACUUAAGCUUUUGGGUUACAACAACUAUCACCAAAGUUAGCUUUUGAAUUUUUAAUAGCAUCGAGGAGAGCUUUUGAACUAUAAAAUACAUGUAGUUGGGCCCCCAACUCUUCUCGCAUGACGGUACAGCUUAUUUCUACUUUAGAUACCGUCAAACAUGCGAAUAAGUCCUCUGCUGCUUCUAGGGAGGUGAUGUUGGGUACUUCUUCAAGCCCUUGAAUGUGCAUUGGCGAGCCUCAUCCCAAAGUGCAUGCUUCUCUGCCAAAGAAAAAGAGUCUACCAGAGUUAGAUAUUCUUUCAUGAUCAAUUUUCUAAAUAGCGGUGGUCUGCUGGAAGGCCUUUUUGGAAGGCUGCUCUAGCUAUUGAGUCGCUGCAUCCGACUAUCAUUGCCUUCUCUGUUUUGAAUCUCUUCACAUAGUCACGAAGUGACUCCUUUGGGUUCUUUUUUACGUCAAACAAAUGGUCGGACUUCUUUUUGAUCGAGCAAUAAGAUGAAUAUUCUUUGGUGAAAACCAAAGAAAGUUCGUAGAAAUUCUAGAUAGAUUGUGGCGGCAGGGUGUAGAACCAAUCUUGUGCCUCGCCUUCAUAGUGGUGGCGAAUAUCUUGCACAUGAGAUCAUCGUUGUUUCGAUAAAGGAUCAUUGUGCUUCGGUAGCGCUUUAAGUGUCUCUUCGGGUCUUCAUCCCCUUUGAAAGAUAUGAAAUGUUGCAUACUGAACUCGCAUGGAGGCUCUGCCAGCUCGAUCUCAUCCGUGAAGGGUGACCUGCUUAUGUUGGUCAUGUUCCGUCGUAGUGCCUCGUCGGUGACCUUGUUGCGUUAGAAAUCAUGCAAUCGCUUGAUUAAAAGUCUCUCUACUUCUUCCUGAAUUUUCAUUUGUUAGGGUAGCAGAGCUCUCGGCUGCCCCUAGCCAUAACUUACUGGUCUAGGAUGCUCUUCCAUGUGUUUGGCUCGUAUACCGUGGAUGCAGUGUAUGUGGUGCGGUCCUAGUAGGUGAGCGAGUUCUUCGCAGGCUGCUAGUUGAACUUGAGCUGGAUUGAGUGACUACUUCUCUCCGUCCGUCGUGCUGCCUACUCCAAUGUGAGGUGAAAGAUGCUCCUUGCAGGCUUAGCCACGAAUGAACACUUUACCUGGAAGGUUGCUCAUGUUGACUAUCAGAGUAUGACCCUAACCGUGAAUGUAUAUUCACCCGUGGGCUUAGUCGAGAGUGCACGCUCCUCCGCGCGCUAAGACGAGAGUAUACGUUAUCUCGGGAGCCCAAUUGGGAGUGUACACUGCCCGAACGCUCGGCUCGUGGCUGGUCGAGUGGCUGCUUGCCGAAACGCUGCGGGAAAGGUUCGUCUGCCCUUGUCCUACUUCGGGAUACCUUGUUUGGGGCACGUUGGAUUCUGGUGCAUUGCAAAAGUUGAUUCACCAAGGUUGUCUGUUGUGCAAGGGUGCUCGUAAACGCUACGACUUGUCGAGACAAGUGUUGUUCGUCAUUUGGAUUGGAAUAGCUUGGAAGGAAUGUGCCUUCUUGGGCAGUGGAAGGGUGGUAGACUCCGGGCUCGAGAUUUGAGUUGGGAAAUGUCAAAUCUACGAAAAAAUGUGGUGAGAAUGCCCCCGGCUCGAUGGUAGGUCCGGAUGGUUGAGAUAGUCUUGGGCCGACUUGGGCUGCUUGGAAAGCCACGGGAGCAGGCUGGGCCACGAGAGUGAGCUGCUCGGCAGGAGUAGGCUGGGCUACGAGAGUGGGCUGCUCGGCAGGAGCAAACUGCUUGGAGUGUGAUGCACAUGGGUGCGAGGCUUGGGCUCGGCUUGGUAACACAUUGAGUUCGGGUUUGGCUUGGAGUGACAUGACUUGGGCCGUGGCCUUGGUGUCGUGAGCCUUGGAUGGCACGGCUCGGGCAGUGGUAGCUGUGCCAUGGACCUCGCCGCGGGUAGUGGUGACCGUGAUGGCCACCGCGGUGGUUGCCAUGGUGGAGCCCCGUAGUGAUGGUGCCGCUCCUAUGAUCACAUUUAGCCUCGUGGAUCGUCGUGGUCCCAUUUCUUGAAUAUUAGAAUUUUCACUUAUGGAAUUUUCUAAAUUUCUAGCCAUUAUAUUUUUCUUAUACGUUUUAUCAAAGAACCUUUGCAAAUAAAAAAUUCUAAUAAUAAGAACGUAUGAAAAAAUAUUCAAAUGGACUAGAAAAUAGAGAAAAACCUUUUUAUGCGAGAGUCUUCUACGAGUAUAGAUCUCAACUCUCAAUGAAAGCACCAAUUUGUGGAUGCAAAUUUCUUCCUCCUUGAUCCUAGACAAUUUUGCACCUACAAAACAAUUAACACCUUAGGUUAAGGCCAAGAGCCUCACACGCCCACGAUGAAUGGGGGGGCUUUGGCCGAAGAACCUCUGAUGCCAAAGUUAGAAUUUAGAGAGAUAGAGUGUUCAGAGAAUUUUGAGAUUUUUGCCAAAGUGUUGGAAUGGAUUUUUGGUGAGAAUGGGAUCACUUUUAUAGGGAUAGGAAGUGGCCGGCCUAGCUAGGGUUUUUGGGUUUAAUUUAGGUUUAAUUAGUCAAUUUAUUUGGCUAAUUAAACCCUAAAGAAUAAAUUGGUGGUUACAAAAUUGAUUAUUUGUAUAAAUGGGGUAAUAAAAUGGAGAAAGGUGAAAAAGGUUAGGAAAAGGGAGGUGGCCGGCUUCUUAGUGGUUUUAGGUGUGAGUGGGUGUUUUAAUUGAUAAUUAAGGGAUUCAUUAGGUAAUUAAUCAAUUUUUAGGGAAUAUGAAAGGAAAAUAUUAUUUAGCUAAUUGAUUAGCUAAAUAAUGGAAUACAAAAUAUAUAGAACAAAUUAGGUAUUAGGAAUUACCUUAUAGAAAGGAUUUGAUGAAAUAAGCUUUAAAUUGUUACCUAUUUUGGGCACUUUUGACUUGGUUGAGGAUGAUUGUCUGCCGCUCACGCGUAGGAAUCUCGAUAUGCCUCAAGGGUAUUUUUGUUCUCUUUUACCCAAAAAUCCACGUGUCGCCUUGUGAUUAUUUUGGCUCCACAACAACCACGUCAGCAUUUAACAGACCAAUGGAUGGAAAAUCUAACGGAGGUAUUAUUUUGAAAUAAAAUAACAAGUGAGGUAUGAAAGUGAAAUGUUUUAAAGAUGUUGUAUGGGGUUGUAAUAGACCUCAAACUUGAGGGUCCUAUGUAAUUUACCUAUUUUUAUGUUAAUUAUGAAUAGGUCAAUCAUGUAGAACCAAAUUAAAAGCUAACAUCAAUAACAACUACCAGAGACAAAAGCUCUAAUCAAUGCUUCGGAAACAUAGUCUUGUAUCUCUAGGUGUAAUGAUAUAAUUUGUUGGAAACUUAAAAGAAAAUUGGUGAUUUUGUAUAUAAUCGAUAAAAAGUUAUAAUAGUGACAAUAUAUCAGUAAUAUUUAUGUUAAUUAGGAAUAGGUCAAUCAUGUAUUUAAUACUUACAUGCAUUUAAAAUAAACACCUUAUCAAUGUUUUUUUAACUGUGCUCAGUUUUUCUCCUUCGCUUUGGUUUUGUUCUAUUGGAUUUUUCAACUAUCAUUAAUUGUGAACAUAACUGAUCAUUGAGACACAAACAUCCAAGGGAGAGUACCGUGGAACAAAAUGUGGAUAUCUUUAUACAUUGUAUGGUAGUAAACCAUCAUAAACACCAUAAUAAUGUAGAAACGCUCUUGGGGUACCUUUGGAUGAUAACUCAUGUAUUUGUUGCCCUACGUAAAGAUGGCUAAUGAUAAUGGAAGUCUAAUUUUCUCAUCCCAAUCUCUCCUGUCUCUCUUGUUCUCUUUUCUCUAUAGUUUAUUUCCAACAAGUUGUGUUAUUUUUUUUUUUUAGUAUUGUUAAGCAACCAAUAGAUUUUAAUUAGCAGUCUUUGUUUUUUUCUUUUAUAUUUUUAAUCAAUUUCAGUUGCUUAUCCGUUCUAGCAAAUUGAGCUCUUUUACAGCAAUUUUUUUCUUUAAAUGAAAUUAUUAUUAUUAAAAGAGUGAGAAAAUUCGAAAUUAUUACAACAAUUUAAAAAAAAGAAGUUUCGAAUCAUAAACACAGAGGGAGUUUACAACAUUUUAAUUAAGAAAUUAGGCUUCAGCUCAACUCAUCUUUGCAACGUCGGUUCCACUUCACAUCAACAUGCAAUGUUUCAGAAGGUCACGCGGUUUUGGGGUUGUUGUGUACCAAUAAUAUUAUAUAUAUAUAAAUUAGGAUUGAAGGAUACACGCAUUUUGUAGAGCUUAUUUUGUUAUGUAUUUUAAUGAUUUAAAUGCUUACGUUUUUCUUCACUACAAAUGAGUGAAUUAAUGAUUUUAGAAUUUGUCUAAUUUUUUACAUUGAUUAUUUAUGAAUAUUGAAUUGAAAUAUAGACGAUUCAAAAAUCGUUGAUAUACAUUACAAAAUGAACUCCACAAAAUAAGCGUCAAAAUAUGUAUAUAAAAUGGACAGCGUGAAAGGCUUGGAAAUUGGAAUAGGUUUGAAAAUUGUGCUUUUUGUAGCAAAUUGUAGCAAAGUUUGCUUGGACUUUCACAACCGUAUAAAUUAUGCCGCAGCACUCUCUAUUUUCUCUCUCGCUCUAUAUCGUGGUCCCUCUCUCUCGCCGUCCUCGAUUGCUCGAACUCACUAUCCUUUAUUGCUCGAACUCACCGUCCUCAAUUGCUCGAACCCACUGUCCUUUAUUGCUCGAACUCACUGUCUCCAACUUCCUCUGUUUGGUUCCCGAUGAAGAUGGUAAAACAGUAGGGGCAAGAAAUUAUGACAAUGUUAGAUUUGCAUAUUAAUCUGGUAGGGCUACAAUUCUCCAAUCCACACCCCUUCCAUCUAUGCUAGUGUUUGUACCCAAUAUUAGAUAUCCGGUCUGUGCAAUCGAGAUCGUUGAAUGAGAAAAAUUCUAAGCCGUGGGAUCAAAUAUAAUGAUGUGGAUUAAAUAAGAAAAAUUUAAAUGUUUAUCUUGGUUGAAUUACCAUGAUAAUAUUGUGGAAUUAUCUUCUGCAUAACGGGAUAGCGAGAAAAGUCCAAGGGUGUAGGGAAGUUGUGUGGCUGACUACCGCUUUUUUUUAUGGUGUCAUUAGUAGAGUAAUAUCACACUUAACAUUUAUUUGUACCAUCUCUCUAAUAAAGAUAAAGACCAUCAAUGCAUAAAUAAUGAUACAAAUAUAUAAUAAGAGUAUCAUAUUUGUAACUAGAAUAGGAGAAGAAAGACUUCAAGAUGGGGUCAGCCAAAUAAUUAGCGUCAGGAUAAAAAUAUGAGUAAUGAUAUUUGUAAACAUCGAAAUUUCGGUAAAUAAAUGUUGACCGAUAAAUCAAAGUUUCAACGCUCAUGUAUUACAUAAAUUUUACACGUAGCGUAUGUCUAAACAAAAAAUCGAAAUAAGUUGGAAAAGUCAUCAAACAGGACACAUGUCAACACCUGGCAGAAACGACUUAUUUCAUCUGGAAUAUUAUAUUCAAAAUUAGGCAUUGGAAAAUUCUAUAAAUAGAAGCCAAUUUCAUUCAUUUGAAGGAACCAAAAUCAUUAGGCAAAAUUCUUGAAGCUCUGAAGCUCUGAAACUCCGAAACUCUCAAGCAUCCAGGUUCCCGAAGAAUCAAGAAAGCUCUCUUCGUUCUUCGUUCUUCGUUCAUCGUUCAUCCUAAGAUCAAGCUCCAACGGCCCUUUAGAUCAACAAUCAUCCACUAAUUCAAGAUCAAGCCCCGACGGCCCUUGAAGAAAGUGUUCUUCAUUCUUCGUUCAUCGUUCUUCCAAGAUCAAGCCCCAACGGCCCUUUGGAUUAACAAUCAUCCACCAAUUCAAGAUCAAGCCCCAACGGCCCUUGAAGAAAGUGUUCUUCGUUCUUCGUUCAUCGUUCUUCCAAGAUCAAGCCCCAACGGCCCUUUGGAUUAACAAUCAUCCACCAAUUCAAGAUCAAGCCCCAACGGCCCUUGAAGAAAGUGUUCUUCGUUCUUCGUUCAUCGUUCUUCCAAGAUCAAGCCCCGACGGCCCUUGGAUCAACAAUCCACCAAUUCAAGAUCAAGCCCCAAAGACCCUUGAAGAACUUCUACCAAUUCAAGAUCAAGCCCUGACGGCCCUUGAAGAAAGUGUUCAUUGUUCAUCAUCCGUUCAUCCCGAAGAAUCAAGAAAGCCUUAUUCGUUCUUCGUUCAUCGUUCUUCCAAGAUCAAGCCCCGACGGCCCUUGGGUCAACAUCAUCAACAAAUCCACACAUCCAACCGUUCUUCAAGAUCAAGCCCAAAAGCCCUUGAAGAUCCGUUCAUCACCGUUAUUCAAGAUCAAGCCUUAACGGCCCUUGAAGAAACACUCAUCCUCAAGAUCAAGCCCCAACGGCUCCUUGAAGAUCCGCUCAAAUCCACCUUCAAAGAUCAAGCCCACGGCCCCUUGAAGAAACAUCCAACAGUUCAUCCAAGAUCAAGCCUCGACGGCCCUUGGAUCAACGAAACAUCUACAAAUCAACACCUUACGGAGAUCGAAUCAGAUGAUCAAAUUAGAGAGAGAUUGUAACCCUAAAUCAUCAAAAUACAAAUAUUAUUUUGUGCACGUUGUUCUUAUCUCUUUCGUUUCAGGAAAUUUUCGUGUUCACAAUAUUCUUACCAUCUAAAUAUACUAUAAUUUUAUACCAUCUUAUGUGGCAAUUGAGAUGGACUUCCACAUAAGUUUUAAAAAAAUCUCAUGUCAGCUAAGGUGGAUAUUUACGAUUUUACGAUUUUACUCAAUGAUUUUUAUUAAUAAAAUAAUUAAAAAAUAAUAAUGAAACCUACUUGCUCCCGUUUUCAAGCCUCAUCGCUGGGCCUCCUCCCUCUUCGCUCUCCAAUUUCACCUUCCUUCACCAACGAUCGAUGGUGCUCGACCCCCUUCAUCAUUGCCAACUGGCCGAAUAUCUUGAUGGUGCUCCCAGUGAUUGUUUUGCUCUGCCACCAAAUCAAGUUUGCAAUUUUAAUGGUUUAUGCCUUCUGGCCAAGUGUUGGAUUUGAUAGGUUUUUAAUUCCAGCAACAUUGAACAAAAAUAUGAAAAGGAUUGGAUACGAUAUUUUCCUCUGUUCUACUGCUGAGGAUUUUCCGAAUAGAAGAAGAUUUGGAAGACAACCUCUUUUCUUUUUUCUUCAUGGACUUUUGGUUAGCACCAAAAUCUUUUCCUAAUCCUCUAUAGGAAUGAAAAUUUCAUUCCAUGUUAUAUCCCGAUGUUGUCCAAGGUUUUGGCUUGAAUUUUCAUUGGAAUUAUCAUAUGUUGGAUCAGAUCAGGUGGAGAGAUGAAACGUAUCUAACAAGGAAGUUGAACGGGUAGGGUUUGAGCAAAAAUAAACAGAAAUUCCACCUAGGUUGACACCUAAGCUUCCACAUCAUGUGGUAUACUAAAUGUGGUAUAAUAAGAUGGUAAGAAUAGCAUUAUUGAAUGGGUAAUGUUAAGAGAAAUUUUUAGUUGUGACGGGAACACGGAUGGUACACCAUGCGUUUUUAUGUAAAUGGUGGAAAAUUUUAAUUUUUAAAUUAUUAACCUUUUAGCACACAUAUCCCACCAUUUAUAUGAAAACACGUGAUGUAUCACCUCGUGUGAUAGUCACAUUGAAAAAUCUCUCGUAAUGUUAGGAAAACUAAAUUUAUAAACAAAAGUUACAAAUUAAAUGAUGGGUUACCAAUAAGAAUGAUUACGUUUAUCAAUGCUUAAAUAAUAAAUCAUUCAUCAACUUCCAGUCCUUUAGUUUUUAAAAUUUUGUCUAACAUUACCCUUUCAAAACUCAUGAAAAUAAUUUUCAAUUUUUUUAACUGAAAAGUGAAAGUUACUAAACAAGAUUUCAGUUUUUAGCUUUCAAAAAAAUAAAAACAAAAGCUAAAAAUAAAAUGGUUAUCAAACAUCCCUAGAAGUCAUUCUUAGUGAUAGUAAGGUCAUCUCCAACCGAAAGAUCCAGGGGGCUAGAGGGCCGAAAAUAGUCUGAAAACCAUUUCCAAUCAAAGGCCAUGCCAAAGGGGUCGUGGACCCCAUUAGACAAAAAAGGGCCAAAGGGCCAACUGGCUGGCCCCAGUUCCAACAAUAACUAGAUGACGUCAGUUAACCGUUAUUUUUGAAUUUUUUUUUUAACAAAUUUUAACUUUCUAAGCCAUUAAACAACAUUAAAUUAAGUAAAAAAGAAAAUUCCUAUAACUUCCUAAGUCAUUAAACAAUAUUAAAUUAAGUAACAUGAAACAACAUUAAACAAUAUUAAACAAAAUUAAACAAUAUUAAACAACAUUAAAUAACAUUUAACAACAUAAAAAUUAUACAACAUAAAAAAAAACAUUUAAGAACAUAAAAUUUAAAUGCCUACUUCAUGCUUCUUUUGGCCCAAAGAUGUGCAACAAGAUCCUAAUGUAGGUACUUGUUUGUGGCACGAGAGCGUAUCAUCCUAACCGUUAGAUUUGAUUUUUUUUUGUUUUCGGCCAAAUUUUUUUAAAUUUAAAAAUAAAUUAUGUUUGACCUUUUGGCCCUCGAUUGGAGAUAGUUUUUUUUGUGACAUGACUAUGUUUAGCCCUAUGACCCUUUGGCCCUCAGUUAGAGAUGGUAAGAAAUAUGACCCAACAAUGUUCAUUAAAAUAUUAAUUUCUUGAAGAGCCAGAGGGCUAAAACGAGCCAUCCUUCGGUUGGAGAUGGCCUAAGAAGAGACUAGAGAUAGAGAGAUUCCUAUACUUAGCUGUGAGAGUUUCCUAUAUAUGAUUUUCAUUAACAAGAUUGAACUGAUUACAUAGAGAAGAAGAUCAAGUAUGGUUAUUUUUAUUUGGGAGACUUUGGAUGUGGUCCUUAGUUAUGAAUAUUAUUUGAUUGAAAUCUUGUUGGUUUUUAAUUUUUUAUCAAGAUCCCUGAAAUUAAUGUGAUAAUUUAUUUCUAUGUAAGUUACUAUAUUUUUUUAAUUAGAAAUUAGAAAUUUUAGUUGUUUAUAUAAAUGAGAUUUUAAAUUAAAAAAACCAUAAUUUGUGGGAUUAAAAAUAUUAAAAUAUAAAUAUACUAUUGUGUGUGUGUGUGUGUGUGUGUGUGUAUAAAUAUGGGUACAUUCAUCAAAAUUAACCAAAAAAUUUAUUGUAUCAAAACAUGGGUACAUUCUUCAAAAUCACAAAAAAAGAAAGAUAUUAGGCUUAAUAACAUUAGUAAAUUUCUUCGAUUAAACUUGACAUGGAUACAUUUUAAAAUCAAAGAAAAAAAAUGUACCCAUAUAAGUUUAAAAAUGGAUUAGAAAAAAAAAUUGAAUAGAUUUUAUACAAAAAAAGGGUACGUUUUACAUAUAACAAAUUGGUAUAUUUAAGAAUGAGUACAUUUUAAGAUUAAAAAGUUUUACAUGAAUGGGUUCAUAUAAUUAGCAUGGGUACAUUUAGCAAAAUAAAAAGUACAAAUACAAAAAAAUAUAUGUGUACAAAUACAAAUAAACUUUAAAAAAUAUGGGCACAAAAAGAAAUUAAUAUAUGGGUACAAAUUAAAACCGAAAAGAAAAUUGGUACAAGUUAAAAAAGAAUUACAAAUUAAAAAUGGGUACAAACUAAAACUAAAAAUAUAUGAUAAAAAAUUUAGUCAUAAAUAUAAAUAUACUAAUUGUAACAUUUUUAACAUUAAAUGAAUAUAUUUAGACAUAAAAAAUAUAUUUUAUUAUUGAAAUAAUUAAUGAUGUUAUUAAUACCCAAGGACCUUGAUAAAAAAUUGAAAAGAAAUAGAAUUUUAAUCAAUGGAGUAGCAAAAGAAAAGAUGAGAACCUAAUUUCUCCUUUGUAUUGUGUAGACAUUAUAACUAUACAUUCAUAAUAACAUGAGUAAUGUUAUAUUUAUCACAUUUGUACUCUUUCUCCAAUAAAGAUAGGGUCCAUCAACACAUGUGGGUUCUAUUUGCCCAUCAACACAUGCGAAUCUCAUUUUUAUUAGAAAAAUAGUACAAAUAUGAUAUGGAAAUUAUGAUAAGAUCGCAAUUUUGUAAUAACAUAUAUACUCAACUAUUUAUAUACCAACUCAUCUCCCUUUAGUGUAGUUAAUAUUGUUUGUUCAACCAAAAAAAAAAAAACUGAACUUGUCAUAAUCAUUGAAUCCAUUUACCAUGAACAAACGGCAGUUUACUAAACUUGCCCUCAGAGUAUAUAUAAAAGGUGAAUCACAAUCUAUUGCAUUAAUAUAAGGAAACAAUUUAUAGGGUUUGACGGGUGACUUAAUAUGCUAUAUGGCACAAUGAAAAUUAAGUUCACACUUUAUCCCAAAUAAGGUGUUGCACCUUUAAUUUAUGGAUGCUGGUUUGACGUGUGACCGAAAUAAUCAAAUUGUAGCCAUUAAUCAUUUUACAAGUAAUAAUAUGUGGUUUUAUUGUUUACGAUUCACACAACAAUCUGCUAGGAAGUAGAAAAUGCAGUACUUGUCCCUCUCACAGAAGUCAUGAAUAAUUAUCAAAUUCAAAGAUAAAGAAAAACCACACAAUUUACAAGAGGAAAGAAAAUGAAGGGAUAAAGAAAGUAAGAAAGGAAUACCUCUAUGGGAGGACUCUUAUUUGCUUCAGAUGCCUACAAUAUUCAUCAUAUAAACACUGAUUAAGUAGUCAUCGAAAACCAAAACAAAUGUCGAACAUAGGGUGAAAAACAGAAAGAAUAACCGCAGCUCAUCAUACCAAUAGAGAUAGAACUGCCCGAUGCCCAAGUAUGACUGAAAAAUGGCAAUCCAAACAUGGCGCCUUCUAGCUCAUCAAACUGUCAAAACCUAGGUUCCACCAAAAAGAUACAAGUCACCUAGUUACUUGUAAAAUAAAAAUCUGUUUCAAAAUAGUGGAAAAUAUUAUUAACAUUGUUCAAAGUCCACAUUGUUGUACCUACCAAGAAACAAGAAGGAUUGUAUCUUAUCAUGAAAAAGAACAUAGGUACCUUUUCAAUUGUAAUUGUACAAAAAUGAGAGACCACUUCCGAACUUCUCUUGGAACUUCAAUCAAUUUCUGCCCACUUUUAAAUGCCUUGACAUACUUAAGCCUAUUUCUUUGAGCUUCAGUUUUGGCUUCUGAUGCCUUUAAAUUUCUUAAAGAUUCUUACCAAGUUUUACAAACUCACUUCUAUACAACCAUUUGUCAGUAUACAUACCAUUUUCUUUGAGCUUCAGUCUUUGCAACACCAAAACCCCCCAAAUAGACCCGGAAUUUUGCAAUGUGCAGGGAAUAUACAAAAAAAACCCUCCUAUCCAUCUAAAACGAAAUCAGAACGCAAACCACAAUCAAAAUCCGUAAAAUUAAUUUAGCCAACCCCUAAAUCUAAUAAUUCUAACAAAUAUUAUAGUAUCAAUUGAGAGAGAAUUUGAGAAGAUACCUAGAGAUGAAAGGAAGAGCGUUUCCUCUGAUAGGGGUUCCGUGAAAGCAUCUGUUGACCAGAAAAGAAAAGGCAAAAAACCCCAAAUUACAUAUCAAGCAAUUAUAGAUAGAUCGAACCUUGAAAAUUGAAAUUUCAAACAAGAGAAAGGUUAUAAACUUACAACGAUCUGGGUGUUGGUAACUGGGUUUGGAUUUGGGUUUCUGAUAAGAGAGAGAAUCGUAUGAGGAACCGAUAGAGGAACUGCACCGGCAACAGAGAGCAAUUGAUAUGGUGGAGAACAGACGAGAAUAGCUGCUUGGAUGGUCAAUCCAAGAAGAGAAAAUCUUGCCACAAUCGCGGUACUUGAAAAAAAAAAAAACAAGUUUAAAGGAGGGAAACAAUCGCGCCUUUUUCUAAUAGACUCUGUCGACGAUAUUCUUGACAAAUAGAUGCUUCGUCGGGUGAGCUUAUUUUUCACAACAUUUUAUUUAGGAUUGGGUUCGGUUGGUAAACCGUGUCAAAUUUCUUGUGCCACUUGCCAGCCACAUAUACAUAAUUACCGAAAAUCAGUUACCGUUAGCCAACCGUCUUCUUGCGGUUGCCAAAAAUCGGUUCAGCCAAAAUGAUUGGCUGGUUCGGUUGGUAAAUGGCACAACCGGUGGUUUCCACUUCUUCCUCGCUAUCUUCCAGUUCCAAGGGCUCAAUUUGAUUUUCAGAUUGGGAUGCUUGUUCGGUUGCAUUGUGUGGUUCAUUUUGGGUUAAUCCAUGUUGUGCACUAGUAGUUGAUUGGCUAGACUCCAUUAUCCUAAACAUAAGCAACAAAUAUACAUUCAAAAUAAUAUAUAUGUACGUGUAUAUAUAGUAUCAGUAAUCAUCAUGCUAUCAAUUUUGUUAACAAUAUUUUCUAUAUAUUGAUUUUGGCAUGAAUCAUAUACACAUACAUAUAUUUUUAAAACCCUAAAACUAAGGAGUCAUUUAUUUUCUAAACUCUAAAAUUGAGGAGUCAAGCAUGUAAAAAAAUACUUAAAAUAUCUAAAUAGAAAAAGAAAAAGAAAAAAAAAUAAAUAUAUAUAUAUAUCGGUAGGUAUGGCAUACCGCCGGCAUACAAAAUCAAUUACCAAAGCCAUGCCAUUAAUUGUCGGUUCGGUAAAAUGCCAACCGAUUAUGAAAAAAUGUCAAAACUAUACCAUACCAUUUUGAGCCAACCAGUAUGGUUUGGUCAGUAAAUCGGUUUAUGGCAAAAUUUCUCACCCCUAAUUUUAUUUGUCACCUUAAACCUAUUGGUUUCUAGCCUACAAUUCGGAUAUUUUGUUGGGGAAAGAUUUUUGUACCAAUAAAAUUUUGCUUUGUCGGCAAAAUGACAUUUUCUAGUAGUUAUAAUAUUAGGUAGAUCAAAUUUGUAAACUAUGUGAUGUGUCACUAAUAGGAAAAAAUUUCAGUGUGCUGAAAAUACGGUCUAGAACACCAAGUGUCAUAAUAUAUACUUGGUUGGAAAUCUUUUAUUUUCAAGUUUCCAACUAGUUGUAUUGUAACAGUUGGUGUUCCAAGCUAUUUUCUCCAUGCGCUGGAAAAUCUCUUCACUAAUUAAAAAUAAACAUAUUAAUUAACACUUAAGUAAUAAUCAAAGCAUCAACAACUACGUCAUAGAAUUUACGAAAUAUGAUCUUAAUUAAUGAUCUCCAUUACCCUUUAUCUUAGCGUAUACGUACGCCUUCACAUGUUUAUUUGCUGAUAUGCAGCUUGAGUAAAAAUUUCUUUUUAAGAACAUAUAUGUGAAUAUAAACAUAUAUAUCUAGUGAUCCAUGUUGCGUUAUUUAAAAAUAAACAAAUUAAUUAAUUAAUGAACUGUGUACCUGUCUGUGUAGAGUAAUCCAUAUGCAUGCUUGAAUCCUGAUCACCACGAAACCAUAAUAUAAGCUACUCAAGGCCCGGAAGCUAGGAUUGAAGAGAAAAACACCCAGUCAGAUUAAGCCAAUACAUCAAAGUUAAUACUUCCAAAUGUAAGCUUUAAGAUAGAAAAAUCACUUACUUCCUUGAGCAGUCGAGCUUCUUCAAUGGCAUGAAGCUUUUAGCAUGAGAUUGACUGCAUCACAACUAAAAUUUUCUCUUGGAAACUACAUAAGGAAUAGCAUGUAUACCUAUAACGUUGAGAAAGUACGCCAAUUUUUUCCUUCUGCACAUUCAUGUUUAAAAGUAAUCCUCAAAUGAACUUGCCCACAAUGAAAUGCAAUUUGAGGUAGUCGAGUGUGUUCCAUUUCCAUCCCAUCGGAAUUACUACUAAACUUUGAGAUGGUAGAGGAUUCAUGAAAUUUUUUACUUUUGAAAUAGUCUCCUUAGCAUUUCUCGACUAUAACAAUGAGGAAAUACUUCACCUUGUAUCAAACAAGGGAGACCGAAAAUCAACUACUAAUAGCAUCACAGAGCCAGCAGAAGAUUGAGGAGGCCAUGAAAAGGAAAGAGAAAAUACACUCUUUUUUUGUAAGGACAGAGAUAAUACAUUCAAUAAAGGGUACUGAUGUUUAUAUGCAAAGCUGAUUAGGUUUAAAUAGUCGUAUUUAUUCUGUACAGUGCCAAUAUUACCACCCGUUAGUACACUUUCAAGACACUGUAAUCCAGUGUAUGCACUAUGCAGUACGUAGUACUCCUCAUUUUUUUGGGGAAAUUCAUUAUUGGUCUUCAUAUCUUCUUUAUUUUCCUUGUCCUCAUUGUGCCACGUGUUUAAAUCACUAAUUAUAGGUAAUCUUUCAAUUUAAUUAAAUCUUAUGUAAAAAAAGAUAAUUAAAUAUCAUUUAGUAUUACAAUAUAGUGAUAUUCCUCUUUAGUAUAAAAUUUUUAUAAUUAAAAGCGUUCAGCUUUUUAAUCUUCAUUGGAAUAUUAUCUAUAAAGAAAAAUUAUUCGAAUCAGAGAUCAUUUAUGCAUUCAAAUGUAUAAAAUACAUCGACAGUGUGAGAACCAACUAAUAUAUUUUUGAUGAAGUACAAUUAUUGAAUACAUUUGAACGAUCAAAUGAUAUAUGAUUCAAAAUACAUAUUAAGAUAAUAAAUAUAAAAGAAUUGUUAUUUGCACUUCAAGAAUCUCAUUCUACACUCUAAAUUUUCUAUAUAUUAAAAGAAAAAUAAAUUUGUGAAAAGUGUAGAAUGAGGUUUUUUUAAAUGCUAAUAACACUUCUCUAAAUACAAUUAUGAAAUUAAUUAAGUAAAGAUACAUGACCUCGUGAAUGAUGAAUGUAUUAUUCAAAAAAAUAUUAAAAACAAAUUGAAAAAGGACGCUGUUGUUGCCACCACUUAUGCAAUGAUCGUCGCUGCCAUCACCAACCCCCAACACCCCAUUACAGCUCAUAAAAGCACAUCAUAAGCAAUUUAUGAAAUAAAUUUACUGGAAUACUAAUUUCCCCCUUAGUUUAGGUCACCAAUGUUUAAAUUUAGGGAUCGUGAUAUCCACACACAUUUUUUACUUCUUUCACACUUUUUUUUUCGGUUGUCGGAUCAGAUGAAUUGAAGAAAAUCAAUGAACAGAAAUUAACAAGGGGUGUGUGAGAAGUAAAAAUGAAUGUGUGGAUAACACACCCCUAAAUUUAUCACAACUUUCAUUCCAAAUUUAAUUUUUAUCCGUAGUUUUGUUUGUUCAAAUUUACUUUGACAUUUCCAUUAGUAUUAAAAUCUAAUUUAAAUUUUAGUGUUCAAGCUAGAAAAAGUGUUCCAUUUAAUAUUUAAUCUCAGUUUUUCUCUUUAUUCUUUUAUUGGGAUUUGGUUGCAUCGUAUCUCCAUUUUUCUCGGUGUUGUAUGUUCAUAAGGCCUGUGAAACGUUGGCACGGAGUGAAGGGUACUCACUUUUUGGCCCAAAAUGCAUAAGGCAUGUAGAUAUGUUAAUCAAAUUUUGUAAACUAAAGGAUAUAGAAGUUGAUAAUUAGAUUAUAAUUUAAGAUAAUACUAAGGAGACUAAAUUUGCAAACUAAAUGAUGUGUCACCAAUAAAAAUAAGCACGUUUAUCAACAAUUAAGUAAUAAAUCAAUCAUCAACUUUCAUGUCCUUUAGUUUCCAAGAUUUAAUAUACAAAUUUAGUCUCCCAAGCAUUACUCUAUUACUUAAGUAUUGAUUAACAGACUUAUUUCUUAUGGUGACACAUUAUUUAGUUUACAAUUUUAGUCUACCCAACAUUACUCUUUUGAAAUUGUCUUGUCCACUGAUAUAAUUCUAUUUUUCUUGUGAUCAAAACUUCAAAUGUUAGCAAGUCGCACGUAAAGUCGCUUAUGAGAGAAUGUGCUCACAUUGUAGUUGAAAGAUUAUGUGGCUAGCAACAUUACAAAUUUAAUUUGGUAUAAUUCUAAAAUAUAGAUUGAGGAAAAAAUGAUCACAUUAACUAGAAACUGAAAAGGUUUCAGCACAGUUUGUUCAAGCAAGAAAUUCAAUUUUGAUGCUACCGAUCUUAACAGCCUGAGCGCCGUACCUGGGCACCAAAGUCACCACCACACUCUCAUCAUCUUCAGCACCCAAAUCCUCCAACAGGUCCGUUAACCCCAACCUUAAACAACUCUUGCUCUUUUCCUUCUGCUUAUGUGGCACACUCACAAAACUCCCAGCAAACUCGCUCUUGUCGGGUCCACUCGGUGCCGCAUCCUCAUCGUCCACGUCAUUCACAUACACACAUCAAACUUCACAGCCACAUCUUUGUCAAGCUCAAUCCCCUGAAUCACCAAUAUCUCCUCCUCAUCCUCUUUCUCCUUCUUGCUCCUCUUCUUCGGCUUCGGCCUUGACACCACCGUACUUAUCUUCGUCUCCAAAUUUAUUGGAAAAUCUUUACCCGCCACCACCUUCCCUGAUGACGUCGUCUCAGUGGCCUUCGCCACUCCAGCCGCCUUUGCCUUUCUCGCAAGCUUUGUCCGACGUGGCGUCGGUCUAGACUUGAGCCAUGGAAUCUCAACAUCUUCAUACGUAUACCCUAGCUUUUUAUUAUCAAGAGUGUCCCUCACCGUGACCCUAACAAGCUCAGCAUUCUCGUCAUAAAACAAAAACCCCGUAUCCAACCAAUCCUUAUCGUUAAUAUCGUUAUUUUUAGUCCCUAUACUUUUCCAAAUAUUCCACAUUCGAUCUAUAUUCGAAUGGUGCGAAAAAAAUAUUGGAUCCCUUGCAGCGGAGUAAAAAUUCCCCAUGUCUUCAAAAUUAGGCUGCGUGUUAUCUCCGGUCCAUAAAUGAACCGGACCAUGUGGGGUCGUUUCGAUUGAACCGCCCCCUGGAUCUGGUUCAGUGUCAGCCCUGUAGGGCGAACCAAAGAACAACAGCGGUUUCUUGGAGUUGGAAACCAUCUGCCUAUACAUGAUUUUGAGGUUGGCGUCGAUUUGAGCAUCCUUGGACAUUGUUUCAUCCGUGCCGUUGAAGUCAAGAUCGAUGAGAGUCGGCGGCUGAUGGCUGGCAGCGCGGAGCUCGUCGUAAAGCGGAGAGUCCGGGUUAGCGAACAAGGCAGGGAGUUGCAUGCCAGCUGGCGCGUCCCAGUUCCAAAACGGCAACGCGAACGUCGGAUCGUCUAUGAGUUUGGCCAAGAUUCUUUCGUAGAAGUAUACGUAGUAACGAUGGAAGGGGAAGAAAAGCCAGCAUUGAUGGAUUUGGAGCUCGAGGUUGGGGAAGCCGACUUGGUCGUACGCGCCGUCGCAAUAGGCACAGUGGAGAUCGGCUUGCUGGGUGAAGCUACGCGGAUCGUCGUCCGGGAGGGCUUUCAUGAGCUCGAUGGCUUUUGAAUAUUUUUCGAUGUAGGCUUUAUCCACGGUGUGAGCUGCCGGCCUGACGCGGAGUUUGGUAGGGGAGGGGAAUUUGAAGUCUACGAUUUUUUGGGACGUUGGCGGGCAACAGUUGAUCGGGACUGCUCCACUUGGAAAGUCCGCAGCUCCGCAUUUGGCUAGGUCAGGCGGCAACACUGGCUUUGCAACAGCGAAGGGGUCGCUGCCAAGACCAGCCACUCCGGCUUUGCAACAGCGAAGGGGUCGCUGCCAAGACCAGCCACUCCACCGUAGAGGCUUCCGAGACCUAUAAGAAGAUAGAAUUCAGUUCUUGGCAGUAGAGGACUCUAUUGCAGGGAAAAACUGAUUUGAAUUAGGAAGGCUUAAGUAGUUUUCCAUAAGGAUUUUAAUAGGGAAUCCAUAUUCUAAUAUGAGAAGGAUAUGUGUGUACAUAUAUAUAUAUAUAUAUGGCAAUCUCUUCUCUCACAGGUGUGUGCUCUUUUGGAACUAAGCCCUAUUCUUAGUUUGAGUGAUAAAUACCCUGACAGAGAGAAGAAGAAUUGAUGUGCUUUUCAGGUUGAUCGAGAUCCACCAUGACUGCAUCAAACGGGAGUUCUACAGGUUAGUAUAAUUAGGUUUUAUUUGGAUUGAUGUUUUGUGUCUACUUGGUUGUAGUUUAAGUAACUGAAUCUUGCAGCUAGAUUUUGGUUUACAUGUGGUAUCAGAGCCAUAGAUUCAUGUUCUUAAAUUCAAUCGAUAAAAUUGAUUGAAUCCAAAAUAAAAUUCCGAUCUUCAGACUUCGAAACAGGUUCUGGUAGUUAAAAUUAGGAAAAGAAGAAACGGUGCGUUUUGAUUAAAAUAUGAUGAUUAAUACUUGACCGUUAAGAGCUAAUAAACUAUCUUCUCUUCCGAAUUGGGAAUACAAAUCGACAUCUAUCGAUUUCGAUUUCGGGGUUUGAAAAACUGGGUUAUAUGACAUCUAUCGAUUUCGAUUUCGAGGUUUGAAAAACUGGGUUAUAUGAAUUGUUAUUGAGUAUCCACAAUUUAUAUUAAUUGCUUCCGCUGCUGGGUGUUGAUGCUCAUAGAACAAACGGGUAUGUCUCCUGAACAUUGAAUUGAAAUUUGUUUUUUAAUCAAUCUUAUCUUGAAUUUCAUUAUGUUCUACAGCAUGAUUCGAAUAGUGAGCAUAAAAAUAUGCUUAUUUAUGCUGAUUAGUCCUAUGUUUAUGCGUUUUUCUCUAACCAUCUAUGGAAGGGAGUUCUUCGAUAAGAACCUCUGCAGAUUUCACUUGUUUUAUGCAGAAAGUUUUAUGAAGAACUGUUCAUUUGAUAAAGAUCUGCUAAAACUGUGUUCUUAAAUGGAAAAAUCUUUUAUUCUAUAUGUGCUUAUCAAUUCUUCAUUGUUAAGAUUAUAUAUAUGGAUAAAAGGUUUUGAUGAUAUGAUGUACAAAGGAUUGUGAGAUGAAAUCUGGAACUCUAAACGUUCUUCUGUGAUUCAUUGUGAUUUCAUUGUGCUACAGUGUCUGCAAUAUCAAUGAAGACUCUGAAUUUGGCUAACAUCCCAAUUCUUACUGGUGGGGGAAAUUACAAGAAGUGGAGAAGGGAAAUCAGUUUGCUGUUGACUCUAAACGAGUUUGAUAUAGCAAUCGAGAAUCCCAAACCCGUGGUCAAUGAUCAGAGCAGCACAAGGGCUGAAAAGGCAGAUUUUGAGAGAUGGACAAGGGCUAAUAAGGUAGCAUUGUCCAUCCUUGAGAGUGGCAUGACUGAUACAAUCAGAUGAGGAAUUAAGAAGCACGAUUUGGCUGCUGAUUACCUAAAAGCUAUUGAAAAGAAAUUUCAAGAAUCUGAAAAAGCUGAAGUGAGUCAGUAUAUGUCUUUAUUAACUACUUACAAGAUGGAGGGUACAAGCUCUAUAAGGGAUCACAUAAUGAAGAUGACAUAUGCUGCAGAAAGACUCAAUGCAAUGGAUAUAAACAUAGGUGAAAAGCAGUUAGUAUUCAUGAUUCUUCAAGCACUUCCCAGUAAAUAUAGUCAGUUGAAGAUCUCCUACAAUACUCAAGACAAAAACUGGGAUAUUGAUCAGUUGAUUGCACAGUGUGUGCAAGAAGAAACUCGUCAAAAACAAGAAAGAGGCAAAGAAGUUGAGGACAUCAACUUUGUGCAAACUAUAAAUGACAAAAAGCAGUUCAACAACAGAAGCUUUUCUGGUUCUGGUAAGAGUUCUAAGCCUUUUAAAACUUCUAAUAAGUUCAGUAAUUCUGCUAAAGUAGUUGACUCCCCUAGAAAAUCUAUCAAGUUUAAAGCUAAACCUAAAGAUGUGUCUAAAUUAAAAAUGUUUUUGGUGCAAAACUAAGGGCCAUUUAAAAGUUAACUGUGAAAUUUUCAAAGAUUAUGUAAAGAGCAAAGAAAAGGAACAAGUACUUGUCUGUAUUGAAUCAAAUUUGUGAAGUAUACCUGUUGAUUCUUGGUGGUUUUGAUAUACCGGAUGCUCAGUGCAUAUAACUAAUUCUUUAAAUGGUUUUCAAAAACAAAAGGAAUUUGGAAAUGCUACAUAUAAUGUUUUUGUUGGGGAAGGAACUAAAGUUGCAGUAGAGUCAAUUGGGAUAGUCAAAUUAGUCUUAUGUUCUGGUUAUGUUUUAGAGUUGAAAGAUGUGUGCUAUAUGUGCCUAAGAUGAGAAGAAACUUAAUUUCUGCCCUCUAAAAUUGUAAAAGAUGGUUUUUCUUUUCUUGGUGAUGAUGAGUGCCUCAAAAAUUUUCAAGAAAAACUGUCCUUGUCCUAACACUAUUUUAGGGACUGCUUUUUUGUCUGAUAAUUUAUGGAAUCUAAAUUGCACUGUUAAGGCACUCAAUCACACGAUUUUCAGCAUUAGUACUAAGAGAAUGAUAGGUCAGGAUACUUCAUACAUUUUAUGGCACAAAAGACUAGGACACAUCUCUAAAGAAAGGAUAAUUAAGCUGUAAAAAACUGACUUGAUUCCAAAAUUAGAUCUUUCUACUGCAACUGAAUGUGUUGACUGCCUAAAGGGUAAAAUGACCAAUUUUAGAAAAACAGAUGCCAAAAUGAGCCAGGGGUUACUUGAAAUCAUACACACUGAUAUCUGUGGUCCUUUUCCAGUUAAGACAAUAUGUGGAAACAAGUAUUUCAUUAAUUUCAUAGAUGAUUUUUCAAGGCUGGGAUAUACCUUUCUGAUUAAUGAAAAAGCUGAUGCCCUUAAGUGUUUUAUAAUUUACAAAACUGAGGUUGAAAAACAGUUAGGCAAGGUUAUUAAAAUUGUUAGAUCGGAUAGGGGAGGUGAAUACUUUGGCAGGUACACUGAAUCCGGGCAGCAAAAGGGACCAUUUGCUCUCUAUCUCGAGAAGAAUGGUAUUGUGGCGCAGUACACCACACCUGGAACGCCUCAACAGAAUGGUGUUUUUGAAAGAAGAAACAGGACUCUUAUUGGUAUGGUUAGAAGCAUGAUGUCCAGAUCAAAAUUGCCAGGAUUCUUGUGGGGAGAAGCUUUGAAAACAGCUAAUCAUAUAUUGAAUCGAGUUCCAAGCAAGGCAGUAUCUACCACACCCUAUGAGUUAUGGCAUGGGAGAGUUCCUAGUUUUACUUAUUUCCAUGUUUGGGGUUGUAAAGCAGAAGCUAAGUUAUAUAAUCCUAAUGAAAGAAAGCUGGAUUCAAGGACUCAGUCAUGUUAUUUUAUUGGCUAUCCUGAGAAAUCAAAAGGAUACAGGUUCUAUAUCCCUCAAGGUCACACUCGGAUCCAAGAGACACACAAUGCAGUUUUCCUAGAAGAUGAAGAUGUCUCUCAUUUGUCAAGGGAAAAUUUCAUAUUUGAAGAGAUGCAUUCAGAUGGUGGGGACCAUGUGACAAUGGAUUAUAAUAUCGGUCUCAUUGUUUCCCAAUCAAUCAUCAAUUGCCAUUGAAGAUAUGAGUGAAGAUUUAGGAGUUCCUGAUGACAACUCUGUAGGAGUUGAUUCCACAACAUAAGCUGCAACAAUUCCUUUUGCAGAAGCAUGUGAACCAGUUGCUGUUCCACCUCCAGUUGAAAUCAGAAGGUCACAAAGAGCUCGGAAAACCACUGCAAGCAAUGACUAUGUGUACUUAUAAGAGACUGAGUUCGAUAUUGGUGACAUUUGAUGAUCCUCUUACAUAUACUCAGGCAACUGAAAGUCCUCAAGCAGUUCUUUGGAACAAUGCAAUGAAGGAUGAGUUAGAUUCAAUGUCCAAAAACCAGGUUUGGACAUUGGUGGAAUCCAACUCUGAAAUUAGGCCAAUAGGCUGCAAGUGGGUAUAUAAAACCAAAAGGGAUGCUGCUGGAAGAAUUGAAAGAUAUAAAGCAAGGUUGGUUGCUAAGGGGUUUACUCAAACGGAGGGGAUCGACUAUAAUGAUACUUUCUCUCCAGUUUCCUCCAAAGACUCCAUGCGAGUUAUCAUGUCUUUAGCUGCCUACUUCGAUCUUGAAUUACAUCAAAUGGAUGUAAAAACCGCUUUUCUUAACGGAGACUUACAAGAGGCUAUAUACAUGAAACAACCUGUUGGAUUUGUUGAAAAGGGGAAAGAGAAUUUAGUAUGCAAGCUCAAUAAGUCCAUAUACGGCUUGAAACAAGCAUCAAGGCAAUGGUACCUAAAGUUUGAUCAAAUUGUCUCUGCAUAAGGUUUUGUAGAAAACAAACUGGAUGAUUGUAUAUACAUUAAGUUCUCAGGUUCCGAGUUCAUCUUCUUAGUACUUUAUGUUGAUGCCAUUCUCCUAGCUAGUUCAUGUCCCCAAUUGCUUCAUAGCAUUAAGAGAAUGCUAAGUGAUAACUUUGAGAUGAAAGAUCUUGGAGAAGCACAUUAUGUACUAGGAAUAGAGAUUGUUCGAGAUAGGAAAAUGAGGCUCCUUGGUUUAUCUCAAAAGGGGUACAUUGACAGAGUGUUGGAGAAAUUUCAUAUGGCAAAUUGCAAUUGUGGUCAGGUUCCAGUCAAUAAAGGUGACAAGUUUUCGAAGAUUCAAUGUCCAAGAUCUGAUUUGGAGGUGAAGAAAAUGCAAGCUAAGCCUUAUGCCUCGUUGAUUGGAAGUCUUAUGUAUGCAACUAUCUGUACAAGGCCUGAUAUUGCCUUCAUAGUUGGUAUGCUAAGACGAUUUCAAGCAAAUCCUGAGAAGCACAUUGGGGGUGGCAGCCAAGAAGGUUCUUCGAUACUUGCAGAGAACCAAAACUCACAUGUUAGUAUAAUGGCCGAACUGAUUCUUUGGAGCUCAGGGGGUAUAUACUCGGAUUUAGCUGGAGAUGUGGAUGACAGGAAGUCCACAGGGGUUAUAUCUUCAUACUCAAUGGAGGGGCAGUUUCGUGGAAAAAUGCAAAGCAAACUAUUAUAGCCACAUCAACUAUGGAAGCUGAGUUUGUAGCCUGUUUUGAAGGCAUGAAACAGGCAGCAUGGUUGAAGAAUUUUUUGACAGAUUUAAAGAUUGUGAAUUCGGUUCAGAAACCAGUAACAAUGUUCUGUGAUAAACAACUCGGCUGUGUUUUUUGCUAAGAAUAAUAAAAGGACUUCAGCAUCUAGAUUUGGAUGGACGAAGUUUCUUAAGGUCAGAGAACAAGUCAAGAAAGGAGUUAUUGAAGUACAGCACAUUAGCACUACUAUGAUGAUUGCUGAUCCCUUGACUAAGGCACUGCCAAUUGGAGAAUUCAAGAAACAUGUUUCUUCAAUAGGAGUACUAGAAGGUUUUGAUCAGUGGGAGUAAUCACGUGUGUGUUAAAGGCUUGGGAUUGCAGAAGCAGAAGUAUAUAUGUGUUUCAAGAACUGUAUGUGCAAUUCUGACAAGCUGAACUAAGGAUGCUUUAUGUUUUAACUUGCUUUAGUUAGUUUGUUAAGGUUGUUUGUGUUUUAAUAAGUGUCCUUGUCUGCUACUCAAUACUUUGGCUUUCAGGUGUUGAGGUACGGAUACUGGACUGAGUUAGAAUUUAGUUUCAUUAGUAACUUUGAAAGAACAGUUUGUCUGUUUUUUAAGUUUGUGGUUAAUGAUGUUAUAUAGUCAAUUACUAUGUUGCUUUUCUGUGAAGAUUAAUGUGUGUUGUGAUCUUUUGAAAAGUGGGAGCAUAAUGUUUGACGGUUUAUGUUAGUCAUGAGUCAUAUUUACAAAUUGAAUAUAUGUGAGCCUUGAAUUAAUACUACAAUUUGGUUGUGGUCUGAGAUUCUUGGUUUCUAUAUUUUGAGAUGUAAUGGGACAGUGGUCAUGAUGGUUAAAUCUUAGAUGAGGUUAUGUGAUCACUUCUUAUGAUUGGUGACGGCAAGGUUUGAUCUUUGUCUCAUGUUCAAGUGGGAGAAUGUAAGAAUGUGAACAUGAGAUAAGAUGAUCGGAUAUUAGUUGUUUGAGUCCAAUCCGAAUAAGAAAGCCUCUAAGAAGAUGGAAUUCAGUUCUUGGCAGUAGAGGACUCUAUUGCAGGGAAAAACUGAUUUGAAUUAGGAAGGCUUAAGUAGUUUUCCAUAAGGAUUUUAAUAGGGAAUCCAUAUUCUAAUAUGAGAAGGAUAUGUGUGUACAUAUAUAUAUAUAUAUGGCAAUCUCUUCUCUCACAGGUGUGUGCUCUUUUGGAACUAAGCCCUAUUCUUAGUUUGAGUGAUAAAUACCCUGACAGAGAGAAGAAGAAUUGUUGUGCUUUUCAGGUUGAUCGAGAUCCACCAUGACUGCAUCAAACGGGAGUUCUACAGGUUAGUAUAAUUAGGUUUAUUUGGAUUGAUGUUUUGUGUCUACUUGGUUGUAGUUUAAGUAACUGAAUCUUGCAGCUAGAUUUUGGUUUACAUAUUUUUCGAUGUAGGCUUUAUCCACGGUGUGAGCUGCCGGCCUGACGCGGAGUUUGGUAGGGGAGGGGAAUUUGAAGUCUACGAUUUUUUGGGACGUUGGCGGGCAACAGUUGGUCGGGACUGCUCCACUUGGAAAGUCCGCAGCUCCGCAUUUGGCUAGGUCAGGCGGCAACACUGGCUUUGCAACAGCGAAGGGGUCGCUGCCAAGACCAACCACUCCGGCUUUGCAACAGCGAAGGGGUCGCUGCCAAGACCAGCCACUCCACCGUAGAGGCUUCCGAGACCUAUAAGUACAUUUCUUCUGUCUAGGUUUACUAGAGAAGGGUUUUCAUGGUCGUGAUCGUUGGAGCUAGUGGAAGGGUUUUUGUUUUGGUCACUACUAUUAUUUGUGGCUUUGCACGAGACAGCUUGUAAAUUGGAAUGCCUAGGGUUUCCAAAUGAGGAUAUUCGGUGAUACUUUUGGGAGAAAGGGGAGAGAGAAGUUGUGGGGAUGAUACUUGUGGCGGAGGUGACGAGUGGAGCUGACAUAGAAGCCAUGGUACUUGACUCUGAAUAAUACGUUGUAUUGGCUUUGCUUUUAUAAUGUGUUCUAGGUUUUACGUUUCUUUGCACGGGUGGCAGGCCGUACACACGUGGUCGGUCCUUAAGGGUUUGACGAGGAAUACUACGCAGUCAUUUAGUACAUGACAACCAUACACUAUAGCACGUGGCAUGUAUUUAGAGAUCGAGAGAGAAUUGGGUAAGGUUCACGAGGGAUUGUAGUUUCAGAAGGUGAAUUGGUUUUGGUCUUCUUGUGUACCAAUAAUUUUUACUUAGUCAUUUAGUGCAGGACAACCAUGCACUAUAGCACGUGGCAUGUAUUCAGAGAUCGAGAGAGAAUUGGUUGGGUAAGGUUCACGAGGGAUUGUAGUUUCAGAAGUUCAAGCGGUUUUGGGCUUGUUGUGUACGGCUGUGGGUCUGCUGUCACGGACUCUCUGUCUCAUUUGUGUCUUAUUUUUUAUUUUUUGACACGUUUUAACGUCAAAUCAUUAUAGCAAUGUUAUGCAAUUGGGAGCUAAAUGACCGAUGCUCUUAUUUUUUAGUUUGCUUUUUUUCCAGAUCUGAUCAAAUCAUGAUAGCAAUGUUAUGCAAUUUUCAAGAGGGAGAGAUGCACCUGGGAGAGAAACGGUACGGUGACUUCUAAAUCACCGUCCAACAGAACAAUUCUCAGUAGAGACUACUAGAGAGAGAUGCACCUCACCAAUGAAAAAUUUAACUGCAAAAAUUCUGGGUAUCGGGAGUUGUGGGGUGGGUCUUGGCAGUUUUCUUAUUUCUUUGAAUUUUUUAUAAUUUAUUUUAUAAAAGUAACAGUGUUUUGUGGGGGUUAAAUUGUAAAACACGUGUCAUCAAACUAAAUAAAGAGACACCAAAGAGACAUGGAAUUCGGGACAACAGACCCACAGCCGUUGUGUACGGAGGCAGACUCUCUGCUCUCCUACUUUCUGUGUCCUCCUGUUUUGUGUAGUCACGAUUAAAUCACGUCAAUAUUUUAUAUUAUUAUUUUAUAGAUAUAAUAAGACAAAAAAGAAUAGUAAUUUAAAAUAUUAACGUGACUUAACUGUGACCACACGAAUAGGAAGGCAUGAGAAGUGGGAAGGCAAAGAAUAUGCCUCCGUUGUGUACCAAUAAUAUUAUAUAUAUAUAUAUAUAUAUAUAUAUAAUUAGGAUUGAAGGAUGUAGAGCUUAUUUUGUUAUGUAUUCUAACAAUUUAAGUGCUUAUCUUUUAGGUUUUCUCUUAAACAGCAUGCCUAUAAAAAAUCACCAAAAUUCAAACCAUAUGACCAUUAGAUCCAUAGUCAUUUUAGUGUUAAAUGAACUUCACAAAAUAAGUCUCAAAAUAUGUAUAAAAAAUGGACAGCGUGAAUGGUUUGGAAAUUGGAAUAGGUUUGGAAAUUGUGCUUUUUGUAGCAAAUUGCAGCAAAGUUUGCUUGGACUUUCACAACCGUAUAAAUUAAACUGUUCGCUUUGUUGGGAAAAACAAGUUUGCCGCUGGUCUUGGGUUCCAAGAUCGGCCAAUUUGACGGCACACUUUUUGGCGUUGAGAAGCAGUACGGAGAUGUGCAGAUUAACUUGGAUUGAUACUCCUCCAUCUUCGUUGGUUCGUGUAUUGAACAAAGAUGGCCUUCCUUGCCCUCCUUAAUAUUUUUUGUUCUUCCUGCAGUGGAGGCGGUGACGCCUUGCUCUUGGUGCAGCGUCUAGUGUUCUGUACCCUCCUCUUCUGCAUAUGUUUGUAUUUCCCCUCGUUGCCCCUUCUAAGUGGGCUUCCUAUUGUUUUGGCUUCGGCCCUGGUUAUGAAAUAUUUCCAAUCUUACCCAAAAAAAAAAAAAAAAAGAAGAAGAAGAAGAAGUCAAGCACGGUGGGAGACUGGUCAUAGUUUCUAGAUUGAUGCUCUAAUUCUAAUGUUAUACAACGCGUACGCUAAAAUAUUUUUAUCAAAAUAUUAGUUUUAGUGUUAUCAAAACAAUAAUGUUAUUCUUACCAUGUUUUUGUAUCACAAUUAUAUACCACCUUAGAUGGCAUAUGAUGUAGAUAGCCACAUCAUUUAAAUUAAUAAGCAUUUAAUUUCAAAUGUUAAUCAAUAAUUAAUAAAAUGAUUGUUAAUUAAAUGAUGAUUAUGGUAUACAAGGAGUCUCCUUCUUCCUUCCCCUUUCCAUUCUGCUUUUUCUUCCUACCACUUUCUGUUUUUUUUUUCAUGCCAGUUUUUGUAUUGAUUUCUAUUGAUUUCCAUGAUUAUGGUCAAUCUUUAUAGAAUUUACUCGUAUACCACAACCACCAUUGAUUUCUAUCUCUAGACUCAUGCCCCGUAGCCCUAAUCCUCAUUCCCCUUCAAGUAUUUCUGUCUCCAAUCUUCUUUGGUACUCCAUGGUUGUUCAUCUCGUGAUUUUUUUUUAUUAUUUCAUUAAGUAACGCCUAUUAGCUUUCAUGCGAAUUAGGAGUCAAAAUCAAAUUUGUCUAUCGGAUUAGGGUUCAUGCCCAAUUAAGUUACUAACGCAAGAGAGAUUUUGAAGUCUACAAUUUUCCUUAUUUAAGUGUUUUAAUUAAUAAGAAAAUUGAAAUUAAACGAUUUAGCUUGUCCAACUCAUCUGCCACCUAAGAUGGUAAAUAAAUGUGGUAAGAAUAGCAUUACUCUUAUCGAAAUUACAAAAAAAAAAAAAAAAAAAAAAAAAAGCUGAUUCAAUAUUUAGUUAUUAAAAAAAAUAUAAAAAAAGUGAUCAAGUAACUAUCCAAUACCCAUGUAUUGGGUGCUUUGUUUGAAAAUUUUCAAAAUGAUAUUGGGCUCGUUUGGAUAUGUUUUUAAAAUGACUGAAAGCGUUUUUAGAGAAAAUAUUUUUUUGAUUCCAAAAGCACUUAAAGUGUUUUCUGCAAAAAGCACUUAAAGUGCUUUCUGCAAAAAGCACCAGUUAUGUGCUUCUUCCUAGAAGCACUUUAAGUGUUUUUCAAGCAUUUACUUGCUUUUUUACUAAGGAUUGGUUCCAAAAACAUUUUCACAAAAAGUGUUUUCAGUCAUUUUAAAAGUACAUUCAAACGAGCUCAUUGUUUUUCCUAUUUUAAUCAAGUGCGUCGUCCCCUGUUGAGAAUGAAUCUCAUAUUAUGGGGAGAGGGGUCUUGCAUGGAUGAGAGGAGGGACCUUGCAUGAGCUUAUAAGUAAGUUGGGUUACUCUCUAUAUUGCCAAGAGAAAUUUUAUUUGGACCUACUUUUCCUCUCUCUAAACCCAACUUUAAUAUUUUGUUACCUAAACUCUCUAGUUUACCCUCAUAAAUUAUAAACAUAAAUAAACUGGAAAAAGAAAAACUCAUCAAACCUAUUUCCCAACUGUUCUGGCGUCUCUUCCCUGUAUUUGUUGGGUCUAUCUCCCUCCCGACUGUUUUUUUUCCCUGAUAUUCUCUGUGUGUUCCCCCACCUCUCCCACACCCACCGAUUCUUUGUGGUGGCUAUUCCACCCAACGUCCAGUGAAUCUUUCCAUUUUUCUUCUAUUGCGCGUGAUAGGGCCUUGCUGUUAAUAGGCAAAACUAAGCGGCAUCGUCGACUCUGUAAGCGACUUGUUGCAGAAGUCCAAAAUGGAGUCAAAAGGAUUUUGUAUUGGGUCGGGUUGUUGAAGGCGAUGGCUGAUUUAGCAAUCUCGCCUAACUACUUCUAUAUGCAGGAGAAGGAAGAGGGAGGAAGGUCUAAAGUGGUGGUUGAGUGGUGGCGAUGUAUGUGGGUUCUAUCUCGGUUGAAUGGGUGUAGAAAGAUAUUUAAUUUUCAGUUUCUUAUUUUAUUUUGUAUAAGGGAUAAUAUCGGAAUUACAUAAAAAGUUUUUUUUAUAGCUGGGUGUAGAAAUAGUAUUGUUGGGUCUAAAUAAAAUUACCCUAUUGCCAAACAUAGUAUUGUUGGGUCUAAAUAAAAUUACCCUAUUGCCAAUUAGCUUUGUUUGAAAAUUUUCAAAAUGAUAUUGUUUUUACCAUUGAACCCUUGUUAUAUACAGUGAUGGCUAAUUUGUCAAGUUCUACGAAGUUGGGAUACCCAGCGUUUUAGCAUAUAACAUAACUUAGUAUUACAAGCAUAAUUAAUUAAAAUAAAGGAAAAUGAAGAGGAUAGCUUAGUAUUACAAGCAUAAUUAAUUAAAAUAAAGGCAAAAGUAACAGCCUGUCCCUAAAAAUGACGAUUUUAUAAUCUUAACACGUGAGUUUAUGAAGAUGCCCUUCGAGGCAAAGUGUUGACUUGUGUUGACUACCGCAUCGUGUCAUGUGAGACUCAUCUUCUUGGCGUAUUCUCGUUUUACUUGUCACUACGGACGCAUGGGCGCAAACGGGACAUGAUUUGGAGCUAUAACGAAUGAGUUAUUAACAUUUAAAGUUAAGGACAUUUUAGUAAAUUAAUUAAUUUCAGAUUAUGUUGAGGGGAAAAUCUGGAGUGCCGGUGGGUGGCCCAGAUUAAAGGAAAUGAAGAAUGGAUGGUGGAGGUGUAAAGGAAAGAAGAUAAAAGAAAAAUGAGAGGAAGUGUGUGACUAAUAGGGAGAUGAGAGAGUUAGGAUGGCCCAAUCAGAAACAAACGAAAGGAGGAAAAAGGAGAGAAGAGGGGAGCGGGGGAUCCCUUCGACCCGGUUCCAUUUUCCGACCCGACCCGAUCCUUUUCAUCUUCUUUGAUGGUUUUUCGUCGGUUUUUUCCGACGAACCACGUUAUCUAACCCCUUGGAAAAUGUUCCACAACCUUCCCUCAACUAUUACAAUCCAAAAUUGUAGAAAUUUAGCCAUGAAAGUAUGAAAACCACACCGGUGGGUGCGGGAAACCCUUGUCGUCGAUUCUCCCAUUAUUGCAACGAUUUUCACCAAUUACCACCACCUACAACAUCCUCUUGAGGUCUGGAAUAAAGCCCAAACAAGUUUUGCACUACUACAAUAUUAGCUUUAGAUGGCAGAUGAUGGUGGCGGAUUUAGAAAAAUAUUGUCGGAUAAAUUAUAUCUGACACAUUAUUUAAUUAGUGGUGAAUAUAAGAAAAAUCAUGUCGGUUAUAACCGACAUAAAUUCGUGGCAGAUACUAGCAGAUAUUAAAAAACUCAUGUCGGUUAUAACCGACAUAAAUUCCUAGCGAAUAAUUACUGACAGAUAUUAUAAAACUUCUGUCGGUUAUAACCGACAAUAUUUUUGAAUUGGGGGAAUUUAAAAUUUUGGGAGGGAAUUUAAAAUUUUGGGAGGGAAUUUAAAAUUUUGGAGGAAAUUUUGGGGGGAUUUUUACCCAUAUUAAUUCAUGGCGGAUAAUUACUGACGAAUAUUAUAAAGCUCAUGUCGGUUAUAACCAACAAUAAUGAAAAUGUUUAUGUCGAUUUUUAUUAAAAAAAUGUUUCUGUCAGUUUUAACCGACAUUAAUGAAAAUAUUCCACAGUAAAACCCCUACUUCUUCUCCUUGUGCUGGUGCCUUCUCCCUUCCCCCUUCUUUCCCCCUUUUCUCUUCUCCUCAUUUCCUUUUCCUUUGUAUUUUUGAUUUUGACAAGGUCUCUCCUUUAUUUGAUUCUUUGUUGUUCAUCUCUCACAAAUGUAGAGAGAGUAAAGGAGAUGCUUAGAGCGCUUUCUUUGUUCCUUUUUUUUUUCUUUUCAUUUUUUCCCUUUUCAAACUCCGACUAUGUCUUACAUGGCCGGUCCCAAGCCCGGAUAAAGGAGGAGGGGGAGGGCGUCAGGUAGUCGACAGCCGGCACUCCAUGAUCACGUCGAAUCCUUAUGAAAAUGAAUCCAGAACAAAAUCGCGCUAAAGCUAGGGCGCCACCCGUAAGUGGCGCGCUGUGUGGCCCGAGCACAGUGAUAAGUGAGCAAGGGUCGCUGUAUCUCCAUCGGCACUCGGAUGCAGUGUUAAAUGAGCAAGGGGGCCAUAGAAACUUCUUUUCGAACGACUCCACUCAAAGUUGUUUGGGAGCAUAUGCUCCUAUCAACUUUACCCGGGACACACAAAAGAAGUACUUUGAUCCUAUUAGACGGGGGAGGGUGAAGAAGCUAGGACAGAAGGGUAGAGUUCAAGAGAGCAAAAUGCGUUUAGGAACGUGGAAUAUAGGAACCUUAACGGGAAAAUCUAUGGAAGUAGUGGAAGUUAUGGUGAGGAGAAGGAUAAAUAUUAUGUGCCUACAAGAAACUAAGUGGGUUGGUAGUAAGGCAAAGGAUCUAGAAAACUCAGGGUUUAAACUUUGGUAUUCGGGCACAAAUAGAACGAGAAACGGUGUUGGCAUCAUCGUGGACAAGACCUUGGUACAAGAUGUUGUAGAUGUCAAGAGUGUAGGAGAUAGAAUCAUGGCAAUCAAGAUUGUAAUAGGACAAGAACUUAUCAAUGUGAUUAAUGCGUACGCACCUCAAGUAGGGUUGGAUACGAGUUCGAAGGAGAAAUUUUGGGAAGAUCUUGGAGACUUGGUGCAAGGAAUUGCUCAGACGGAGAAGUUAUUUAUAGGAGGAGAUUUAAAUGGACACGUGGGCAGGGAGACAGGCAACUAUGGAGGUUUUCAUGGUGGCCAUGGUUUUGGGGAGAGAAACGAGGAUGGGGAAGCUAUCUUGGAUUUUACAAUGGCAUAUGAUCUCUUCUUAGCCAACACCUUCUUUAAGAAGAGAGAAGAACAUGUGAUCACCUACAAGAGUGGGUCGUCAAAAACACAAAUAGAUUUUCUUCUAAUGAGGAAAGGGGAUCGUAUAACUUGUAAGGAUUGCAAAGUUAUACCAGGAGAGAGCGUGGCUAAUCAACAUCGCUUGUUGGUGAUGGAUGUACAUAUCAAAAGAGUAAGACAAAAGAACAAGACUUGGAAGUGCCCAAGGACUAGAUGGUGGAAUCUAAAAGAAGAAAAACAAGUCAUUUUCAAAGAGAAGGUAAUCACCCAAUGUGUGUGGGAUAGAGAGGGGGAAGCUAGCCAAAUGUGGGAUUUCAUGGCUAGUUGUAUCCGAAAAGUAGCAAAAGAGGUAUUAGGAGAGUCUAAGGGCUUUGCCCCACACUAAAAGGAAUCUUGGUGGUGGAAUGAGGAGGUACAAACAAAGGUGAAGGCUAAGAAGGAAUGUUGUAAAGCCUUAUACAAGGAGAGGACCGAUGAAAAUGGUGAAAGGUAUAGAAAAAAAGCGAAGCAAGAGGCGAAGAAAGCUGUCAGAGAAGCUAAGUUAGCGGCUUACGACGAUAUGUAUAAACGACUAGAUACCAAAGAAGGAGAGUUGGAUAUCUAUAAACUAUCUAGAGCAAAGGAAAAGAAGACAAGGGACCUAAACCAAGUGAGGUGCAUCAAGGAUGAGGAUGGAAAGGUUCUUGCUACAGAGAACGCGGUUAAAGACAGAUGGAGAGGUUAUUUUCAUAAUCUUUUCAAUGAAGGACAUGAAAUGAGUGCUUCUUUAGGGGAGUUGAGUAACUCAGAAGAGUGUAGAAACUACUCUUUUUAUCGUCGAAUCCGGAAGGAAGAAGUGGUUGUAGCUUUGAAGAAGAUGAAGCAUAAAAAAGCAAUAGGCCCAGACAAUAUACCAAUCGAAGUGUGGAAACUUUUGGGAGAGACAGGUAUAACAUGGCUCACUGACCUUUUCAAUAGGAUUUUGAAAACGAAAAAGAUGCCAAAUGAGUGGCGAACGAGCACUUUGGUGCCUAUCUACAAGAAUAAGGGCGACGUACAAAAUUGCAUGAACUAUAGGGGUAUUAAGCUAAUGAGUCAUACAAUGAAGCUCUGGGAGAGAGUCAUUGAGCAUAGAUUGAGGCAAGAGACACGGGUUUCGGACAACCAAUUCGGGUUCAUGCCAGGGCGCUCAACCAUGGAGGCAAUCUAUCUCUUACGAAGAUUGAUGGAAAGAUAUAGAGAUGGGAAAAAUGAUUUACACAUGGUCUUUAUAGAUUUGGAAAAAGCGUAUGAUAGGGUCCCAAGAGACAUUCUUUGGAGGAUUUUAAAGAAGAAAGGAGUACGAGUAGCAUAUAUCCAAGCUAUAAAGGACAUGUAUGAAGAAGCAAAGACUGCCGUAAGAACUCAUGAAGGACAAACCGAAAGCUUUCCCAUAACUGUAGGAUUACAUCAAGGCUCAUCCUUAAGUCCUUACCUUUUUGCGUUGGUAAUGGAUGAGUUAACAGGACAUAUUCAAGAUGAUAUUCCUUGGUGUAUGCUUUUCGCAGACGAUAUAGUGUUGAUAGAUGAAACUCAGGAAGGGGUAAAUGCAAAGCUUAACCUUUGGAGAGAAGUGUUGGAAUCUAAAGGUCUUCGCCUAAGCCGAUCAAAGACAGAAUAUAUGGAGUGCAAGUUCAGUGCAAAUGGAGGCCAAAACGAGUUAGGGGUGAGGAUCGGAGAUCAAGAAAUACCAAAGAGUGACCGUUUUCGUUACCUAGGAUCUAUCUUGCAAAAGAACGGAGAAUUAGAUGGAGAUCUCAACCAUAGAAUACAAGCUGGAUGGAUGAAGUGGAAGAGUGCAUCUGACGUGUUGUGUGACCGUCGUAUGCCACUGAAGCUCAAAGGAAAAUUUUAUAGGACGGCAAUAAGGUCGGCGAUGAUUCAACUUGGCGGGUUCGAGCAAAUAGGCGUUGGGCCAUAUUAGACACAGAACCUGCACACUGAACACUGAGAGCUAGCGAAUCCUUAACAGCUAACUCAUCAGACCGUUUGGAAAGUAGUCUGUUAUCUUUGGGAGUGAGAAGGUUCCUGGCCACCACCGCAGCGGUCAUAUCAUUCUUCAUCACGGAAUCCCCAACGGUAAGAGGACCAGUAGGGGAGACAAAGGAUGGGCGCCAUAUGUUGUCUGGAGAAGGCGGGGCUGCCUCUUCAACAAGGUUCAAGUCAAAAAACGACGGUCGGAGGGCCAGACAUUUUCAAAGGUGUUGAAGAGAGAAGAGGUCGGACACAAAUCAAGAUCUUAGAAGUGCAAGAAUGAAGCUUCUACUGGUGGAGAUUCAAGUGUGCUUUGGAACUUAAUGCCAGCCCCUAUAAAAAUCUGCACUCGACGGAGCUUCAGAAAUCGAAGAGGCGUUUGCUUUCUCAAAAGCUGGGCUGCUUAGAGAUCACGAGGGUUGAUCUCAGGAAUCGAAGAGGCGUUUGCUUUCUCAAAAGUUGGGCUGCUCAAAGACCACGAAGGCCGAUCUCAGAAAUCGAAGAGGCGCUCACUUUCUCAAAAACUGGGCUCCCCAGAGACCACGAGGGCCGAUCUCAAAAAUCGAAGAGGCACCUACUUUUCCAGCCUUGUCAGCACCUGUCACACGCACACUCAGCUUUGCGGAAAUUAUGGGCAUUCUGUCGAAGACUUCUGGGGAAGUAGAAAACACAUGAAUCUUACUGUUCAAUCACCCACUUCCCACACGCAAUAAUAGCUCAUGGGUACCACAGAUAACUUUGCCAAAGUUCUCUGCCAAAGUUGAGCACGUGAAGCUUGCAGCUCCCACUACAUCGCUCUGACCAAGAAGGGUAAAAAGAAUAGCAAAGAAACAGCACUAACAAAGUUUAGACCCAUAAAUUUUGAAGGUCUAGCUACCAUAUUAUUACCCACAAGGGUAAAGGAACAGUACCACUGCUGGAUAAUUGGAAAGUCCCUAUGUGUCAACCUCUGUGCUUCGUGGCAAGGUAGACUAGCAAACAUGCCCAACCUUUACUCACAUUCGAGAAAACACUCCCAAUAAGAUUGCUUGCUCCAAAAUCGAAGAGGCACCGUCCUCCGAAUCUCGAGAGCCAGACUCCCAACAUGACUACUUUCUUAAAAAUCGAAGAGAGGGUAAAGGAACAGUACCAUUGCUGGAUAAUUGGAAAGUCCAUGUGUGUCAACCUCUGUGCUUCGUGGCAAGGUAGACUAGCAAACAUGCCCAACCUUUACUCACAUUCGAGAAAACACUCCCAACAAGAUUGCUUGCUCCAAAAUCGAAGAGGCACCGCCCUCCGAAUCUCGAGAGCCAGACUCCCAACAUGAUUACUUUCUCAAAAAUCGAAAGAGACACUGCUCCCCGAAUCUUCGAGAGCCAGACCCCCAGCAUGAUUGCUUUCUCAAAAAUCGAUGAGGCAUCGUUCUCCGAAUCAAUCGAAGAGGCGCUCGCUUUCUCAAAAGCUGGGCUGCUCAGAGACCACGAGGGCCGAUCUCAGAAAUCGAAGAGGCACUUACUUUUCUAGCCUUGUCAGCACCUGUCACACGCACACUCAGCUUUGCAGAAAUUAUGGGCAUUCUGUCGAAGACUUCUGGUGAAGUAGAAAGCACAUUAAUCCUACUGUUCAAUCACCCACUUCCCACACGCAACAAUAGCUCAUGGGUACCACAGAUAACUUUGCCAAAGUUCUCUGCCAAAGUUGAGCACGUGAAGCUUGCAGCUCCCACUACAUCGCUCUGACCAAGAAAGGUAAAAGAAUAGCAAAGAAACAGCACUAACAAAGUUUAGACACAUAAAUUUUGAAGGUCUAGCUACCAUAUUAUUACCCACAAGGGUAAAGGAACAGUACCACUGCUGGAUAAUUGGAAAGUCCCUGUGUGUCAACCUAUGUGCUUCGUGGCAAGGUAGACUAGCAAACAUGCCCAACCUUUACUCACAUUCGAGAAAACACUCCCAACAAGAUUGCUUGCUCCAAAAUCGAAGAGGCACUGUCCUCCGAAUCUCGAGAGCCAGACUCCCAACAUGACUACUUUCUCAAAAGCGAAGAGAGGGUAAAGGAACAGUACCAUUGCUGGAUAAUUGGAAAGUCCCUGUGUGUCAACCUUUGUGCUUCAUGGCAAGGUAGACUAGCAAACAUGCCCAACCUUUACUCACAUUCGAGACAACACUCCCAACAGGAUUGCUUGCUCCAAAAUCAAGAGGCACCGCCCUCCGAAUCUCGAGAGCCAAACUCCCAACAUGAUUACUUCCUCAAAAAUCGAAGAGACACUGCUCUCCGAAUCUCGAGAGCCAGACCCCCAGCAUGAUUGCUUUCUCAAAAAUCGAAAAGGCAUCGUUCUCCGAAUCUCGAGAGCCAGAUACCACAGACCACUUUUUCAAAGUGCUCUGACAGAGUUAAAACAUGUGAAACUGGCAGCUCCCACUACCGUGCUAUGACCAAGCAGGGUAAAGGAAUAGCAUUACUACUUGUUGUUAGGGAGACUCCUAUAUAUGUCGACCUCCAUCCCCAACGGACAGGCAGACCUGCAAAAAUGCUCAACCCUUCAUCAUAUCUGAGUGGGCACUCCCAACGAAGCCUUUCGAAAUAUUCAGCUUUCUUUCCCCCCGAUAAUACCUCUGCAAACAAGCUAUACUAGAGCAAGAAUAUCUCAUAUCAUCAGGGUUAAAAGCAAGAGUAUCCCAUAUCAUGCUUUUUCCCUGUCUUUUCCUUUGGCCUUGUUUUUACCUGCAAGACAAGGAGAAAGAGAGCAAUCAGUCAGCACUUGGAAUCAAGCUUCCAACCAGGAAAUGACUGCCUGGAACCCCUUACUUGGCAUUGCUCUCGAGUACUCAUCUUCAACAUCUUAUGUUUCCAGGGAAGAUUCUGCAUCUGCUUGAGGAACAGAUAGGGCAAGUGCGAAGGAUACAAGGAAGCAUGCGGAGACAAGCGUAACAGCACACGUGCCGAUACAUCCAUUACUCUGUCAAAAGCAAAAGUAUCCCAUAUCAGCAGGGUGGAACGUACUCUAGAUUUGAUGGACUUGUUUUGACCCUCAAAUUCUUCAGUCGGCCUUAUAUUCUGGAGGAAACCAGAAAACCCUCCAGCUCAGUUCAAGAAUAAGCCUGUGGAAAGUUACUUCUUCAAAAGCAAAAGUAUCUCAUAUCAUCUCUUCUCAUUUUUCUUCUCUCUUUAUCCUUCAUGCUGCUGCAAGAUGGGGAGAAGGUGAACAAUCAGUCGGAGCUCUGAUUGCUUACCUUGUCUGUCACCUCUUUCAGCAGACCCCCUAGCUCGGCGACUUGGGGGACUCCUACUAAAUGGUUUGUAUCGCGCUUGACCAAGCCUGAAACUACAAGUAAGCUUCAAGUGAAAUUGAUACAUUACCUUGUGCAUCUCCACCAGUUAAAGAUACCACCCCUGGAUGGAGGAAGAGUACUUCCAGAGAAGAUGCCACAUCUACCUAUGAGACAGAUAAGGCAAGUCAAGACGACACCACACUCCGAUACUUAGAAGUUUCGUGAUUAUGAGAUCAUUCUCCCACAAUAUUUCCUAAUGUCAUUUGUACUAAAUCAUUCACUUGUACUCACUAAAGGAGAGCUUGAACCUAUGUACUUGUGUAAACCCUUCACAAUUAAUGAGAACUCUUCUAUUCCGUGGACGUAGCCAAUCUGGGUGAACCACGUACAUCUUGUGUUUGCUUUCCUAUCUCUAUCCAUUUAUAUACUUAUCCACACUAAUGACCGGAGCAAUCUAGCGAAGAUCACAAAAAGCGACCGUUUUCGCUACCUAGGAUCUAUCUUGCAAGAGAACGGAGAAUUAGAUGGAGAUCUCAACCAUAGAAUACGAGCUGGAUGGAUGAAGUGUAAGAGUGCAUCCGGCGUGUUGUGUGACUAUCGUAGGCCACUGAAGCUCAAAGGAAAAUUUUAUAGGACGGCAAUAAGGCCAGCGAUGUUGUAUGGCACAGAAUGUUGGGCGGUGAAGCAUCAACACGUACACAAAAUGGGUGUAGCGGAGAUGAGGAUGCUUCGUGGGAUGUGUGGGCACACGAGAAAGGAUAAGAUUGGGAAUGAGGAUAUCCGAGGUAAAGUAGGAGUAGCCGAAAUUGUAGGAAAGAUGAGAGAAAAUCGGCUCCGGUGAUUUGGACAUGUGCAAAGAAGGCCGACUGACGCUCCGAUUCGAAGAUGUGACUACGGGACAGAGGUUCAGGGCCGAAGGGGUAGAGGAAGACCUAGGAAAACUUUGGAAGAGACUCUAAGAAAAGACUUAGAGUACUUGGAUCUAACGGAGGACAUGACACAAAACCGAGCGCAAUGGCGUUCUAGGAUUCAUAUAGCCGACCCCACUUAGUGGGAAAAGGCUUUGUUGUUGUUGUUGUUGUUGUAUUUUUUCCCUUUUCAAAAUCGAAAUGUUCUAAAUUAUUUCACUAAUCCUUGCUAGUUUGAACUGCAGGAGUCUGUCUCUGGAUUUGAAAGAUUAUCUGGACUUACAGUUUUGAAGAAUUGGGAUUCUAGUGUUACACAUAUUAUUGCAUCGACAGAUGAAAAUGAAGCAUGCAGAAGAACCCUUAAAAUUUUGAUGGGUAUCUUGGAGGGGAAGUGGAUUCUGAGUGUGGAGUGAGUUUUACUGUUUUCGUUUUAAUUGUUCUUCCUCAAGUGCUUGGACUUUACAAUUGUAAUGAGUACAGAAGCCGAAAUGAGAUAUUGAUAUACAUGUUCACAUUGCUGAUAAUUCGUUAUCCGUCUGUUUGUGUAGGAAUUAAUGCUUGCACAUAAGUAAUGAAACUAGUUAAUGAGGAGCCUUAUGAAAUCAACGUUGACAUUUAUGGAAUCAGGGAUGGUCCUCGACUUGGUAGACUAAGGCUGCAGAACAAGGUUAGCUUUUCCUCGAGUUUAACUAUCAUCACGAAAACUUUAGAUUUUCAUGGAUUCACCAUAGGCAUUGUUAAUCUUGUUCAGUCCAUAAAUAGGUUACACACUUAUCUUAACAAAGGUGAGACCUUCUCAAUUCCUCAUCGAGAUGAAUCAAGAGCAUAAUUGUAGCAGUGAUCAAGAGCAAUUUUUUUAUGUUUCUUCCAAAUUGUUGAGAUGAAUCAUCUGUGUUUUGUUCUAAUAAUCUUACAAAUUUGUUGAGCAAUUUUUGUAAAGUCAGAAUCUUUGGUUUCGGUUGUGAGGUAUCUGAUUUGGGUAUAUGUGUUUUGCAGGGCACGGUGGUUGUGGCGGAGGAAGAUUAGGAUUGACGACAGAGCUCUGGCCAUGAACUAUCAGCUCUGUCUUUCUCUCUCUAACUAUGAAUUGAAUACAAAAGUCUGUGUUGAUAUGGAAAAUGUAGCUCAAAAUUAUUACACAAAUGGCAAAAAAAAAAAGUUCGAGUGUGGAGUUUCACUUACUGAUACAGGGCUUUUGAAACAGGGUUGUCUAGACUGUAGAAGAAAUCCAUGGCUUUUGGAAGAGGGGAUGUUCCAAAUCUAUCUUUUCUCCCUCUCUAAUGUUCUUCGAGGGGUUCUUGUGAUGCAAAAAGUGGUUUAUAUAUAUUUUUUAUUAUUAAUAAAUUUUCUGUCGGUUUUAUCAGACAAUAAUUCUUUUAUUUAUUCUUAUUAAUAAUUUCUCUGUCGGUUAUAUCUGACACAAUUUCUGUCGAUUUUAGAGUAUUUUCUAUCGAAAAUUUCAUUUCCUGACGCAUCAAUUAUGUCGCUUAUUAUAUCCGCCACUGCACUCAUUUCAUGUCGGAUUUUGCUUAAUUUCCAACAGUAUUAUACAUUUCUUGUCGGUUUUUAAACCGACACUAAUGGGUACUUUUGUAGUAAUGUUGGGGCGUCGGAGUUCGUUUAAGGUCGAAUUGAGCACACCCAAAUUCAAGGGUUCCGUACGGUUCAUGGUAAUUUGAGGUAUUUCUCAGCCAAAUUGUCCUUAGUCACAGAUAUGAAAGUUGCUCCACUCGUUGAGAUCUUCAUUUAUGUCAAAUUUGAGAAUUUUUAGAAAUAAUUGGAUUUUCCAGCGAAUCGGGGCGGCGGACCACCACCGGACAGCGCAUGGCUAGUGGGCCCCCAAUGUCAUUUUACGUUAAAUUGGUAUCUUGAUUUUAGGUUUGAUGUCUAUAUGUUAUGACUUGAUAUGUGAACCUAGUUUAAUUAAGGUGCGUUAAUUGGUAAAAAUAUGAAACGACGAUCCGACCGUGGGAUCGUCACCAAUCUUUAUUAUGUUAUAGUACAUUAUAUUUGAGAAUCAUAGGGACUGACGGAUAGGAAAUCCGAUAUACGGAUCUUCCUGAAAUGGAAUUGUAAGUUCGAAGAAUAAACGUUAACCGCCACUUUGUUUUGACUAUUGGUGAAGAUCCAACCGUUGGAUCAUAAUGAAAUUUUAGGAUGAUGUUUUAGAAGCAUAAUGUGGAUCUUUGGAAGUUAUUGAUUGGAAAUCCGAGGAGCGAAUCUUCCGGAUUGAAUUACGUAAGGUUGUGGACCCUACCGUCGAUCGUUGACUGACGAUCGACUUUUGGUCAAUGGGGCUUAAAUCACUCUAAAAUGUUUUUAGGGAUGUGUUUUACGUAAAUUACAUUAUCUAUGGAUAAGAAUUCUGAGAUGUGGUUUGAUAAUUGUCCUGGGCGCCGAUCGUUAGGAACGCUUCGAUGGUUGUGCUAGGAAAUUGUAGCAUAGACUCCAGGUGAGUGAAUCUUUUCCUUCUUAUAUAUAUAUAUAUAUAUAUAUGAUUGACAAUUCCACAAACGUUUAUAAAUUGAUUAUUGCAUAUAACUACUGUAAAUACUUUGAAGUACUUAUGCGAACUACGAAUGGCUUGAUCCCUAUUUAGGGUACGUAUGCAGUCUAACAAGACAUUAAAUGCAGUCAUACAAUAAUUGAGAUUAAACAAUUGAGACAAAGCCUUGUAUGGGGAACUGGGCAAGGUGAACGAAUUUGGUAAAAAUGUGAGAUUUAACCUUCUGAAUUGGUGAUUAAAUGUUGGUCAUAAAUCAAUGUGUAAAGAAUCAAGAAUUUGAAGUAAGGAAACGUAAGUAAUGAUAAUUAAUUAAACUAGUGUCUAGUUGGGCUUGUCACCUAUAAUUAUCCCCAAAAAUGAAUAAUUCGGGAGUAGGGCGUUAUAGCUUCUGCAUUUUUAUGCCACAUUAUAUAUAUAUAUAUAUGUGUGUGUGUGUGUGUGUGUGUGUGUGUGUGUAUAAUUGGAAAUGCUAUAACGUGGUUGAGUAUCAGAUUUCAUCAUGGUUUAUCUAUAUGUAUAUUACCUGCACACAAUUAUUAUGAACACUUUGAAGUGCAAAGGUGAACGCAAGACACCCAGGAAAGUUCAGGUGAGUUUAUGGUAUUAGUUGAAAUGAUGGGGUUAUGGUAACUACAUGUAUGUUUAGGUUGCAAUGAUAGGCAACUCCGACACUGUCGUACAAGUUGCCCAUGAAUUGUAUAUGUUACAAUAGAUAGAGUUAGAGGUCAUAAACCUGCACCCCGGUGUUAGUGCUCCCACCCGUGGCUAGGGCACAGUCUUUCACGAGAUGUUCACCUCUCGCAUCUUACGCUCACCUUGGAUCCAAGGUAGGUGCACAGUCAUGUCAUAAAGACCACUAUAGGUGGUUCCGACUAGUAGAUGACCCGUGAUUAUUCGCACAGUCUUCACGUGAUUGUAGCACUUGAGCGUAUUUAUUUACACCCAGUCCUGUCGUACAGACCACUUUAGGUGGUUCCGACUCGUAUGCAGGUAUACUUAUUGAGCUAUGGAUAAGUCGUACAGGUCACUAAAGGUGACUCCAACUUAUGAGCUAGCAUAUGUGAUGAAAUAUGUGAUGAGCUAGCAUAUGUAAUGAGAUAAGUGAUGAGCUAGCAUAUGUGAUGAGAUAUGUGAUGAGUUAGCAUACGUUAUGAGAUAUGUGAUGAGUGAUAUAAUCAUAAUUGCAUACAUUUUCAUGCCCUUUUAGUUUAGAUUUUUGUUAUCCUUUUGAGUGAAUUUAGUUUGUUUCACUUAGUUUUAUGUUUUUCUUAGAUUUGAAGUGUGAAGAUGAAGAAAGAAGAAAAAAGAGCAUUUUUAGCGAUUGAAAUGAGUUUGGCAUGCUGGAAGCAGAGGCUAUUUGUGCGGAUCAGCCAACUUUACGGAUUAAACUGUACUUCCUUAGAAUGCCAGCUGUUGAGUCUUAUACCAUUGGAAAGAUAUGAAAGUUAGCUUUCAGAGGAAUUUUACGAUUCGUGAUUCCGAGUUUCCUAGAAGACGUUAUAGUGGUUUUUCUACCAGAUGUCUGCCAGCAAGGUUUUACGCGGGAUUUGCAAAGAGAUUCCAGAUUUACAAAGUUUAAUUAAAGGAAACAAGCAGAGAAAAAAGAAGAGGAAGCUUUUAGAAAAGUUCAGGACUAUUCUAAACGGUGCAUAGUUAAUAUAUUUAAUAGUUUAGUGUGCCACAUCAUCAAUAAACUAAUCUAAGUCAGAAGAGAAAUUCAAGAGUCCCAUUCAAGUAAGUAUUCCAGCAGUUUUAUUCAGGAAUAAAGGAGGGCAGACCGUCGGACUUUAGGAGCGGACAGAGAGAGUUUUUGGGUUUUCGAAGGUGCAGAGAAGAGGUCGCAGCAAGGAGUGAAACAGAGUCGCCGAUCAUCUGGGCAAUCCAUCACCAUCGUGUGGAAGUAUUUUAUGUUUUUCAGAUUUUUAAUUAUGUUUUCAGAUUUUAUGAGUAACUAAACUCUUUUUCUAAGGUUAGGAUGAUGCCCUAGCAUGGAUGUUUAUGGUUUGUAAUGUUAUUCAUUGGAUUUCCAGUUUCUUUUAGAUGAAUGCUUAAUCACUGUUUGAAUUGUUACUGUUUGUUUGAGUUCUUUGAUUGAUCACCUUAGGACUUUGCAUCUAGUAAGAUUGGAAGAUGAAUUUGAGACUGAACUAACAAUAUAAUUCAAUUAGCUUCUUGUGGUUAAGUGUGGUAAAUUACAUUAUUGCUUGAAAAAGAAUAAUGGUUUGUUUGGGUCCCUUGUUUUCUAGAGGGUAAAGAGUCCUACUUGUUAAAUUUAUGCCUUAACUAGGAUAGACUGCUUGUUAGGAUAUACGACCUCUGCCUAAACUAGGAGAGAAUCAUUCACAUAAGGAAAACUAUGGUCUAAUAUGCCUGACAAGGACUUAGAUACGGGAAUUAUCAUCUAAAGAAUUGAAAGAUCCAUUGAAUGCAUUGAAACCUAAACUAGAUUGCUUGUGGUUGAUUCCGAAUCCCUAGAUUUUCAUCACUUGCCUUAAAACACAACCGUUUCUUUUCUUUAAUUUCAGUUUUUACUUAAGGUUCUGUUUUUGUUCAUUUAUAAAAUCAUCACAACAAAUUUUUUACAUCUUUGAUUGACUUAUUAAUUAAGAUCGAGUCUAGUUCGUUGUUUGGGUUUGUGUGUCUUUAAUAUAAUUAGAUUUGGUUUAGUUUAUCAAAUUGGAGAUUGAAUUAGAAUCCUCGUGGGAACGAUACUUGGACUUGCAAAACGUUAUAUUACGACUAUCUUGUGCACUUGUAAGUUUACACCAAGUUUUUGGCGCCGUUGCCGGGGACUCUAAUUGAGUCCCCCAAUUUGAUAUCAUAUUCCAUAUCUAAUAAGUAGUUUAUUGUAGAUUAUUCAAUUUGAUUUUGUUUUGUUCUCUAGUUUCGAGUAAGAGUCAUAACUAUUAAGAUAAGUAAAAGUAAUUUUCGUCACUGUUUUAUUUCAGUUUUGUAUCACUGUUUCGACACAGUUUUGGACUAAACUAUUCGAUUUUUUACCAGGAAUAUUGUGUAUCGUUGGAAAGCCCCAGAAGUCUAGUUUUCAACCCAAAAAACAGAUCAAUGAUUGGAUUUUUGAGCUGCAAGAAAUGUACAAAAUACUGAGCAGUGGUCAAACAAGGAGCACAGUCUGGUCGUAUAUGCAAGGUAGACGUUCGUUGCAAUUUGAGUUGAUUCAUAUAGACCAAGAACUUGUGCGUACUUUAAGAGAACAGUGGAGGCAGCGAGUGUGUCAAGAACCAGCCAUGGAGGAAGUAGUUAAUAAUGGUGGAAAUAAUCCUCCACCAUUGCUACCACCACAACCAAGGCUCAUGCGUGAUUAUACAAAGCCAACGGAGUACAACGCACCGUCAUGCAUUGUUUUGGCUCCAAUUGCGCAGCGAUUUGAGAUUCGUCCACAAAUCUUUCAGUUGCUGCCUAUAUUUCUUGGGAAGGAGGAAGAAAAUCCAUACCAUCAUAUCAAGGCGUUUUUCAAGCUAUGUUCCACAUUCACAUUCACCAAUGUUACUGAAGAGCAAAUUCGACUUCGGUUAUUCCCAUUCUCUUUGAGGGAUAAAGCAAGCAGUUGGUUGGAUUCUCUUCCCGAAGCAUCUAUCGACACAUGGACAAAAUUAUCGAAGAAGUUUUUGUCCAAGUUCUUCCCCGCUCGAAGAACCAAUGCUCUGAUCAAUGAAAUCAUGAGCUUUCGACAACAAGAAGGUGAACAGUUUCAUGAAAGUUGGGAGCGCUAUAAGGACUUGUUUCUUCAAUGUCCUCAUCAUGGUUUCAACACUUGGCAAAAGGUUCAUUAUUUUUACAAAGGUUUGAACUCUCAAUGUAGGAGUUUGGUUGAUUCAACGGUUGGUGGAACCUUGAUAGACAAAACUCCAGAAGAUGCCAUACAUGCCUUUGAAACUAUAUGUGAAAAUUCUGAGCAUUGGGAUUUUCCUACAAAAGAUUUGAGAGUUCCAACUGCAUCGUCAACAAAAAAAGGAGGCAUUUAUGAAGUUAAUACAAGGACGGGCUUAGAGGCACAAGUGGCAGCCCUCACCAAGCUUCUCACACCACUUGUAAGCAAGAUAGCCACGCAGCCAUGUACUUUAUGUGCGAGCAUCGCCCAUGACAUGGAAAAUUGUCCAACAAAUGCUAAUCUAGAAGGCAUCCAAGAGGUCAAUGCAUUUAGUGGGAGGCCCCGGAAUGAUCCAUAUUCUAAUAAUUAUAACCCGGGAUGGAGAGAACAUCCAAAUUUUUCUUAGAGAGAUUCACAAAAUAGCAUGGGAUCAUUCACUUCAACAAAGCAAUAUCAGCAACCUUAUCAAGCUCCUCCAAUUCAACAAAAAGACUCGUCUAUCAAGGAUAUGUUAUCUCAACUCUUAAAGAAAACUGAUCGGUAUGAACAUGAAGUUGUGUCGCUUAGACAAAGUCAGACGGUGUUGGAAAAGGCUCGAUCUAAUUUUGAGACUCAGUUGGGACAGAUAGCUACUACUUUGAACAAGCUGGAGUGAGCACAAGGGCAAUUUCCAAGCCAAACUGAAACAAAUCCUAGGAAUCAAAAGCAUGUUCAAGCUGUCACCACUUUGAGGAGUGGAAAGACGAUUGGUAAUAAUGUGGAAAGUUCAAAAAUUAAUAAGGAAGAAGAUGAAGGGGUCAGCACAUAUCGGGCAGCAGCUUGACAAGACAAGCUAAAAAAGAGAAGUAUAUGGGAGAUAUUUUAGAGCAAUUUAGAAAGGUGCAGAUUAAUAUUCCUUUUCUCGAUGCCAUCAAACAAAUUCAAUCAUAUGCGAAGUUUUUGAAGGAACUUUGUACUAACAAGAGACGGUAUGAAGAACAUGAGGAGGUGAAGUUAUCAGACACGGUUAGUGCGGUUCUUCAAAGAAAAUUGCCACCAAAACUUCAAGAUCCUGGUAGCUUUACAGUCCCAUGUGUCAUUGGAGAAAGAAAAUUCGAAAAAGCUUUGCUUGACUUGGGAGCCAGUGUGAAUUUGAUGCCCUAUUCUGCUUAUAAACACCUCAAAUUAGGCGAACUAAAGCACAUAUCCAUUUCUCUACAAUGCACUGAUCGUUCUGUGAAAUAUCCAAGAGGGAUUGUUGAAAAUGUACUUGUGUGUGUUGAUCAAUUUAUUCUUCCUGCUGACUUCAUCAUUUUGGACAUGGAAGAAGCCGAAAUUCCUGGUCGUGACUUGCCUCUCAUUCUUGGCAGACCUUUCAUGGCUACUGCAGGUACGAAGAUUGAUGUUAAAUCGGGAUUAUUAACUAUGACUGUGCAAGGUAUUACUGUAGAAUUUCAGGUCUUCGAAGCAUUGAAGAAGCCCAUGGAUCUUUAUGACUGCUUUCGUGUUGAGGUAGUGGAUCCAAUUAUAAAAAAAAACAUUCAUUGAAUCAAGCAUCUCAGAUCCUCUGGAAGUUUGUAUCUCUCAACAUGGGAUGAGUUUUGAAAAGGCUACCAUCAUUGAAGCAGAACGAGAUCUCAAUGCCGUAACGUCCUACUCUCUUAGAUGCCAGCCCAAAUUUGAAGCGUUGCCACUCACAAGCCAAAAUUGUACCAUCCAUUAUACAACCUCCAAAGCUUGAAUUGAAGCCUCUUCCAGAGACUUUAAAGUAUGCAUAUUUGGUGAUUCAGAGACUCUUCCUGUGAUUAUAGCUGCUGAUCUUAACCAAACAGAAGAGGAAAAGUUGAUGCAAAUGUUGAGGGAGCAUAAAACAGCAUUGGGAUGGAGUAUUGCAGACAUAAAAGGAAUUAGUCCUCAAUUUGCAUGCAUCGGAUAUAUCUUGAGGACAAGUCAAAGCCUUCUAGAGAGGCACAGCGACGUCUAAAUCCACAUAUGCAAGAAGUGGUUCGGGCAGAAGUUCUUAAAUUACUGAAUGUCGGCAUUAUUUAUCCUAUAUCUAACAGCAAAUGGGUAAGUCCACUGCAGGUUGUACCACAGAGAUCUGGAAUUACAGUUGUCAAGAAUGAAAAUAAUGAGCUUAUACCCCAGAGGACUGUCACGGGUUGGAGAAUGUGUACAGAUUACAGAAAGAUCAAUAAUUCAACUCGAAAAUAUCAUUUUCCACUCCCUUUCCUUGAUCUCAUGCUUGAGAGACUUGCAGGCCAUAGUUAUUAUUGUUUUCUUGAUGGCUAUUCCAGAUAUAAUCAAAUUCCCAUAGCUCCGGAAGAUCAAGAAAAGACUACUUUCACAUGUCCAUUUGGAACUUUUGCCUAUCGACGAAUGCCUUUUGGGUUAUGUAAUGCUCCCGCAACAUUCCAAAGAUGCAUGAUGAGCAUUUUCUCAAACUUGGUGGAAAGGUGUAUCGAAGUGUUCGUGGAUGAUUUUUCCGUGUUUGGGUCAUCGUUUGAUCAAUGUCUUCAUCAUCUUUCAUUGGUGCUCUAACGGUGUCAAGAAACCAACUUGAUUUUAAAUUGGGAAAAAUGUCAGUUUAUGGUGAAAAGUGGUAUUGUUCUUGGUCAUGUAAUUUUAGCUGACGGAAUUGAAGUUGAUAAAGCUAAGGUGGAGCUGAUUUCGAAGCUUCCUCCUCCCACUUCUGUAAAAGAAGUUCGAUCCUUUCUCGAGCAUCCAAGUUUUUAUCGCCGAUUUAUUAAAGAUUUCUCGAAAAUCACCAAGCCACUUUGUGAUCUGCUUGCUAAAGAUUCUGUGUUUAAUUUAAAUGGUGAGUGCUUACAAGCUUUUGAGACCCUCAAGAAAGAAUUAACACAAGCCCCAAUCAUAAAAGCUCCAGAGUGGUCUCUUCCUUUUGAAAUCAUGUGUGACGCCUCUGAGUAUGCAAUAGGUGUUGUGUUAGGGCAGCGAGUUAACAAACUUCCUCAUGUUAUAUUUUAUGCUAGCCGAAUUCUCACUUAACAACUUUCAUAUCCCUUAGUUUCCAAAAUUUAAUAUACAAAUUUAGUCUCCCAAGCAUUGCUAUAUUACUUAAGUAUUGAUUAAUAGACUUAUUUCUUAUGGUGACACAUUAUUUAGUUUACAAAUUUAGUCUAUCUAACAUUACUCUUUUGACAUUGUCUUGUCCACUGAUAUAAUUCUAUUUUUCUUGUGAUCAAAACUUCAAAUGUUAGCAAGUCGCACGUAAAGUCGCUUCUGAGAGAAUGUGCUCACAUUGUAGUUGAAAGAUUAUGUGGCUAGCAACAUUACAAAUUUAAUUUGGUAUAAUUUUAAAAUAUAGAUUGAGGAAAAAAAGGAUCACAUUAACUAGAAACUGAAAAGGUUUCGGCGCAAUAUGUUCAAGCAAGAAACUCAAUUUUGAUGCUACCGAUCUUAACAGCCUGAGCGCCGUACCUGGGCACUAAAGUCACCACCACACUCUCAUCAUCUUCAGCACCCAAAUCCUCCAACAGGUCCGUUAACCCCAACCUUAAACAACUCUUGCUCUUUUCCUUCUGCUUAUGUGGCACACUCACAAAACUCCCAGCAAACUCGCUCUUGUCGGGUCCACUCGGUGCCGCAUCCUCAUCAUCCACGUCAUUCAC
rnacentral:lncRNA from 1 species